rnacentral:lncRNA from 1 species
UUAAGUGAUCCCUCUGGCCAUUAGUACAUUUUUCUUCUGCCCCUUCAUAUGUCACAGUGUUUUUUCUAUUGCAGUCUCACCUCCCAACCCUCUAAGAGGAAGCAAAUUUAUGUAUACCUCCAUGAGUUCAAAAUUAGUAACCAGGAAAGGGAAAAUCACUAUUAUUCCAUUAAACUUCAUAUGUGAUAUUAUACCAUGAGCUAAUUUACAUCUACCCACGUUGAACUGUUAACAGUGUCAAAUUACAACAUCAUCUUCUCUUCUGACAAUCACAUCUCUAAGAAUCAAAUUACCACCCAAAUACAGAUCAUCAAGGCCUCAAGGAUGUCAAAAGAGAUACCAAGGCAAGGACAAGGGAGUUGCACUGGAACAUAACUACGGGAACACCACAGAGGCUGAUAAAGCAUAACUAACUGAAACCAUGGCAUACCAACCCUGUUGCCACGUGGGUGAUCCAUUGAGAGUUGAAACAGGUACUGAUGACCUCCACAGGUACCAUUUGCAGCUUGCCUAUCGACGGGAUUGACCAGUAGCAACAUCAAAACCAGGAGGUAUGAAAACAACAUCAUCCCACUUCGAAGAUGAGUCAUCCUGCAUUAUUGAUUAUGUGUUAACUCAAAUUUCUGUUCAUGAAAUCCAAAGAAAAAUGCUGAAAUACAGGUAACAAUAAGCAGAAGUCAGAAUAUAUUAGCAAACCCUUGAGGGUGAAACAUUCAAAUUCGGAGUAUACCGACAAGAUUUUCUUACCUUCAUCCUCUUAUUAUAUCUUCAAAAACAGCAACCUACAAGAUCAAGUCAAAAGUUGGUAUCUUGAAGCUUGGACAUGUCUAAAGUUUUGACAUAGAAUGGACACUACUAUCUAAUGCAAAAUUGGUAAUAUUUUAGGUGAUUGUUUACAUAUACAGACACCAAACUUAGAGACGCUCAAGUACUCUUAUACUUGCUGAUAAUAGUUGAUGCAUCCAAAAACUUUACCUGAAUUUCUCCCUCUCUAAAAGCAGGAUUCAAUCUCUCAUAACGAGUUGCACGAUUCAGGGAUUUUAUCAAGUCCUCCUACACAAUAGCAAAGAAGGGGAAAAAGCCACAGUCAUACAGAAUGGAAGAAUGACACUGGGCAUCCAAAUGAUAAAUUUAACUAACAGCUAACCUUCCUAAAAAAGACAGGGCGAUAUCUCUUGUCUUGGGUCCUCAGAAUCAAGCUUUUUGACUGUAAACCACCACAUUUUAGAGAAGUUAAAAUCAUUCACACCACAUAUUGAUGAGCAGACCGAGAACUGCCUACAAUUAUAGACCAUAUUUUAACCAUUAGUAGUUUACGAGCAGCAUGGGAUCAGUAGAACAAGUCUUGUUAAUACCACCGGAGAAAAUCUUUCAAGCACACGUCUGUCAUCUAUAUUGCUGUCAUCAUACAUUAGUAAAGAACAUAUAUGCACGAGUUCAACAGAUCCUAACCAAAGCAAAGUGCUUAACGGUGAGUCCAGAAACAAUAUCUCAUCGUUCAUCCUUGUUUUCAAGGUUUGAGAAUUUCCUAAUUGGAGAGUUUAACCAAAAAAAAAAAAAAGACAAUGCCAACAGCAUUCCAGAAGAAAAAAACAUAUCAACCAAGAAAUAUGAACAAUCAUUAAACUUGACAAUACGCAAAACCAUCUUAAAUUGAAUUUCCAUCAUGAAUCAUCAUUACUGCCCAAUCCAGAACCCUUUGUUUUCAGGUUUCUUGCUAAAUGGACAAAUUCUUCUAAUUUAACAACUUAUCAACCAAUUAAUAUUUUCUCCUUGAAAACACAUCAAAAACUCCAAUUCACAUGCUAACACUAUGAUUGUAGCAAUAAGAAGGAAAAUCAGUUGAGACAAAAAUCAACUCGAACCAAUAGAUGCUGCCACCCAAACUUUCCGGCUUUUAAAAAAAUAAAAAUAAAUUAAUUAAGAGAGAGAGAGAGAGAGAGGUACUGCCAUUGUGGGGAGAAAAAGAAAAAAAGUGUCAGUGAGUUUGGGUGCAAGUAAGAGCCAGAAAAGUGGGAAAGAAAAUUAUCUAUUACUACAAAGGGUUAAACCUGGAAAACUGGAACCCGAAAAAGCUCUCAUCAUAUGCACCAGACUUCUUCCUUUCCUACAGAUAAAGCAUAAAUGAAAUUAGAUUAAACAUUCCAUACCUCCAGUUAGCAACAGAAUUCAUACGUAAUUAAUUGAUGUGCUGGACGUAGCAUUUGCACUAAACUUAAUUUAGGCCAAAACUAAUGGCCAACAUCCAAGUGUGUGGUUCAAUUUUAUUUGGAGGUGCAUAAAAUUAGGGUGCACUUUUGUUCAAGGACUUUUUAAACUCUAGACAUAAGCCGUUCCUCAAUAUCUUAUACAGCAGCAAAGGAAGAAGGCCAACAAUUUACUGACAAUACUUCUUAUAUUCAGAGUUAAUAUUUAUAUAGCACUAAAGGAAGAAGGACAACAAUUUUCCAACUUGCUUUCUCAUAUUCAAAAUUAACAUAGAUAUCACUCAUGUUUCUCAAUUUUAUUUUCAGUUUAUUAGAUUUUUUCAAGUCUCCUGGAUGUAUUACGCAUAAACAAACUCGAAAUAUUUCACCAUUGCUACAGGACAACAACAUAAACUAGAAGAGAGACAAGAUCAGCAUAGAGCCACUCUUGGCAAACCACGCAUGCAUAGAAUUUUACUGUUGUCUCCCACAAAAUUCUAUUGCUGAUUGUUAAUUAACAUCAUAGAAGAUCAAAAAAGAUGCAAGGCACCAUUUAUUGUGAGAAAGCCAAAUUGACCAGAAGGGCUUAUCUCCAGAUAUGCCACCAUUGCUUGUAAAAAGAAAAAGAAAACCAUUUCAUUUUUUUUUUUAAUGGGAGGUCUUGAACCCAGGACCUCCUACUUACAAUUCCCCCACCUUAUCACCCAACCCAACCCAACCUCCCCCUCCCCCAACCAUUUCAUAUGUACAUUUAAUAAAAAAAAAUGCACGAUUUGGAGUUUCAGCUUUCAACCAAAAUGUGAUGUUUCUGGACCCUUCAUUUUCCAAUGAUAACAUACAACACAAACCACUUGGAAAUUAGACAACACUGCCAUUCUGAAAAAAAGAAACUCAGAAUACAAAUCAUAACUCAACAAUCAAGUUUGACUCAUAUAUACAGUGAAUUUACUGCAAAAUAAAAUAAAAAACAGAAGAAUAACUUUAUUUUUAUUAAAUUCGUUCAUACUGCAAAAUUCUUUACCUUUAUUGCAUUCUGCACUUGAGACGCCUCUGGUAUCAACCUAAAAGCUACCCCAUCAACUUUAAGCUGAAAUACCUGCAACGCAAUUCACUCCAUCAGGCUCCAAUCUCUAGCAUUUCACCACUUGGUUACGAAUAAAAGAAAUGCACUAUCGUGCUCCAAUAAAUAUCCAUCUAAAGAAAACAGCCUAGUCAUCUUUAAAUCAAACAUCCAUCAAACUUUCUCCAAGACCACAUAACAUACCAUUUCAACAGUGUCAAACACCAAGACUUUGAUCAUUGCAUAUUCUAUCAAGAAUCCUAUGAAGCAGAAAAGCUAGUUCGUAUGCUAUCGCCUUAAUUACAUGUAACCAAUUACACUUGUCCUCCAUUAUUCACUAAGUAGGGCACAUGAUAAACAACAUCCAACACCAAAACGUUGAUGAUCACCCUGUUUGCCACAAACAUCAAACAUCAUGAAGCUAGUUCUUAUCCAGAUAUACAUGUAUCAUUAGCAAUUUCCUCAUAAUGACUAAAGCAGGCAUAUAAUACACACAACUGAGAAUAAGCAUUCAUCAAAUUAGCCAGGUAAGUAUCCAAAAAGACCUAUUUUUUACUUAAUUUACGGAUUUUCUUCGGACCUUAUUGAGAGCUACAGCAACAACUUUGGAGCCAUCACGCAUAGAGGGAUCCAUGGACUGCAUCUGGUGAAGAAGGGCUUUAGCAUCAGCUUCAUUCAAGCAGAACAAGCCAAGAUUUCUCCCGUAUUUUCACCAGAAACCAACACAAAUUCCUCAGAAGAAUUGCUGAGAGCAUAGACAGGGACCCCGGUUAAACGCUCCUCAAUAACCUCUGUAGUCAUAGCAAGAUUCCCACUUUUAGCAUCAGAAUUAGUAAUUCCAGUAUCAGAGGAAGAAGGAGGAGGAGAAGGAGAUGGGGUUGUACUAUCAGAAACUCUGGCCCAAGAGGGAUUCUUAGGAGAAGAGCCGGCGGUGGUGGGGAGGGGGAAAGGGAAGGGAGAGUGGUGCAGGAAGUUGGAGAAAUGGGAUUUGGAAGGAAUUGAACACUUGGUUGAGGUGGUGAAGAGGCGCUGGUGGUGCUGGGGAAUUGGUGACGGUGGGAGAGGGAAGGGGGGGAGAAUGGUGGACGAAGUUGGAGACAUGGGUUUGCAGAGAGGUGAAGGCUUGGUUGAGGAGGUGGAGAGAUGGUGGUGAUGGUGAUGGUGGCAGCGGCGGUGCUGGAGGUGGUGCUGGUGGUGGGGCUUUGGUUUUGAAGAAAUUCAUUGGUUUUUUCCUGGGUAUAUCGGAACUGGGGAUAUGGAAUUUUGAGGGGUUUGAUGCAUUUUGAGGGGUUUGGAAGGGUUUUGGUGCAGAGUGCUGAGGAGUGUGUUGGAAGAGAAGAAUUUUAAGCUUUUGCAAACUGAGAGAAGUUUAUUUUUCCUUUUGUUUUUUUCCCCAAAAUUUACAUAUGGAUUGUUCAGAAAAUAUUGGAAGGAAAGUGUUAGCAUGUGUUUAUUAAUGAUAAGAAAUAUAUUUGGAUAGAAAUUGGAAGAUUCGUUAGAAUUUUUUUUUAAUAAUAAUGAAAAUAGCAUGUACGGCAAUGUGCAAUAUAUGUGAAAUAAAAAAAAUAAGUAGUAAAAAUUUAAAUAAAAAAAAGUAAUUCAAGAACACAUUUAUCAUGUAAUAAGACAAAAUUUUUCCAAAAAAUUGGCAAUCGAGACAAACCUACAUAUUUUAGGGAUAUUAUUUGAUCAAAUUUGUUUGUAUGAAAUUUAUGUUUUCAACUUUCUUUUUUCCUAAAAUCAAAUUCUACGACAAUGCUUCUAAAUAAUUCUGUCCAUAUCGAGCUCAUGUUCCUUUAGAAAAAAAAAAUACUCGUAUCUGCAUCUUUUCCUUUGAAAAAAUAUUGGUGUUUCUUUUUUUUCCUUUUUUUUUUUAAGAAACUUGUGUUUCUUUGAAAAGUAUAUACUUUGGCUAAUGGGGCAACUUGUCAAGAAGGACCUUGUAGUUUAACUUUUUGCAAAAGUGAUGCUAAUUUUGAGAAAGUGCCUAGUUGUAAUGUGUGCAUUUACCUGAUAAGUGCUGUCAGCAUAAGAUUGGAAGUUAGGAUCCAAAUCUACAAUAAUAUAAUUGACAUGAAUUUUGAAAUUUUAGUAUUCAGUACCAAGGAUGUUGAAGAAUGCAUUAACGAUGGCUAACGAUAUUAUCAAAGUAAAAAGUUUCCCAUUGGAGCGAUUUUCACCUAAUACCUAGAUUAUCCUUGUUAAAGUUAGGACAAACCGGUUGAGGUUUUUAGAGAGUUUAUUUUAUUUAAAUUAAGAAUAACAGAAGGUUCUGCAGUUCAUUUUAAAUAUCAUACUCAUAAACGAAAUUCACCGUCGGAUGUUGAAUGAAACAUUAUUAUUAAUCCUUAGAUUAAACAUGGUUGAAUAUUUAAAAUUUAAAUUAUUAUCUUUAGUGAGAAAUACGAGUUGUGGGGAUGGUACCAAAAAAAACCAUAAAAUUUUCUAGGAAUAACUAGCAACUGUGAAGUCCAUCUGAAUUCUGUAUUUGACUUUGAGUAAUUGAGGUGAACUCUUGAAGGUAAUGCUGUCAGUUAAGCAAAUUUGCUCUAGCUCUAUACUAGCAAUUACAGUUUGCGGGCCUAUCAAGAAGUUGGACUGUUUUGCCCAUGUAAGAUGGACCACAAAAAGAUCUGUAAUCUUCCACUCGGUCUAUUUUUCUCAUUUGGGCUCAUUCGGAAUAUUAACAUACAGAUUUGGUCACGGUCAUAUUUGAUGUCAAUGGACCCAAACAUUCUUUUCUCCGGUAGGACUUUUCCAUUUCAUUCUUGAUCUUUUUAUUCUAGUUUCGUAAAUCAGUACUGACUACUGAGAGAAUGCAUGAUGGCAACAACCAAUGUUGAGCAUUGGUCUUAAAAUCCGAUUGUAAUUUGCAUUUUUCCCCAAAAUAUUUAUACGUUUUCUGUGAAUCUAUUCCCAAUCAACUUUUCACCUAUCAUUAAAUUGCUACACUACAUUUUUCUACAAAAACUUCAGAAUAGAUCUAAAUAUAUAUUAGAAUAAAAUAGCAUUACUGGCCAAAUUUAAUCUUUUUUAUUUUGUACAAGCUUUUGUUUAACAUAACAAUGUCCAGAAUGCUCAGUGGAAAAACACAAACCUUCAAAUUGGAAAUCAAUAUCUUAGACAACCAAUGGUAAUAUUUAUUAUGUUUGCAAUAUAUUUCUGAAAAACAUUCUAGUGAAUUUAUCCAAAAUAUAAUUGAGAGCACAAAAAUUUGGUAAGUUAUUGCUGUGAAGUACAUGAUAGAAUUAUAAACAAAAUCAAGAGCUUUUAGAAGAUAAUGAAAAAUGUUAAUAGAAUCUCUUAUUUGCUAAUGACACUUCUCUUAUACCUUUUUCCACUAUGUGGAAUAAAAGAAGGGAAAAUGAUCGGUUUCAUCCUUCACAUUUCACAAAAAUAUUCUUUUCGUCCCUCACUUUUAAAACGAAGCAAUCCAUUAAAAACUGAAGUUCUUACAUCCCUGAACCCAAGUUUCAAUCUGAAUCAAACCACCAAUCAACCUGAUUACAAAAUUUGGGGGUGUAAUUCGUAGAUCAUUUGGUUAACUCAACUUGAUUAUUCAUGUGAAAUUUAAUGAACCCAAAAAAAAAAAUAUAUAACAAAAAAGAAAGGUUAAUCUUUUCUAUAUUAUCAUUGUAUACAUUGACGGUUUUAUGUACCGCCAUAUCAUUUUCAUUUAAAUUUAAACACCAAAAUUUAUAUUUAUGAUACACAUCUAGAUUUGCAAGCGGAUAUACUAACGAUGUAUGAAAAGAUUUACCCGAAAAAAAAACUCUACUAUUCCAAGAAAAGAUGACCUUUUAUGUUAUAAUUUUUAUUUUUUGGUUUAAAAAAUGUCAUGUGAAUAUGAUGAAAUUGAUCGAGUGAUCUAUCAAUCCUAUUUCCGAAUUUAUUACUGAGUUAUUGAAUGUUUUGAUUCAGAUUAAAAAUUAGGUUCAGGAAUGUAAUAGUUUUAAUUUAUAAAUGUCAGGGAUGAAUUUGCUUCAUUAUAAAAGUGAGGGACGAAAAGAAUAUUUUUACGAAAUGUGAAAGAUGAAACAUGUCAUUUUCCCAUAAAAGAAAUAUCGACUUCUUUAAUGAGUUGCAAUAUUUUUAGCCAAUUUACACAAUCAGAAGGUCAAAAAGAGUACAAGUCAUAAGGGAAUGCCUUUAACAUUUCCUAAGAUAAAUUUAUUACUUCUUCUUUUAUAACAAAUUUAUUACUCCUAUAUGUUCUUAUAGCGAAAACAAAAAUCCCACUACGUUGCAAGUAUGAAAUAAGUUAGUCUGCAAUACAUUUUGUCUAAGAGAAUGCUGCAAUAUUAACCUUUAGCAAUCAUGGCUGAAAAAAGUUUACUCUGAAAAGCUUAUGAACAUAUUUUAGAUCCCGUUUUGGGUUACGGUACUUUUACUAAAAAAACACUAUUAUGUACUAAAAGUACUUUUGAAACGUUUGAUAAAAAUCAUCCCAUGAAAUCAGGAGUAGAGUUUUUUGUGUUAAAAAUACUUAUACAAAAACUCAAAUUUAAUGCUUUUAGAAUAGAUUUUGUGUUUUAGAAAAUAAAACAUUAAAUUUAAUCAUUUAAAUUUAAAAAUUUUAAAUUGCAGACUAUCCAAUAUAACAAGUACUUAUUAAACUAUAUAUCAAAUAAUAUACAUAAAAGCACUUAAGUAGUUAAUAAAUAAAUUUAUUAAAAAUUUUAUUGGUGAAGUAUUUUCCAAUAAAUUAGGGCAACCCCAAAUAGGCCCUCAACAAGAUUUGCCAAACAUGAAACUAGAAUGCACAAGGGCUUUGCAUUUGGUUUGUUGGUACAUUUUUGUUACCGCAUGUUAGUACCAUAAUACUUCAGGCAGUUGAAAACGACAAAUGGCUGACCAGAGAGCAACUUCUGGUUUGGAGAUUUCAAUAAUUAUUAGUACCAAUUAAAUUAUACAUACAUAAUAAUGUAAACAACAUUAAAAUGGUAGUCACAACUACUAAAAUUGGAAAUCCUAUAAUGGAUAUUGUUCACCCAACAAUCUUAUCAUAUCUUUAGAAUUUCUCCAAAUUUCAAUCUUCACCUUACCAAAUUUAGAUAGGGAGAUUUUAGCCUCGAAUUGUCUCCUACAAUUAUUCAUUACAAUUCUCGAGAACCUCGUUCUGUAUUUAUUUUUCUUGAGGUGACAAUCAUAUCAAAUCAUGUAGUCUAUCAAUUUUUUCAUAUAUAUAAAAAGCAAAUUUCAUUACGAGAUUGUUGAAAAUCGCCCAACGCAUCAUUAUUCUAAUAGCAGGUUAAACAUGUAGGAGAGAUAACACACUUGUAAUUCUUGUAGCACUAUUAAUUUGUCUGGUGCACAAUCAGACAUCCAAAUUCCAAAUUGUACAUUUGUUAGGGACUUAGCGGUUGGUGACACCAAAAGGAAGCAAUAAAUGAAGCUUUUCAAACACGUGAUAGCUAUACACAAUCGGACAUAAGUCGUUGAGUGGGCCUGUAUAAAGUCAUUCCUUGGGCCAUCCUUAAGCUUUUAUUUCUUUCGAUUUUGGCCCUACGCUUUUUCAAUAACCAAAUGGUGAAAAAAGAAGUUCCCACUAAUUGUUUGUCCAUUCUUUGAGUUAAUCUUAUUAUGAUUGAAUGCAUGAUGUAUAUGAAAAUUUUAAAAUUUAAAUUUAAAUUAAGAUUAUGUAUCAAGUAUUUAAUGGAGAAAGUAUAUACCUUAUUAGUGUAUAGAAAAUUAAUCUUUUUUUUUAUAUUGGAAGUAAUGCCAUUAUUCUUUCAUAAGAUUUUGAAAAUACUUUAAAAAAAAAAUUCAGUAGAGGAAUGAUGAGAUUUAAGAAGCAGGAGGAGCCAGGGGCUAUACCUUUGAAUAUUGAACUAUGAAAUUUUUUGUGAAAUUUUCAAGGUGAUGUAAAUGAUUACUUGCAUGUUGCUAAAAAUGGUUAGAUCAACUUAGAUUACCUUUUUUUUUAUAUCUUUUUCAUUAUGCUUGUAAAGUUUAAUUACUUUGCAUCUAGCCAUCAACUAGAUUUUAUUCAAGUAACUGCUUGAUCACCUUAUGUUCCCUCCAUAAUGUUGUACUUAGCAAAAGUUGAAGUGAUGUAGAAGAUAAAAAUUGUUGGGAAAAUGACAUGUUUUUUCCUUCACAUUUCGUAAAAAUAUUCUUUUCGUCCCUCACUUUUAAAAUGAAGCAAAUGCGUCCCUGACAUUUAAAAAUUAAAGCUAUUACAUCCCUGAACCUAAUUUUCAAUCUGAAUCAAAGCAUUCAAUAACCUAGUAAUAAAUUUCGGAAAUAGAAUUGAUAAAUCAUUCGGUCAAUUUAUCAUAUUCACAUGACAUUUAUUAAACCAAAAAAAUAAAAAUUAUAACAUAAAAGGUCAUUCUUUGUCUUGGAAUAGUAGAGUUUUUUUUUGGAUAAAUCUUUUCAUACAUCGUUAGUAUAUCCGCUUGCGAAUCUAGAUGCGUAUCAUAAAUAUAAAAUUUGGUGUUUAAAUUUAAAUUGAAAUGAUAUGGCGAUACAUAAAACCGUCAGUGUAUACAAUGAUAAUGUAGGAAAGAUUAAUCUUUCUUUUUUAUUUUUUAUUUUUGGUUCAUUAAAUUUUACAUGAAUAUCAAGUUGAGUUAACCAAGUGAUCUACCAAUUAUACCCUCAAAAUUUGUAAUCAGGUUGAUUGGUAGUUUGAUUCAGAUUGAAAUUUGGGUUCAGGGAUGUAAGAAUUUCAAUUUUUAAAUGUUAAGGAUGAAAUUGCUUCUUUUUUAAGUGAGGGGACGAAAAGAAUAUUUUUAUAAAAUGUGAAGGAUGAAACCGAUCUUUUUCCCAAAAUUGUUUUAACAAUAGCAUUUAGAAUUUCCAUAUUAUAGCAGUAUAAAUGUAAAUCUUCAAUUAAUUUAAAAUUCACUAAUUAUAUUUUUUUAUAUUAUAGACAGUAUACAUUUAGUGCAGUAUAAAGAUUUAGUCUAUAUAUAGGUGUUUCCAUAUUAUAGCAGUAUAAAUGCAAAUCUUCAAUUAAUCUAAAUUCACUGAGUACAUAUAUUUUUCUAUUAAAGAUAGUCUAUAUUUAGUGCAAGUCCAUUUCUCUAUCAAGGAAGGGUUAGAUAGGAUGACAAGGUAGGAAAAAUUGUAAAUACGAAAGCUUGUGUUCAAAGCUCUCACUUAUAGAAAAUAGAAAUAAAAAGUGCAUUUCUCUACUCACACACUUAUAUUCCAGAAUUAUUGGCAAUAUAUUUAAUGUACCUCUUAUGUUAAUUUUUCCUUAAAAAAAUGUCUGCUUACAUCAUUAAAAAAUGGUGUGGAAAAUACAAGGAUUAUCAGUUCAUAAUUAUCAUCACCAUAAAGAUUAUUCUUUACUAUUUCAUGCUAGCUGUUCUGAAAACAACAAGAAUGUCAUCAUCAGGAAGCUUGAAAAAAAUCAUAGCUUCACAUUUACCAACCCUUAAACAUUGUCUAGUACAACUAAUUUAUUGAUUUAAUGAUUCAUUAACUUUACACAUGUAAGCAUAAUGGUAUACAAGAAUUUUUCUUCUGUUCAUGAAUCUUUAUUUAAAUCAGCAUUUUAUUUUUGAUGGUAAAGUAUUGUCAUUAUCCAUAAACAUGCAAAAAAGUGCCACCAACAAGAAGUUAAAGCAAUUCCUAGUGUCACAUUCACUACAUGUCUUCUUGUGUUAAAGAAAUGGAUUAGCUUAUACCUACUUUUAUAUACAAUUCUUCAUAACUUUAUGUUAGUGUAAUGCAAGUACUUUUUGUCUUUUUUAUAAAAUGAGUAGUCUUUUUUAUUCUGCAUCGCAUCUCUGUCCCUUAGAUGCUAAGCCUGUGAUGACCUGGUUGACCAGGACGUCAAAAUAUAGGGCAUUAAAGGGUUGCUAAACGGCUUCAGCAGUGACGUAAUUUUGUCACAGUGCACAAAAUUUGUGAAAGAGGACACCUCAAGAAACUUUUUUUUGUACUCAGUGUGAAUUAGUUUAAUAUCUAUGUGUGUCUGUAUUGGAAUUGGCAGUCUGGCCGUAUUUGAAUUGCUAUUUUUGGAGUUUUUAUAGAAAUGUAUUAUAAUAAUUAUUUGAUUUAUAUCAGAGAUAAAAAGAUGAUUAAGAAAUAUAUUCAUGAAAAAUGUAUAAAUUUUUUUGGAGAAAAGAUGACUCUCCAAACAAGGCCUAACGGUUGUCACGGUCAUGUAAGCCUAUCAUUCCCUGGAAUUUAAGAUUUAAUGCACCAGCAACAAAUGUGGUAAAUGCUAUUUGAUAAUUGACAGGUAUGUUAACGAUUUCUUGUAUUCUUUACCAAAAGAUCCAAAAUAAAAUUCUCAAUAUCUUGUGGCCCUAUGGUAUUUAAAUUUUUUCUUUUAUUGAAGAAAAUAAAUAAGAAAAAGGCAGAGGAAAAAAGAAAAAGAUAACAAGGGAAUGAUUUUGGUUAUACACUUUGUUAAGAGGAAAUAAGCAAAAUUAUAAGUUAAUUAAUCAUUUGUUAGUCCCAAAUUUUGUUAAGUAGCUGAUCUAAAUUCUUGAUUUUGUUUAAAUUAAAUUAUUAGAAUUAGUUAAGCCAAAAAAUUAUUCCACAGGUUCGUAAAAAUAACCACAGGUUUUUUGGAUAGCAAUUAUUUCAAAUAAUAUUUCAAUUGCAUCAAUAACACAUUUUUUCAAUUCAUCUUUUUAUAUUUCCAGUCACUUUUUUAUCUCGCAUACACCACAUUACAAAAAGCGUUACAGUAAUUAUUUUUAAAAAUAUUUCAAAUAAUACUCUGCCCAAACAAACCCACAAUUUCCAUAGAAAACAUCAAGACACAUUUGCUUCUCUUCAUUAUUAAAAUAAAAGAAUAACAACAAAUUAAUUGUUUGCGAGAAAAUCAAAAUACCAGAAGAUAAAAUAGAAUAAAUUCGCAUCGUUCUAUCCUAAAUCACAGCUAAAUCCACAUCUUUUCAUCUUAAAUCCGUUAAUUUCUAUGGUAUGAACAACUCAAGGCGCACGAUAGGGUCGAGAGUGUCUAGCAAUACAGCUGCACGUGCAAAUUUCCUAUUGGCAUUUUAUCAUGGACUAUUCCGCAGUCCACCUUUGUUGAAUUUGUUUCUAUUUUAUUUUUUCCUUCUUUUUUUAUCUUUUUUUUUCCACUAUUUUCCUUCUGGAUAUUUUCUCAAAAGAAUUUUAUUACCUAAUAUAAAACCAAAAAAAAAGAUAAAUAAAGAAAUGGAAAUAGUGAGUAGUAACUGAUUGAUAAUACUCACAUGCUGUCCCUUCUUCCUUUCAUCGCCUGUCUUUCUUACACUCUCGCUCUCUCCCCUCUCUCUCUCUCUCAAAGUCCUGAUACAUUCCGCCAGUCUUCCACAGAACACACACACACACUCACACGCACACACACACAGUCUCUUCUCUCUCUCUGUCUUAGUACAUUUCCCAUUCUUCAUUCCAUCAACUGCCUUUCACACAGGAUACAAAGUCUCAGUCUUUCUGUGUGUGUCUCUCUCUCCUCUGAAUUUUUCUACCAUUAUGGAUGUUCAAGAUCACAAAAAAACCCCUUCAUCAGGUUUGUUACUCUCUUUUCCGACAUGGUUUUUGUCAAAGUCCUUGCUUUUUUUGAUACAUCGGUUGCUCUGUUUCUUGCUAAAGUCUUGCCGUGUAUUUCAAGAAUUUCUUUCUUUCUUCUUUUUGGUUUUACUUUCUUCAGUUGGGUUUUCUUGAUCCUGCUCUUUGAGUUUACUUGGUGAAGUAUAAUAUAUUUAUUUACACGCAGAACACACACAAAUUUGUGAAAUUUUGCUGCCUUUACUUGUGUAUUUUACUUUUCUUGCUGUCUGAGUGAUGAUUUUGUUCUUUUCUUGAAAUGCUGAAACAUGUUUUUCCUUGCUUGUUUUUACUAAUAGUAGUUUUUGUUCUGGUUAGUGUGAAAAAAGGGUUUUAUCAUAUGAUAAUAUUAAAGUUUUCUACAUUUCUUGAUGAUUAAUAUUGCAGCAGGAGGGCAUGAGGGGCAUGGGGUUCAUGUGUGCCACAAGUGUGGUUGGCCUUUCCAAAUCCACAUCCCAGUGCCAAACAUAGAGAGCCCACAAAAGGGUUUGUGGAAAAGUUGAAGGUUAUAAAUUAGUUGACUCAGAAACUGACCAUAUAUCUGAUGAUGACCAUCUUUCUGAUGACGAUAUUGUGAAAACCCCAAGUAAGAAAUAUUUUGAUAUUUUCUUUACACAGAAUUUAGUUUGAUAUUCUAGUAAAUGUAUUCUCUUUUUUUUUUUGGUAUUAUUGUUAUUUUUGGCUUAGUGCUAUUUUAGUGUUUUGAGAAUAAUACUUUUUAAGGUCCCAAGAUGGAGAAAGAAGUGUGAAGGAGGUUGGGAGUGGUGCAGGUAUUGGUCUGAAGUCAAGUAAAUCAGAAGAUGAUGUGUUUUCAGAUGCAGUCACGGAAUUUUCGGAUAGUGGGAUUAGUCCAAGCAUAGAAGAGCGCCUGGAGAGUGUUAGAGAAGUUGAUAACACUGUGGGAGCAGAACUGGUGCAUGAGCUAAAUGAUAGCCAAAAAUCUGAGGAUUGUCGAGCUGAUGGUAAGCAGUUAAUUAGACUGGUACCUUGUUUUCUCUUUUUUUGUUUCUCUGUUUGAACUGUAUCUGCUUUCUUGCAUGAGUACCUGAUGCAUUUAAUGACUGUUUCGAUAUAAACAGUUAGUAAUUAAACUUGUGCUUCAAAUCUACUAGAAAAUAGUUGGAUAGCUGCUACAGUUCACUGAUUUAUUUGGUAAUGUCUCAAACAACGCUCUUAUGAUUGUUCAAGCGUUAAACAUGUAAAUACAUCUAUGGGAAUUUCAUUGUUCUGUUUUAUUGCAUUCCAAUUUCAUAUUGUUGCAAGUUAAUAAAGUUUACUAUAGGAGUGAAAAUGAAGGCCUUUCUCUGACUCCUUAAUGGUGUGCUUUCUUUUAAAUGAAGAACCCUCUUUUCCCCCAGCUGUUGAAGGGGUGUUGCAUGGCGUCAGGAAGGAUGUUACAGGCUUUAAAGUCACUUUCUGAACACAUCAUUUACUUGUCAUUGUAAUGCUAUCAAAGAGUCCAAUGUAAAAUGUAUCUUGUGCUACAGAGGAGUUAAUGCAGUUGCAGAUCAGGCACUUGAGAUUUUUUGCUGAUUGAAACUGAAAUCUGUUUUUUCAUGGAGAUGUAGGUCUAGAAUUAGUGGUAAAAUUGAUAUAUGCCUUUCCUUUUGACAUUCGCCUGCCUUAGUUAUAUUUCUGGGAACCAUAAGUGGAAAAGGAGAUGGUCCAUUAGACAUGAAAAGCGAAUUAAAAAUUCCUUGAAUUUGGUUUUGGAAGUUGUAUCAUAGUGCUCCGUUACUCUGUUCCGUAUAUUUGGUGGACAUGGUUAAUUUCUCGCUUUAUGUGCUUCUGUUGAUUCAGAGAAUUAAUAAACUGAAAUUAAUGAGCAAAGUUGGUCUUUUUUUUUCCUUUUUUCCCCGAAUUGUGGUUUUUGUAUGAACAUAAAUAAUAAGAAAGCAUGCCAGAGCAUGUUAUUAAUUUUUUUUGAGUGUUCAGACUUAUCACUGGAAAUUUAGCAUUAAAUGUUGGCAGGACAGAGCAAUCUGCAUAGGGUGCAUAAAAGAAUGCCAUUUUGACUUGUCUGUGCUAGGCUCUAUUCAAGUAUAGAAAUAGAAUUUGUUUUCUCUAAUCAAUAUAAUAUCUAUAUGGUACUUACGAGGAAAACAGAAAACAGAAUAUUGCAGUGAUUGAGUUCCAGGACAAGCAAAUUUCAUCUUUUAUCUAUUACUUACUCUGCUUUUCUAAAUAGGUUCCAUAUUUCUCCUAAAUAGGUUCCAUAGCUUUGACAUUUUAACAUUUCAAAUGUCUAGUCAUCUUUUUGUGUUUUGACAUAUAUUUCAAAACAAUGGAAUGCAAGAUAUCAAACAUGUCUAAGUAGUCCAAUACGGAAUUUCUCUUCAACAUAAGACUGAAAAAGUUGGAAUGUUCUUAAACACAACAAUUAUUCAGUGUUUCUUUUAAUCCAGGUAUCUAAGUAAUCAUGUCACAAGGUCAAUCCAUGUGCGAACAUGACCCCAUUUGUUGAUGUAGCAUGUUAUGGUUGUGCCUUACUGGGUUUCACAUAUCUGGUCUGAACCUGAUCCAACUAGUGUUAUUCUUGGUCGUCUUCAGUUAUCGUGUCCCUGACUGAAAUUUCACCUUUAUUGCAAGGUUGGAGAUUUUUAACCAGAAAUCUGCAUCUUAUAUUUGUCAGUAUGUAUAGAAUGUGUAGUUGUAAACAUGAAACAUCUUAUUUCUUUAUUGACCUCUCUGAAACUCUUGGAAACCAGAGAUCUUUGCAUUCGUAUGUUCUGUUGUUCUCUUGCUUGAAUUCUUCUGGGAAUACAUGUCCUCUCCUGUUGUUCUCCUGUUGCAUUUGUUUGUUAGUUUGAAUACAUGUCAUCUCCGUUGCUAUCAAAUACAGCCUUAAGCUAACUUUUAAUUCUUGGUACAGAUGAGGCCAAUUUUGUGGUGUAUUAUCUUGUGCUCUUGACUUCAUUGCCUCCUAGAUCCCCUUAUCAAUUUAAAAUUACUAUGUGGCAUAUUCUCUGGCUGCAGAACUUUCUACAUUAAUAUCUUUUUGCACUGUAGAUACGACCAAACAACUGGAUGAUUUGACAACAGGUAGGGAAAUCUCCAAUGCUGAGGUUGUUGAAAGUGUAAUUAACGAGGCAGAGAAUACUAAGCCUGCAAGUGAUAACAGAGCUGAAGAAGUUUCUUUUGGAGUUGAACAAACAGAUGGUCUUCAGAUCAAUUCUUCUCCUAAUGUAUUUGAGACUAUUUCAGAGGACUUAGUUGCAAAUGCUGAGAGUGGCAAACAGAAAGAGAUCGGUUCUUCUAAAUCGGAAACCAAUAUACAAGUGAAAGAAAGUGUUAAUGAGGUUGAAUCCUCCACAGAAUCUGUAGUCCUUCUUAGCAAGUCUCCAGAUGAAGCAUCUCUAAGUAAGUCUAAGUCAGAUGUUGCAGAAGGAAGUUCUGGUUGUUUGGUAGUGGAAACAAUGGAACACGAAGCAGACAGAAAAGUUUCAGAUACUAUGACCAUGGAACCUAAGUUGCAUGAGGCCAGUGGAAGUAUAUCACAUGCUGCAGCAGUCAAAGAAAUUGUUGAACAGGAGAAAGAGCCGAGUAACAAGUCGGAAGCUAGGAUGACAAGUGUUUCCACCAUAAAUUGAAAUUAUUGAACAAGAGAAAGGGUUGUCUAAUGUGUUACAGGCUGAGAUGACCAAAGUUGAUCUCCCCUCUCAAACUGAGCCUCAUAAAUGCACUGAUACUUCAGUUACUACUCAAGCUGAAGCUGAUUCUGCGGGGGAUACAAUACGAGUUGGUCAUGAUGAGUUGGCUAAGGUUUGUGAUUUGAAGGAAGGAGGGGAUAAAGAGGUGCAUGUAGUAUCAGUUGCUGAAACUUUACCUACGGUAGAAAAUCCUGAGAUCAUGAUUGGAGAUUUUAAAGACUACAAAGUUUUAAGAUCCAGUUUUCCUGUGGAUCUAGGGGAUGCUGAAGUUACUAGGUCUGGGGAAGAUGCUAACAAAGUCAACCUGCCUGAGUCUGUCCUGAGUCCCAGUUCAAGCGUCCCUGUUGGAAGGUUGCACACCUCUAAUUUAAAUUCUAGUUGUUCAGAAGCUAGUCUUGAGAAAGAAGGCCUUUUAACACCUGUUCAAGGGCAAGUUGAUACUUCUGGGUUAAGGGGGAUCAGUGAAGAAGGCUCUGGAAGUAAUGGCCUGGAAGGUUCUUCAGUGAAUUCUGGUUUUGAAAAACAGGUUAUUGAAGGAUGUCAACCUAAACCGACUGAUAAAGAAUCAUCACAAGAUGGAGUUUCAGCACCAAGCUCAAUUGAACAUUCUGAUGUGAUGCGUGCUGUGUCGUCCAUUGAUGAAGAAUUCAGCAGUCAAACAACCAAAUUAAGUAACUUUGAUAAUGAUGUAAACUUGAAAAGUGAUCAUGUGAGGUCAGAAAAUGGAACAGAUCACCUGUUGGAUGAGGAUAAUAUUUCAAGUUCUAAGAAAUGCACAAUUGAAGUUGAUGUGGAAACCUCACAAGGAACUGAAACAGGUAGGAGCACUGAAGUACAAAGGUCUGAAGGUGUAUUUGUCGUGGAUCCUGAUUUAAUUCCUGAAGGCCAUAGUGUAGCAUCAGGUGAACAAUCAGAAAAUCCUAAGGAGAUGGAAGCACAAAUUUCCAGUUCAGAUUCUCAAUUAAAACCUGAAGAUCAUGGUGGAGCAUCUGACAAAAAAUCAGAAGAUUAUAAGGAGGCAGCAGGUUUGCCUGUAGCUUCUACAAACUCAAGCCAAAGUUCUGCUACUGUUGAAGACAAAAUUACCAAUGAUGCAGUCACUUCUGAAAUAGGUAAGAGCACUGAAGUACAAAGGUCUGAAGAUGUCUUUGUCGUGGAUCCUGAUUUAAGUCCUGAAGGCCAUAGUGUAGCAUCAGGUGAACAAUCAGAAAAUCCUAAGGAGAUGGAAACACAAAGUUCCAGUUCAGUUUCUCAAUUAAAACCUGAAGAUCAUGGUGGAGCAUAUGACAAAAAAUUAGAAGAUUAUAAGGAGGCGGCAGCUUUUCCUGUAGCUUCCACAAUAUCAAGCCAAAGUUCUGCUACUGUUGAAGACAAAAUUACCAAUGAUGCGGUCAUUUCUCAGCCCUUGCUAGAUGGAGACAAUGGCAAGCUCACAAAAGAAAGUGUACACGUUUCUGCGGUUGAUGACUCCGUUGUUUCAAGCAGCCGAACUGAGAGUUUGGAUGGGAACUGGGGAUCAGUAUCAGGUGCAAUUCCAUCUUCCUGUUUACGAUGCGAUAACAAAAUAAUCAUUUCAUUGCAAUCUCUGUUCUAGUUGGUGCCACAUGGCUUUUUGUUUUUUAUUUUUAGCUUAAUUGUUAAGUUUCCGUUUAUUUCACUUGCAAAGUGCAUCGAUAUUGAGUAAAUAUAUUAACAUGAGUGCAAGUAUCAGAAUGGCAUUCAUGUAUAUGUGUCCAGCAUGCAGAGGCUUGGUAGUCAAUUCCUGAAGUCGGAAGUGUGUAGUUCAUGGUAUAUGUGCCUGGCUCUUCCUCUCAUGCUGUUUGGAAUGUUGACCCUCAUUAUGAUGCUUAGCAAGAUUGCAUACGUUUUUCAUGUUUUGUUUUUGCUGAUUAAACAAAAGCUUACUUCUUGGCGGAUGAAACAGUACUUUCUACCCAGUCAGAUGGGACAGCUCUUGUGGAUGCUGAAACACUAUCUUCAGCUGGUAAUCAGGGACCAGAGAAAUCUGGGGUCAUGUCAUUAAAGCUGCAAACUCCGUCUCAGGAUAGCCAUCCUGACAAGUCAGAUGCUUUUGAGCCUCCAUCUUUCAUGACAUUGGUUGAAUCUCGGGUCGAGGAUGACAAGAAAGAUGUGGCCACAGAAACACAUAAUAUCCAGAAGACUGAACAGCCAAAUUCUGAAGCUUUACAGGCUGGCUGGUUUCCAUCUCUGACCAAUGUCGUUAAUGAAUCAGAAGGCAGAAAGAAAAAUGAAGAGAUUAUUGCCAAGGUAACAAACUGGAAUGCAGGAAGCAGCACAGUCCUUUGAAGAAUCUUCUGAACGAAGCUCAAGCUGAAACAAAGGUGAAAUCAGCUGACCAGAAACAAGUUCCUUCUGUGAAUCGGGGCAACGAGACUGUCUCGAAGAACAAUGGUGCUGCAGUGACUACUGUUGGCUCAAUUAUGGGAUCAGAAACGCCAGUUGACAAUGCUGCCAAGAGGGACAUGGAGAAGGAAUGGAAUUCCCCAGCAAGAUACCCAGUUGAGAUCAAGAAAGAAAAAAAGAAGGGAAAACCAUAUUGGGUACCAUUUGUGUGCUGCACUUCCAUACACCAAGACUUGUAAACCUUUGGUCUCGCAUUGACCGCAAGACAUCAUCUUGGAGGCACUUCGAUCAUUUUCUUUUUUCGAUCACUUUGAACAUGAAAUCCUUUGUACCUAUUGACUAAACUGCGGGAUUACUGCUUUAGCAUAAGACUGGCUCUUGUAGACUCUAGAUAAGGUGUCUCUUGUUACGAACAUAUAUUGCUAUCAGCUGCUUUUGUGUGCGUGUAUAUAGCUAUAGCAUUCCUGUGUUUGAAAGCAUAGGUGAGCUACACGAUAAUUUCCUGAAAGCUCUUUUGACUCCUUUUAAGUUCAAUUCCCUAAAUUCGAUGCUUAUUUUGUCAAUGUUAUGGUGGAGUUUAAUUAAUCUGGAUUUUGCCAGCAUCUUAGGAAUGCUGAGAGAUUGAGAUGCAAAUUAAAUCAUUCUUACCUCCCCUUGGCCUCCAUAUGCUGUACAAGAAAGUGCUAACUGAUAAAUAAGCAGACUCUACUUGGGGUGACUUGGCCUCCUGGCAGAUUGGGGAUGCUUAGAGCUACACAAUCUCAGCCUACUGGGAAAAAAGCUAUAGAGUAAAAUGUUAUCAUUAUUUAGUCAAUAUUGCCAAACUUCCAUUAUGGGGAUGAUUUGACAGAACUUAAUCAAGCCUAAAUCUUAAAUAAGCAAGCAAGAGAUGCAGUUUCUUAGCAUCCUCCUCCGUUUAUAGUGCACAUUAAUCCUACUGUUUUUAAAUCUACUAUAUUACUAUACACUAUAGAAACAAAACAAAAAUGCAAUCACUACAAGAAAAUGUCUCGAUCGUGACGACAUAAAUGGUUGGAUUAAGGCAUGUAUAAGCUACCACAUAAGUACAUUUACGUGUCUAAUGAGACAACAGAUAAUUCUCCAAUUUGGCAUUUACAAGUUAUCUGCUGUCCCAAUAUUACAUUUAAGGGAAAUUCUGCAAUGUGGUAUACCAUGACUGUGGAACAACUAUUCCUAGAAUAGUUGACUAUCAGGAAGAGUUUUAAACUUCUUCUUGACUUACAUUCAUGUUAGGAUUUCUUAAAAAUUUCACUUGCGCCCAUCUGGUUUGGUGGUGCUUCAGUUUUCUCUGAUUUCACCAUUAACUCCCUUGGGUCCACCUCUUCCCUUUAGUGUAGAGUAGGAGUAGGUAUAGAAUAUAAUUUUUUGUAUUCAAAAAAAAAAGAAAAAAAGUAUACCAUGUUUGUGAUACCGGUAGAAACAAGAGUGUAAAAAAAAAAAGAAAAAAUCAUGAGAUACUGUAAAUAUGGUAUGCCACAUGGUAGAUGAUCCCUUUUAUUUAAUCUCUCAAUUGUAAAUUCUUGUGCCCAAAUUCUGAUAUAUUCUGGAGAUGUCGCAUAAUGCCUUCAAUUAAUUGGUUUGAUCAUCAUAUCUUUACCUACACUUGAUAUAGAGCCAUUGCCAUAAUGGCUUUCUAAUUUUUAUGGGAACAUAGGAACUGCUACAAGUUUGGUUGCAGAAUCUGAGUAUAUCUACUGAAUAGACAGUUUGAAGUACCUUCUCAUAUGGGCGUAUAAUUGCAGAUCAUUGCAAGACUUUCAUUUAAAAGGUUGAGGUCUUAUCCUGACAUACAUAGAAGGAAAUAAGGCCUCUUUUUCCAUACUCUCUAAUCGUAUAAAUGAUAGAAUUUCCAUAUAAAUUGACACAAUAAACAUGAGUUAUAAUUGAAUUGGUGUAAAUUCACGAUUAUACAAAAAAUAUCUUAGUUUAUAUCGAAAUUAUAUCAAUUUACACAAUUGGACGGAAUCUCAACUGAAAAGGCUCAAAAAAAAUAUUGUGUGAUACUGUUCUAAUUCGUCCUUAACCUUUUGUAAUCAACGUUUAGCAGGGUCAGGACCACUUUCUUUUGCUUUUAGAAAUUUAUUAGAAGUUUGGUUAACAAAUCACUUGUAAAUAUACCAUUACUUUCUCCUAUUUCUACCCAAAAAAAAAAAUGCAUUGCCAUAUUUACAUACCAUCUCCACUUCCCGCUUACAAUGGCAGAGUCCUAUUGAGAGUAUUAUUCCCAGCCAAAUGACUUGGGCGCCACCUACUACUUACCAUCAACUCCAUAAGCCCUUCACAGCUUUCUUGAGCCCCUGCAAAACCCCAGCCUUGCACCUCCUAAUUUCUUGUUCCUCUACUGAAUCUUGUAACCGGAUAAUAAGGGCCAUUUUCACUCUCCAUCCCGUUCACAACAGUCAUUCCAGAAAAUAAAAAGAAUCAUUCUUUACAGCCAAAACGUUACACCAGAGCAUAGAGGAGAUUCUUUUGUUGAAUGGGUUAAAGAAAAAGCAGUCUGACCCAACUGAUAUUCUUCAGCAAGAUGGAGAUUGGAGCAAAGAACAAUUCUGGGAUUUCAUCAGAUUCCUUAGAGAAAGUUCAAGGACCAGUGAGAUUCUUCAGGUACUACCUCUCCUAUCUGUUGGAGUCAUCCAAAUCUCUUUAUUAAACUUUGGUUAAAUGGUCUUUGGGUUUGCUGAUACUUUGUGGGUAUUGGCUCUUGGGAAUUUGCUGGGAUAAGUUCUUUGGUUGUUGUGUGAAAAGCUCAGUUUGAUUGUGGUUUAUUUUUUCUCAGUGAAAAAAUAUGGUUGAUUUUUUUGCCUUUUUUGGGGUGGUUUGGGGCGGUUGGGGGGGUGCUGUUGCUGUCUUUAUUUUCAUUGUCCAUCAUGCAUAAGUGGUUUUCUGAAGUUAGAAAAUAGAAGACAGAGUUGAUAUGAAGGACGUAUAGUUGUCAUUUAUGUCUUUGUAUAUUAUAAAUAUGUUGUAGGCGUUUGACCUGUGGAAGGACGUGGAAAAAUCCAGAAUUAAUGAGGAGAACUAUGUGAAGAUUAUAAGCUUAUUGUUUGAGGAUGGACUGACAGAUGCAGCGAUAUUGGCGCUCAAACAAAUGGAGAGCCAUGGAAUUAGGCCUUCUCUGGAAAUGUACAAUGUAGUGAUUCAUGGGUUUGCAAGAGCAGGACGGUUUGAGGAUGCUGUGUUUUAUCUCGAGGAGAUGAUGAACGCUGGCUUAAAGCCCUGAUACAGAAACCUAUGAUGGGCUUAUUCAAUCCUAUGGGAAGUAUGGAAUGUAUGAUGAGAUGGGUAGAUGCCUGAGAGAGAUGGAAUCCGGUGGGUGUUUACCUGAUUAUGUAACUUACAACUUGCUGAUUCGAGAGUUUGCAAAAGCUGGAUUGCUCAACAAGAUGGAAAGCACUUAUAGUGCUCUUCUUGCAAAAAGAAUGGAUCUGCAGAACUCUACUUUAGUUGCAAUGCUGGAAGCAUAUGCCAACUUUGGAAUUUUGGACAAGAUGGAAAAGGUUUUCAGAAGAGUUUUAAACUCAAAAGCUUAUCUAAAGGAUGAUUUGAUUCGUAGAUUAGCCAGAGUCUAUAUUGAGAAACUUAUGUUUUCCAGAUUAGAGGACUUGGGACUUGAUUUAUCUUCUAGAACUGGCAGCACUGAUCUUGUGUGGUGUUUGCGCCUCCUUUCUCAUGCUUGUACUUUGAGCAAAAAAGGAAUGUAUUUCAUUAUUCAGGAGAUGGAAUCCAGUGAAGUGCCAUGGAAUGUAACAACUGCUAAUAUAAUGGCAUUAGCCUAUUUGAAGAUGAAGGACUUUACGCACUUGGAAAUUUUACUCUCUGAAUUACCAUCUCGAUAUGUAAAACCGGACAUUGUUACUGUUGGAGUACUUUUUGAUGCCAUCAUUUCUGGGUUUCGGGGCAAUCCAGUAAAAAGAUUAUGGACAAAAACAGGAUUUUUUGAUGAUACUGUUGAAAUGAACACAGAUGCUCUUGUUCUGAUUGCAUUUGGAAAGGGGAAGUUCCUGAAAGAUUUUGAAGAGAUGUUCCCCUUAUUUGAGGCCAAAACUAGAAAUGGGAUGUGGACUUACCGCCAUCUCAUAGAUUCUGUCAAGACUCGGUUUGUGGGUGGUUGAACAAUUUAAGCUAAAGGAAUUUGAAGUAUAAUGAGAGCCUUGAUGAAAUGGAGCAUAUUUGUUGUCAUGUUGAUGGACAUCUUGAAGGACUCUCUGUAAAGUAGAUAAGAAGAGGAUCAGAGUUACACUUGACAUAUGGGUGGUUAAACAAAUUGAAGCUUAGAUCAAAUCUAUAUACGAAAUGCAAGAAAGUUGUUGGCAUCUUGAUGGGUUCUCUACAUGGUACAUAGGAACUGUAUUAGAGAACAUGAAUUUUGGGCCAUCGGAAACUUGUGAUAGUCAAAGAUUCUGCUUUAAAUUCAUUUGCCUAACCUCCAAAGACAGCAUUCUAGUUGCAUCUGUAACUCAAGGACAUCGAUAUUUUUUUGUUUGAACUGAGUGUCAAAUGAUAAAUAUUAAGAUGCAUUCUCAGAUGAACUUGAUAAACUGAGUGAAUUGUUUGUUUUCUGCUCGCUGUCUUGAAAUACAAGGUUCUUCAAUCGCAUGGAGGCUGCCAACAUUUAUAGUUUCUAUUUACGUGCUUCUGGUAUUGAAGAAGAGACUGCAGAUAAAUCACCCUUAGCAAUAAAGAUGAUAAGAGUAUACUGACAAAGCUUCCAUGUCUUUCAGAAUACAGAAGCUGCAUUGGAAUUUCUUACAGGAAGUCUUAGUGGGAAGAGGGUGGGCCAGGUAAGGGGGUUAGUUAAGAAAGAAAUGUUGAUUAGCGGAAAGGUUUGAAUCGGGGGAAGGUUUUGCCUUGAAGAUCCUUCAAUAUGUGUCAUCUUCUUCAGCUGUUUAUUCUUGGUUUCCAGACCAUAGGUUGUGAUGGUAAGGAGCUUCCCCUCGGUUAUAGCUACACGAGUUCCCUGGAAAUUCCAAGGUGAAACAUGAAUUUGUAUGUUUUAUAAACUUUCUCAAAAUCUUUCUUAGUGUAGGUUCAACAAGUCCUUAUGAUUUCAAUGGAUAAAGUCAAAUAAAAAGGAAUAGAAUGGAAAAUACGAUGAGCAUAUGCCCUUUUCCCCUCAUCUUGGCUUGUAAAUUAUUUCUGGUCUUGGUGUGUGUUCUUUAGGUUCAAAAUUUUCUGCUGUAGAGUACCGAAAGAUCAUAGUCUUGGUGCACAUUGUCUUUUCCUUCCAAUUUCCACUGAGAAAAUUGAUUGCCAGUCCAAACUGGAUGCACUCUUGGUGAUCUAGUGGAGUAAAUACUAGCCAAGAAUAGAAGACAAAAUGGAAGCAUGAUAACUUUUUCCUCUUACGUUUUACAUACAAUUGGCAUGAUGCAGGCAUCUAUAUUUGUAUAAGCAGCAUAUAACUUCAUUACAAACAAAAAUAUAGACCAUGCCAUCACGGCAUUGGGUACCUUUUCCUAGUUACAUGGCAGAUGCCCUUCAGAUGCAGACUGAAUUUCUUCAAUUUAGAUUCAGUCCUCAUCCAUUAGACUCUUUGAGAAUGAAUCUAUUUCUGCCAGUAGUUCCUCAUUUGUACAUUGUGAUCUCCCUAGGCGAUCAUGAGAAGAUAGAGAUGACAUAAGGUUAAUGAGGAUCUCACAAACUUUCCCUGAACCAUAAGAAAGUCCGCUUUCUUUCUCCUUUUGCACCUCACUGGUGUCAUUUUGAACUUCAUCCACAUAUAAAUGUUUCCUGCAAGCCUGCAAGGUGAAUGUGAAUAUAAGUUUCUACUGGGAGCUCGCGGAAGAAUGCUUCUGCAAGGACGACCACAAAGAGCUGAAAAGAAUAUUGGCAUGUCAAACAGAUAUAUUAAUUUCUGCUGGGGUAUUUCUUUCAGUUGUGAACAUUUAUGCCUUGAGAUUUAGUGAUAUCUUAUGAAAGGAAAAGGAAACUAGAAAUAAAGGUCCGCAAACGUCACCUGGAAGACCCGAUUUAGGCUGGCAAUAUGUUCAGCCUUUAGAUACCCAGAAUUUAGAAGCUCCCGAAACAAAAGAACAAGUUCCCUGCUCACAUUACUUCUUGUAAUGUUUUGAACAAUUGCAGUUAAAGAAGAAUCAUCUAACACGGAAGCCAUCCAGUGGGGAGUUUCUUUUGAUUUUAGCAAAGCAAUAGCAACAUUAACUGCAGGCUUGUGAUGGAUCAUGAAAGAUGUUGAUCCGAUGCGUGGAACUGCCAAAAACAUUACUAGUUCCUCUACUAUCAUCCUGCACCAGAUGUUACUUUCUGCAGCUAAUUCCUUCCCAUCCAGCACUUUCCAAUCAAUAAACAUCGACAGACAACGAGAACAAUUAAGAGAGGUUCUGACAUCACUCGAAAAAAUCAGGCCUUCUAAAAUAGCCAUUAUGGACAAUAGAUAGCCACUUCUAAUGUUUAACCCAUCUGGCUCUCUACUUCCUUGAUCUGAUAUUUUGUUUAAUAGCUCCAGCAAGCAAUAUGAAGAAACGAGUUUUAUUGCGGGAGAGCCAAAAUGCAACAACUUGCAGAAAUCGCGACAAUGCAAACUAAUGUAGGCUAUUGGCUGCUUCUCAUUGCCAUCCUUGAGUAGAUUAUGCAAUUCUGUUAUCCCUGGUAGAACAGCUGAUAGACUAAGAAAGAACAGAAUUACUUUCAUAAAGAUGAAUCAAUAUGCAUCUUAAAAAAUAGAAAAGAAGUAAUUUACCUUCUUAAAGAGAAGAAUAUCAGUAAAAGCAAACAAAUAAGAGCUUCUCCAUUUUUUGUUUCUUCUCCUUUUGAACAAGCUUCAGCAAUAGCUUGUUUUAUUAUUGAGGCUAAAGGAGUACUCAGAAGUAUGAGUUUGGAAGUUUCAAUCAGCACUUGAUUUGUAGAGUGGUGCAAUACCAAUGCAAAAAUGCUGAUCACCAUAAUACUUUCUUGGGUCCAACAAUCUGUUUUUCUUGUACCUGUCAAGUAAUUCAUCAACUACAAAGUACGAAAAGGACCAAAUUAAUAGUAGGCAACCAGAAGAAAAUGCAAAGAAGUAAAUUUCAACUGAUUUUACCUUAAUGGAAAUAGCAACCCAAGUUUCAUCAUCAGAAAGUGACUCAGAUUGCACUGACCGUAAAAUUAAAAUAACUAGAUUGGAGAUGUCGAUAAAUAAGUCCGGAAGAGAUGAGUAUCUUGAGUGGCUAUAAAAAUUACGGAUUGGACUGGCUAUCCCAUGCACGCAUAACAGAUCUGAAGUAGCUGGCAUCACUUUAAUUAUUUCUGCAAUUGUAUGAACUACUGAUAUGAUGUCAUCUUCUUGGUCAUCCUGUUCUAUGAGCUCUCCAAGUAAACACACAAAAUGCAUUGAUCCAAAAUUAUGUCCCGACAUUAUCAACUCUGCAAUUGAUCUUACAUCUAAGUUCAGCUUAUUUUUGCCAAAGGCAAUAAUACUGCUUCCUCCAGAACUGUUGCUUCUACAAAAAUUCAGCAUCUGUUCUGACAGUAUCUUAAAGAUUUUAUCUUGUUGGAACAACCAUUGAGAGAAGUAAAAUGAAACUUUAUUGAAAGUAAAUUCCAAUCCUCAUCAGUCAAUAGAUGGAACAGGAUUCUUUCUGCUUCUGGGCUAUAAGGGACUUGGUAACUCAUCUUGGCAAGACCUCUAUAUAGCCCAUAAAGAUUCACAAGUAACUCAAUUGUCAGUGAAGGAGAAGCUCCACACAAGAGAUCACUGCCAUUAAGCAAAAUAUACUGCUCUAAAGAAGCCAGCGCCAUCUUAUCAUCUGCAAGCCUAGGAAUAAGCAACGAACAAAAAAGCACAAAAUUCAUGUGAGACAAAUGCAAAAUAAACAUUUAUGGAGCAAUAGUGUGAGAAAUGGUCAGCAAAUCAAUUACCUAUCAUCAUAAAGAGAGCUUACAUAUAGUAUUAGAAGUACUGCAGAUUGACAAGAAAAUAGAUGCAUAUUGUGAGAGCUCUUCUGCCCCAGAAGGAACAGCAAAUCUAUAGGGUCAGAUGGUAGGUGGAAUGCAGCACCUCGUAUUGGCUGUCCUGCAUCUUCACCUAGGAGCAGAUCCGCUAUUAAACUGAAAAUCAGAUACACCUUCAUUUUUAAAUUUUCAGAAGGAAAUGACCCUAAACAUCCUAAUAGGACACUAAACCAGGAUGAAGAGACCAUAAUCUCAGCCAAUUUCUUGAUUUCAGUGUCAGUAUCCUGAAUCAUUAUGGAUUCAAAGGUUUCAAUCACCCCCAGGAUAAUAUCUUCCUCUUCUAUGUCAUUGAUGGUUGUCAUGAACCAUGGAAGUAUAUCUUUUUGACAUACGUAAAUGAUUCCACGCCUCAGACCAAGUUAAUUGGUUCACUACUAUUUUCUGCAUGGCUAUAUGCAUAUGUUUCUUUCAACAGGUAAAGGGAGUGCAAAAGUUGAUCAGGGUGCUUAUCAUAGUUACCCAAACAAGACAACACAGCGUCUCUUGAUGCAUCAUGAAGUGGCUUAAACUUAAAGCCCCACAGGAAGAUGAAUUUUUCAUUAGAGUAACUAACAAUGUGCAGGCCAGAUUGAAUGUCUCUGGAAGAAUGCCUGACUCCCUGCCUGUAUUUUUCUUAAGCAUCCCUGUCAUAAUAGUGCUUAGUUCUUCAACAUCAGAUCUGGAAACUAUUCCUGGACACUCUAACAACAGUUCCCUACAAGCUUCAGCAACUGAGUUUGGGCAGGAUGAAAAGGAACUUUGGCUACAUGAUGCAGAACAGGAAUCAGGGUUGCAAACCCAAUGGCAAGCCUUUGUCUAAAUGCCUGCUCAGCUGUUGAUAGUACAUCAAGAACCUGAAUGCAAGAGUUUACCAGUGGAUCCUUGCAUCCUAGAAGAGUAGAGGAAAAGUUUUCAGCAGAUAAAAUAUACACAUCAGUUAGUGGUGGAUAAAAUAAAUGAAAUGCCAACACAUUAUUAGCUUGACUUUAUUAUAAGCUAAGCUGCACUUAAAUGCCAAAACAGUGACAUGAUUACAGGACAGGACUCAAGACAUAGAACUAUUAAGUACAUCAUGCUCUCCAGCUUUUUCCUAGUGCUUAUGUGCAAUAUCAAAUUUGCAAUUUUCAUUCCUACUUCUGCGACAGACUAACACAUUGGAUUGGCAAAAGUAUCACAGUUUUCCUAAUGAAGCUAACCUGAUAAUCUCAGUAUUUCAAGUACAUAAUCUGCAAUGUUCUCCUCUACCAUUACUGUGAUUUCUUCUUCAGUGCCACCUUCACAUGCAAGCACCAAAAAAAUCAAAUCCAAUGUGGCAACUUGAACUUGGCAAUCUGAGGAAAGCAGGGGACUUUGACAGCCUCAGCAAACAAGCUAAUGAGAGGACGGCCAUCUGUGGUCUGCUCUGAUAUUUGCAUCAGAUUCUCUGCUUCAAAGAAUCCUUUACUUCAUUUCUACAUGUAUUCUCAAACCAUCCUCUAAGAGCAAACACUGUCAAAAGUGCUACAAGGCAAAACAGGAAAUAAUUAGGUCAGAUCAAUCCAGAAGUAAAUCUUUGUUUGCAUAAACACCUGGUAGUAUACGAGUCGCUAUUGAUCUAAUUGUGUGUAUUGAUGCAGUAAACAAGCAAUUGAUUCGUAUGGUUUAGCCCAAUUCUAAAGAGCUUAGUGUUUUAAGCAUCAUAGCACGAAGGACUUGGAAUCAUAUUUUGAAUUUGAGAUCUUAGUGAUUUGCACCCAAUAUGGAUCAUUUGUUUUCACAACUUGAUACCCAAAGAUAGAACUAGUGUACCAAAGUCAUCCUGACUUAUAAUAGCUUCCACAACAAUAUGUCCUGCAACAAUUAAUGCUUGACCCAAGUUGUUUCCAAAAUUACAUGAUGCAGUUCAAACUUGACAAAAUUAUAUUCUUGGUGUCUGGGUUCAGACUGUAAAUCUUAUUCAUGUGGAACAAUCAUUAUAACAUAGUUCCUUUAAAAAAUAGAAAAGCAUAUCAAAAUAGUACAUAGGUGGAAGAUCUUUACAGUGCUUGCCAUUUUGGUCAAGGUAAGGCUGCAUAGGCAUAUGUCAUUGUUCUCAGUAGCAUUCUGAAUUUAGAGACUAAAACUAGAAUCUUUAUUCACCCAAUAUAAACCCUCUAUAAAAAUCUUUCCUGCAACCUGGUAAUCCAGUAUUGUCUGCAUCAAGGAAUAUCUGCCUCCUAAAGGCAGCUGCUAUCUGUAUAAUGAAUUUGACUCAGGUCAAUGCAUGCCAACUCCACACUAAGGUGACAGUAGGAAGCAUGGAAAUUACGGAGAAAAAGAGAGAAGAGCAAGCUAAAGUCAGUUAUAGCCUCAUUUCAAACAACAGACCAACCUAUACAGUUCAACCGAACAUCAUCACUUUGAGUCUUCAUGAGGGCUUCCAGUGAUAAGACCAAAAGCUUAGCACAAUUCGCAUCUAAUACUUCAGAAAAAUCAUUAUCUUCAUUGGCAUUGACCAGGAAAGCUAUUUUGUACAAAACAAACAGAAUCUCUCCUUGGAUUUCUUCACUGUAGUAAAAGGAGGAAAAAUUAGAAGAAAACGACAAAAGUUGAGGCACAUAAAGAUAUUUCAUCUUUUAUGUAAUCACCUAGGCAACUGAAGACCUGCGAUAAGGUUGAAAACAAGGGCACCUUUGUCUUUGACAUAUAUAUGAGGAUUACUUUUCUGACACUCCAAGAGAACGCCCAAGCAAUGAAGCUGCAAUCAACAAGAUUAGGAACUUAAAUUUCCAAGAAAAAAUGAAAAAUGACAGAUAAACUUCACUCCCAUAAAAAUUGCUCUGGAGUCUUCAAAUUUACAAACUAAUUCAUCUAUACAUCACUUGAUAAACAUUUGGGAAAAUUACAUCUGAUAAAGGAAGGAAAGAUUACAGGCACUGAAAUUGUCUACUUUGUGAGCAAAAAAUAGUUAGUAGAUGUGAAAAUCCUCCAAAACCAGAAAUGAGAACAAAAAAGAGAAAAUGGACAUCAUGGAGCACAAGCAUUAUAUUUAUCCACACACACAAAAGAGGAAAAUUCAGACAAUCAAAUAGAAUAUAACAUAAUUUUGUACUACUAAUUAUGAAGCCUGAUCCAAGCAAUAACAGAAUAACGAUAAAACAACACUAGAAAUGAAAAUGAAAUGUAAUUUUGAAAUAAAAAUUCCAAAAUUUUCAUUAUUAAGAAAACUCAACCACAAAUAAAAAAGGAAUACUUUAGUAAAAAAUGAAAAAAAAAGGGAGUUACAAUUUGGAGCUGUUGGCAACUCCAAGCUAGGGAGUAAGACGAGAGACGAUCAGUAACUUUUGCGACGAACUCUCCGUACACUUGACCAUCCUUAGCAGCGUCACAUAUUAGCAAAACCAAAUCCACGAUUUGUGCGGCGAUGGCAGCAUCGUUGAAGGCGGAAAGGGACUGAAUGAGAGGAGAAAUUAGGAAAUGAGAGUGGAAAGUGACGAAGGAGUGGAGAAAUUGAGGUUGAGCCAGGGCUUGGGAGAGUUGAGAGAGGGCGUAGGAGACGUGAACUGUUGGGGAUUUGGGAUUGGAGAUGAGAUUCGAGAGGCAGACUAGGCAGAUCCUUCCGCCUUCCGAAGUUGGGAGGUUUAAGGCCGUGCUGUGGCCUUGCGAGCAUGCUUCGUACGGCGGCGGCGAUGUGGGAGUGGUGGUGCGCGGUGGUGAAGAACAUUUUUGGUUCUUUUUUGAAUUUGAGCAGUGAGAACUUUUGGCGCGGAGGGGAGUGAACGGGAUUUUAUGGUUGGGACUCGGGAGAAUGAAAGUUGAAAAUGGUAAGAGUUUUUUUUUUUUUUUUUUGUGCAGAAAAAGGAUAAAUUAUGAGUUGAAUCAAAAUGUGAAGUUUUGAAAUGAAAAUUAUGGAUCCAAAAGAUAAACGUGUGAUAUUGUAGCACUGUUUUAUUACGUAACGAAUAUGAAGUAAAAAUAGAAUUAAAAAUAUAAACAUGUAAUUAAAAAAUGUAUUUACGAUAUAACAAAAAGAAUUCUAAAAUAAUUUGGCAUCCAAACAAUUAGUGUCAUUCGUAAAUUGUACUGGAAUAUUUCAAAUGUAUUAUAAGGCAGUUGAAUAAUUGAGAAUUUAAAAAGUUAACAUUCGACUAAAAUGAUAAAGAGAAUAAGAGUGUACAAAAAUAAAAUAAAAUUCAAACGAAUUGGAUUUCAUUUGUCAUCCCUCAAGUAUAAUAAAAAGAGAAGAGGAGUAACUGUAGCAGCCCCAAAGGUUGCCACAUGAUUCUCCUUCUUUUUGACAAGUAGCAUAUUUCGUGAUUUAAUUCUUUUCUUUUCUUUUUUUCAUUAUUUUCCCCUCAUUUUCUCCUUCCUUUUUGAUCAAGACAAAAAUCUACACAAAUCCUAAUGUCGCAGCUUCAUCCUUUCCCAUCCUUUACCUCUUUAUCGCUCCCACGCUUUACACCUUUCUCUUUCAAUGUUCUUUCUCCAAAUGAGGCGAAUUUACUAACAUACUCAUAUUGUUAAUUUUCUUUCUAAAAUUUUGCCAAUGUAUUCCCAUUUAUACUUUUCACUGGAACAUUAUAUGUUAAAUGAUGCUUUUAGACUCUGAGUUGCGAGUUGAAUGAGUUAUUUUUUUCUAACGAUAUUGACACAGUUUGUCAUGCUAUUAUUAUAUUUUCAAGUAAGGACAUGUGAAGGUGUAUGUAUUUGUUAGAAUUAAUUUUACAAAAAAAUUUUCAUGCUUUCUUUUUUUAGUUAAUUUUUAACUUAGGACUGUCUUAUUUUUGGAUUAAUGUUUUCGAAUUAGCAAUGCUAAACAGAAACACUAUCAUGUUGAAUCUAUAUUUGUUUGCCAUAUAUUUAAUUCUUAUAUUGCUGCUAUUUUUCUAAAUAAAAAUGUAAUUAUAUAUAUUUUAAACAAUAUUUUACAUGGGCCCAAGCUGUGCCUUGCACGGCGUGGUUUUCCUAGUAUCAUAAAAUACCGAAAAAGAAAGAUUUGAUUAAGAGUUAUGUGUAUAAAACUUACUGGAUGGAAAAAAAAAAAAAAAAGAAAACCAAUAGGUAAAAUGGAAAACAACAAAAUAAGAUAAUUCUAAUCAACAAUGUAAGAUUCACAAUCCUCCCAAAAAGAAAAAAAUAAGUGCUAUAGAUAUAGUAGGUGAACUAGACUGAAAACAAUAGCAUCAUAGUACUUAAUUUGAACCAAAAGAAACCAAUGCAAAAAAAUGACAAAACUUGUCUAUGACCGCCACUAAAUAGUCUAUGCGUAGACAAUUCACUUUCUAUCAACAACUAAACCGUAAUCAAUUUCAGCUUCAGGUAAUUUGUUCUACAUUUAUCAGUCACCUCAAUGAGGUGCAUUAAGCAAUAUUAAUAUUCUCAUUAAGACAAGAACUAUCGAGAGUAAGACUUGAUUAUGACUACAAUUCAUCAUAAAAGAAUAGCUAAGUCCUAUGUGUAGAAAAAGUGUGGAGGAGAUAUAUAGAAGCCAUAUAUCAUCUUGUUCUUCUGCAGAUGGAACUUUUGGAAUUGGUGGAGUCAACUACAAGAGGCAGUGGAAAGGCAAGAAGGGAGGGAACAUACUGACUUGACAUCAAACUUAUAAUGGUAAAUCUGGAAAGCCAGGAAUCAGAAUUGCUUUAAUUCAGAGUGUAGAGAGAAAGAGGAAACAGAAGAACUGGGAAGAAAUAAGACUGUUAAAAAUCCAAGAAACAGUGCCAUAUAGCAAGCAAUUAACAUCUUCACUGAUUGUGCACCUGAUAAGAGCCCAGGAACAAAGCUGGACUAGGUGUGAUAGUUAAAGACAACGAAAAAAAUUCUCAUGGAAUGGCUACUUGGGAAUCCCUGUGAAUUUUUGUGCAAGAUCAUAAAAGCAAUAGGAAUCACGUCUGACCUUGCUUUUGCCAUGGAGAGUAAAUUCGUGCAUCUAUUUGUAUCUCCUCUGAUUGCAAUGAAAUAGUUACCAGAAUUGAACAAUGAUGAAUCUUUUCUAUCUAGCGUAUCACAAGACACUUGGAGACCUAAGUAUAGCUUUUGAAGCAGCUCUCUCAUUUAGAUUCAUAGGCAAGAGAACAAAAUAUUAGCCGUUGUUCGGCAAAAUUUUGCCACUAAACUCCAUGAUGUAAAGUGGGAACUGGAGGGAAAAAUUUUGCCACUAAAAAUUUGCUCCCUGAUGUCAAGGGAGAACUAGGUUCUCCAUGGACUGGGGAUAGGGAAGUUGCCAUUAAUUCUAGACUUAGUUCAAUACAAAGCAGGUUACAUUUCCACCCCCACUCCCAAAACAAAAAUAAUACUAAUGCUUCCUAGGCCGAGUGAAUCGGCAUUUGAAGGCAAAAGACGCAGAUUUAAGCUUCCAGAGAAUAGUUACAUGGUGAAAUCUAAAUAAGAUCAAUCUUCAAUACAAAAUGAAAACAUAAAUAACAACUUUGGUAAAAAAGUUCAUUGGUAGAAAAGCAGCAAAAGAACUCAUAGCAAAGGUGAAUUGACUGACACAGCCUGCAGAACCUUCCAAAGUGCAUGUGUAUAUGCUACAUUCAAAUGCUAUAGAACUGUCAAAAUAAUCAAAAUGUUCCAGGAUUUUCAACCUAGAGCGCUGGAGCAAUUAAAAGUACAGAAGUUCAAUACAACACAAAAUCUAAACCUGGAUGAUAAAUUACAACCACAAAAGGCAAAAUGUAGCUGCGAUCUUCCUAAGCAGCACUCCAUGAGAACACAGAUGCCUCUAUUAUCCUGUAUGCUCACUCGCCCUUCCAAAACAUCUUCAACAUAAAGCUUUUGGGCCCCUUACUUUCAAAGAAGCCAAUGCCGCCGACACGCCAAAGAAUGAUGGCUCCUUAUUGUUCAAUAUUUGAACAUUUAUUUAAGUCCGACCUCUCAUUUCAUGAAUGACUGGAAAGAAAGGAAUGAACACAAAUUGAAGCACAAGGAUACCAAGGGGAGUAACAUCUCAUCUCAUUCUGGAAUUCUUACAAAAUCAAGAAUCAUUACAUACUAAUCUCAAGGGUCCAAUCAUUUCUCUCAAGAAGAUUGCACUGCCAGCCGCUGAAGAUGCUCAAAAAACACUUGAAGACUCACAUCAUCGGUGAAGAUUAUGUCUGUUCAGCUGCCAUCUCAUGCGCAUUAUUGUACGUAGCUGACGGGUUCAACUUUGCCAGUAGGAAUCUUGCCUGAUUUAACAUUGACAAAAACUCGUAUUAGCAGCAAACUCAAGUUUGCUUGAAGGGGGAAAAUAUACAACAAAUUAGCAAUAAGACCAGCUGCAGAGCUAGUCUAGUUUUCAUCGUGAACCGUAUUGAUCAUACUAUUAAUUUCACUCUUCUUUCUAUCUAAAGGAGAAACUGAGGGAUAAAGCUGAGGCAUAAAAUGAGGGAUAUCACUUUAAUACUGAGGCAUAAAGCAAGAGGGAUAUUAAGAAAAAAAAAAAUGAUGACAGCACAAAAAUAAAAAUGAACAAAUUGAUGGAUAAAAGAUAAACAGAAAAAAAAAACAAAUUUAUACCCAAAUAUCUCCCAGAACCUCACCCCCAAUCCAAUCACCCCUGAAACUGACCAGCACCUUCAUUAAAUUAGUUGAAUAAAUCGCGAUGUCUUGCAUAUGUGGUGUAGCUCAUGUUAAAACACAAUUACAAAGUACCUUGCAGAAUGUUUAAACAGACCAACCCAUUGUUGUGUAUUCCUCGUGUAUACACAAGUUUACAGAAUAAAAGUUUAUGUCAAAUAGCAAAGAGUAGAAGGUACAGAUGACUUUCAAUGAUGACAACCUGUCACAGUAGCAAAAGUACUCGACAGCAUUACUUUUCGUGGACUCCUGUUACAUUUGUUUCAUAAAAGAGGUUGAGAUUGCAUCAUCACAACCAAGACAUCCUUGGCUAGGCUCCUAAGGACAUCAUAAGAGAACUCUGAAGUGCCCCAAAGGCAUGUGUACCCAAAUCCCAACUGAUGGCUUAUUAGCAUUGCAUCAUCGGAAUGAUCCUUUCUGUAUAUUCUCUUCCACCCCCUUUCUUGCUCUAUUCUCUUAUCAGUACUGUGCUAAUAACCUAAUCUUCUCUCAAAGAAAACUUUUUCUUUGUAUUCCCCUAUGACUGAAAACAUCAAACCUGUCUCUAUCUAAAGGAAUGACCCAACAAGAUGUAAAUGAACUGCAUUUUCUCAUUGACCGGUCUUAGAACCUUAAAAAAGCAGAUAUCAUACACACUUCUACAGAGUUUUCCAUGACAGAACAGGUAUUAAUUCAUCAUAAGGGGACAAAGAAGUACAAAAUAUCACCCUAUGAUUUCGAAAGUCAGAAACAAGUACCCAAACACCAUAACAAAAAAGCAGCCUAAAUUUCCAUGAGCCAGUAUGUAUUUUUUGAAUGUUUCACCAAGCAGAGUUCCCUGCUUUUCAGAAUGAAGUAAAAAGCAAGGAUGCAGACUAAUAUAAAAUCUAGAAGAGAACAUGUAUCGAUAUCAUGGCAAGACAAUUACAGGCAAAACUAGGAUCAAACAAAAAUAACCUGUGACCCAUGCUGAUCGCAAACCACCAAUCUGGGUGUGGGAACCGAUCACGAAUAAUUGUCUGGGCAUCUUCUUGAGGAGCUUGCAAGAAUUGUGCAAAUACCUACAUAGAUGAUGAAGAAAAUAGUCACAAAGAAAGAAAGAAAGAAAGAAAAGGCCCCCGUACCAGGGUACACAGUUGAUCUUGUUAUCUCAGCACAAUCUCAUUUCCAUAUCAAAUUAGAUACUCAUAAAUGGGAAAAUAGCACGAAGUGAUAGCAAAAAUACCAAAGAAUUAUCAUAAGAAAAUAGAUAUCUAUCAAUACAUAAGCUCAUGUGAACCCAUAUAGAAGCAAGCUGAUAAGCUGAGUACUUACCAGGAGAAGCAAAACCAGAAAAACAUAGGCUCCGUUUGGAUUAGCUAUUUUUAGGAUUGUUUUUCAAAAACAGCACUGUAGCAUUUUGUUUAUGAAAUACAAGUCCGUUUGGAUUAAUUGUUUUUGGAGUUGUUUUUCAAAACUAUAUGAAAAACUUUUACUGUAGAUUUUUUUGGAUUAUUUUUAGAAGUAUUUUUAAACAUUUUUGGGUAUUUUUAUAAUUUAUAAUUUAUAUUUUUUAUUUUUAUAUACAUUUAUGCAUUUAUAAUACAUUUAUAAAUAUUUAUAAAUAAAUAUAUUUAUAUAUUCGCUAAAAAAUAUAUAAAUGUAUUAUAAAUGUAUUAUAUUAUAUAUAAUACAUAAUAUAAAUAUAUUUAUAAAUAUAUAAGUGUAUUUAUUAUAAAUGUAUAAAUUAUAAAUGAAUAUUAUAUAAAUGUAUAAAUUACAAUUUAUAAUUUUUAUAUUUAUAUAAAUAUACAUUUAUGCAUUUAUAAUACAUUUCUAAAUAUUUAUAAAUAAAUAUAUUUAUAAAAAUAUAUAAAUGUAUUAUAAAUGUAUUAUAUUAUAUAUAAUACAUAAUAUAAUAUAUUUAUAAAUGUAUAAGUGUAUAUUAUUGUAAAUGUAUAAAUUAUAAAUGAAUAUUAUAUAUAUGUAUUAAUUUAAUUUAUAAUUUUAUAUAAAUAUACAUUUAUGCAUUUAUAAUACAUUUAUAAAUAUUUAUAAAUAAAUAUAUUUAUGUAUUUAUAUAAAAAAUAUAUAAAUGUAUUAUAUUAUAUAUAAUACAUAUAUAAAUAUAUUUAUAAACGUAUAAGUCUAUAUUAUUAUAAAUGUAUAAAUUACAAAUGAAUAUUAUAUAAAUGUAUAAAUUAUAAUUUUAUUAAUAGAUAUUAAUAUUAAGUAUAAAUGUAUUAAUAUAAUUAAAAUAAAUGUACAAAUGUAUUAAUAUUAUGUAUAAAUAUAAAUUAAUAUUAUGUAUAUUAAUAUAAAGUUAUAAUGUAUAUAUAUUAUAUAUAAUACAUAAUAUAAAUGUAUAUUAUAAAUAUACAUUAAUAUAUUAUGUAUAAAUGCACAUUUAUAUAAAUGUAUAAUAUAUUAAUAUACAAUAUUCAUAUAAAUAUAUAAAAAUAUUUAUAAUAUGUAUAAAUAAAUAUAUAAAUAUUUAAUAUAUAUAAUAUAUAUUAAUAUUAAUUAUAAAUAUUAUAAUAUUAUAAAUAUGGUGUUUAUAUAGUAUUUCAAUUUGUAAUAUUUAUUGUAUAUUUCAUUAUAUAAAUAUUUAUAUAAUAUAUAAUAUAAAAUAUAUAAUAUAUAAUUUUUAAUUUGUAAAAUAUACAUAGUAUUGUAUAUUAAUAUAAUAUACAUAAUAUAUAAUAUAUCAUACAUAAUAUACAUUAUUACAUUAUUACAUAUUAUGUAUAUAUAUAUAUACAUACCAUUAUUAUACACAAUAAUGUACAUAAUAAUAUUAUACAUUAAUAAUGUAUAAUUAUAAUAUAAUGUACAUAAUAUAUUAUGUAUAAAUAUUUACACAUUUAUGUAUACAAUAUUACAUAUUAUAUAUAUAUAUAUUAUGUAUAAUAUACAAUAUUAUGUAUAAUAUUAAUUUAUAUAAAUAUUUAUAUAAUAUAUAAUAUAUAUAUAAUUUUCAAUCUGUAUAUUUCAAUUUAUAUUAAUAUAAAUAUAUAUAUAAUAUACAUAAUUGAAAUAUACAAAUUGAAAUAUACAUAUGUAGUUGUUUUUGAUAUAAUGUUUGGAUAUGGUGUUUUUGGAGUUGUUUUGGAAAUACACAUUUACUGUAGCAUUUGGAAUGUGAAAAACAGUUUUUCAAAAACAGCCCCAAAAACAAGGGAUCCAAACACACCCCAUAUUCAAAAUAGAAAUUCUGACCAGUGGAAGAAGCAAAGAACAAAACGCGCACAAACCUGGUGUUCUGGUUGAUUCUGGUAGCCCAUGUUUCUCCACUGAGCUAUCGUCAUCCCAUGGAAAAUUACAACACUGAAGUAUGUAUCUAACAACAGAAUACGAUCAGCUGCAAUUGAUGCCACAUCCAACAAAGCAGGUGUGGGCAAUGAAUGGAAAGAAUAUGCCAUCAGUGAUGGUUGAAUCAUAACAACGGAGUUGCUUAUGCUCUCCCGGUUGAGCAACAUGCGGAAGUAUGCGUCUCAUCUGGACUGUUAUUAAAUACCUACAUAGAAAAGAGAGGGUUCAAGCCAAUAGGAUGAAAAUUGACAAGCUAUAAUUCUAAGCGACAUUCUAAAGCCCUGCCUAUACCUGCACAAAUUGUGAACGCCGCAGAUUAAACAUGAAUUGAGGAAACAAUGAAAAAGAGGGAUUUAAUGUAAAUGAGGACGGGUCAUCCUUCCGGUAGUCACCGAAUUUGGCACAAAGACGAAUCAGAUUCCGAUCCAACCACCGUGUGGCAUCAAAACCAUCCUGAGAUUUAUAUCCAUCAACAACAAUAUAAAGUUACAGUCAGCAUGUAAGUACAAGAAUCAUUUACACAUUUACUUUUUAAUUAAAAUAUUUUAUUGCCCAAUAUGAAUCUGGUAUGCAAUUUAAAAUUUCUUUGCAAAGUUUUAGUGUACCACUACACAAAAUUCUACACAAUCAAGCUUGUUAGCCUAAUUCACAUUCUAUUACAUAAAAUAGAACUUGCAUGAGAGAGUGAAAAGAAUACUUGAAAACCAAUUACAUUAUACGAAGUUUCAAGUAAACCAAUUCCAGAAUCAUAAGUAAUUCACAGAUGUGUGCAGAAACCUUAACAAAUUCUACAUAUACCAAAAUUUUCAAAAUAAGCCAAAAAAAAAGUAAAGCAACAGUGUCAGCAUCUGUUUCUCUCUCCUCUUUUUUAUGUGUCUUUUAACAACCACCAUGGAUCAAAAAUUAUAUUUAACGAAAUGAGCUUGUUGAAUAUGCACAUGAAGUCAUUAACAGUUUUUAAGAAAGAAAGACUACCUCAUUCUCCAUUUUAUAAGAGCAAAUCUGGCCACUAUGACAGCAGCAGUUUCUUGGUCAAACCCUUGGACCAACUCCUGCAUGUCAAAAAUGAUUAGAUUUAACAUUGAACUGACUGCAGAACUCAAAUUUGCCUGAUAGAACAACAAACCCACUAGACCAAAGUUGUCCACCCAAAACAAGAAAAUGUUAUUUAAAAUAGAAAUUAGGGUUACAGAGACUGGAAAAAAAUGCACGUCAAAAAAGAGCAAGUGAAACAACCAGCAUUAUACACCACCAUGUCCUUACCUCUGUGCCAAGAGCACUAUCCGCCCAUCUUUUGGUAACAGUUGUAACUCUCAACAGCGAUUGGCCUUCAGGGCUCCGGUAGCUGCAUGGACGUUUAUUAAUAGCAGAAUUUGCACCCAGACCAAAGUGACAUCACGGAUGUAAAAGUACAUGCACAAAAAAGAAGCUUAUUGUCAAGCAAACAAAAUGAGGGCCCACAAGAUAAACAAAAGGAGGCCAACUUCUAAGAAAAAAAUAACAUGCAUGAAAAGGACCCAAUACCUUGUAAGGAACUGUAGGAAUAAUUGAGGAUUUGAUCCUGAUGGAUCUGAUUUUUCACUUGACGAUAUAUCAAAGAAAACAGUCAAGCAAGUAUUCCUAUCGAGGCCACACAACUUCCAAGAUGUAGUGUUCCCUUCUCCAACAACCGUACUGGCAACAGAAGGCCCUUUCUGCAAGAUUUCCAUUCAUGGAAAAAAAAACUUUCAGAAUCAAAAUUACACAUAGUUACACUAUUCUUAAACAAAAUAGAGCACUCUAUUCAGUUAAAGGAAGUAGUGCUUCAAGAAUGAACAAACCUUCUCCAAAGAUGUGCAAGGUCCAAUGACACCUUGGAUUUUGAUGUCCUUUGAACAGUUUAUCUCGAGUGUGCCACUGAAAAGGAGUUGCAUGACUUAAAUUAUUCAGAGAAAUAACAUGUAAAGCAUAAAUGACAGAAUAUAGCACAAAGAAAAUAUUACAAAACAGUAUAGCCCUGACAACAAGCCAUAGAAUAAAAAGACGGACCAAAUAGGCAACUCUUAAGUUCAAAUUAAUAGCAUCUACAAGGUCAGCUGAAGUUCCAACACUUUUGGAAGACCAGCAUGUCAAAUUGGCAAAUACAAGCAUAUCUAUAAAGAUAUUGAGAGCAAAUUCACAAACAAAAAGAUCAUCAACCUUUUGCGAUUAGUCAAUGUAAAUGUUAGCAAUUCAUAGAGGGCAAAAAUUCGGUCAUUUAAUUUGCUCCCUUGACCAUAUUUUCCGGUUGCUUCCCACAAGCAAACUUCAAUUGCAAAAUUCUCUUCACUCCACAUAAUAAACAGUAUCUUGCAUAAAUUCACUGAGGCAUGGAAUUUUUCAACCAAAAGCAUUUGGUCUAAAAUGUUAAUUUAUGUACUUAAAGAUGCUUAAACUACACAUGAACUCUCCUAAUUUGUAGCACGUCCAAAAAUAACAUGCCAAAGUCGUUAAUGCAAAAUUUAAUCGAGUUCUUAUACUUAACCUAAUUUGAUGUUUCCACAAUUAAAAUGCAUCUUUAAGUUCUCAUUUACACCAACACAAUCUAGCCUACAAUAUGAUAAUGAAACAUAAAAAAAUUUAAGACCUCAAAAGUUACAAAUGCAGCAGCAAUUUAGCAAAUGAAAGAGGUGCAGCUUGAAAUCGUAAAAUUAAGAAACUCACUUAUAGGAAAGACCAAGAGACUGUUCUCCACCUUCAAAAAGUCGUUUGAAAGAGUCUUUAAAUACUGAAUGACCAAAACUUUCAGCUAAAACAACAAGUCCACCAGUUUUUUCAAUGGCAACCUUCAUCUCAGCAACCCCAACCUAAAAACUUCCUUCUAUUAGCAAAAGCAAAUAAGGUAAAAAAAAAGAGGAAAAAACUCCAUGGACAAAAUCAAUUAGAUUGAGCAUAUACACAAAAAAAGAAAAGAAAUAGCUAAACCAAGCAGCAGAGAAUCAAUGGUGACCUAAUGGAAUCAAUGGUGACCUAAUGGAACAGAAUAUAAACACAUACUGAAAGUGUGGAUAUCCAACCAUAUAGGAAACACACCAGAUAAAUCAGCAGAAGUCAUUUAACUCCAAAUUGACAGUAGGAAUCUUUGAAGUUGUAGAAUUUUAGAAAUUGAUUUUACAUAGUUUCUAUCUUCUUCCCUAAUGGACAAUCAAUUUAAGGAUUAACAUAUGUUUGGCUUUCUUCUUCCUCACUACUUAAAUUAUGCAUCCUAUGCUACAGGUGUCUGGAAAAUCCUCCCAUCCAGCUACUUAUACCUUUCUAGCUCCACCACCACACUUCAUUCAGUUAAAAAAAAAAAGACUGACAUGUAAUCAGUGAAUAUUCUUUUGGUUCAAUGGCUUAGAGUGAGUGCACUAAGAUUACUGGUGUCCAACAAUCAUGACAGCCCACAUUCCUUUUGUAACCAAGUAUAACGUGGCAAAGUGUUGUAAAAGACAACAAUGAAAAUAAACACCACCUGCUUUGAUUAAGAGUUUCAUAUCUCUCAUGUAAGACUUAUUGAGAAAGCAGUAAAGACAAAAUGAAACAAAAAAAAUGGUAGAUGAGCAAAAGCAAUUUCCACUGAUGAGCUCCAGCAGUAUGCAUCUAUCGCAUGUGAAUCUAAGUAAAACCCAUCUUUUGAAAUACAGGCUAAAAGAAAUGGUGUUACAGCCUCACAGAAGUAUAAAGUUAAUUAUCUAAGAUGAAUAAUAAGUGCUGAGUCGCGACAUGCAAACCUGAUCAAGAGCAGAUGCAAAAACAUCCAAGACAUGACCCUCACUGACAAGCUGCUUAGCUAGCUCUUCAUAGAAAUGAACAGCUUUUUUGAAAAAUGGUGCAGCAUCCUUGUCUAAAUCCUUAUGUGAACGAACUGGAUCUGAUAGAUCCUUGAAACAAUCUGAAAAAAGAGGCAUAUGUCAGCUAUUUAUAGUAAUCAACAGUCAAGACUCAAUUUAUUGAACCCAAACAAUUAGAACGAUUUGUUCAGACAUUGAAUAGUUCAUACUUUCAGUCCUUACCCCUGGGACAUAAUCUAAAAAAUGCUUUUCUGUACUGCUCUAGGACCACCAUACCAUGAACAACAUAAGAAAGAGAACCAAAGAAAAACAAGUAGUAUUACAAAUAAUCAGGCAGCUCAAUUUCAAAUAACAGCAGCUGUUGCUCAGACACCCCAAAGUUGUUAAACCAAUCAGAACCCAAUACUUAAACAAAUUUGAUCUUUUCAUUCAUCUUGAAAAAAAAAACAUUUUCCAUCAACGAAGCUACAGUUAAAACCAUUUACAAUGUAAAACACAGUUACAACAUUUGUGCACAGCAAUACCAGAGGGUUUUUCUUGCACAUGAUCUUAAUCAGCUUGUGUAGUAUUGCUAUCCAUGACCAGUAGAUAGGUGUGCAACUGCCAUUGAUUCCAAAUGGGAAGUGAGAUAAGCUUUUCUUUUUCUUUUCCCUUCCCCCAAAGUGAUUCAGGAAAUGCCAAUUACAUAACCAUGCAGACUCAAAAGACUCCCUAAAAUCCAACUUCAUGACGUCAUUACCAGAUAAUAAUGAAAAUAGAUACAAAUCUACACUUUCUACAUUGUCAUCACUAAAACUUCUUCCUUUUUAACCAUGACAGCAAGGAUGUUCAAAUGAAUUCCGAUUGAACUUGUCAAUCAACAGCACACCGUAUGCAUAAAUGAAAAAAAGAAAAUCAAAUUCCAACCAGUAAUAAUAGAAAUUAGAAAGACCAGAAGAAGCUUUACCACUCCUGGCCCUUCAGUACAUGGUCCACCAACUAAAGCAACAAUUCUUGCGCUUUGACCAGCUGCGCAAACUCCAAGCAAACCAGCUGCAACACUCAAUGCAACUCCUGUACACCGUAACGACCUGCUCCCAGGUGGCACCAGCCAUCGAUCCGUCCCCAACUCAUCCAAUAGCUACAAAAAAAAAGGCAGAAAUCAUGACGCAGAUUCAUCCCAAGUAAACUAAUUCCCUACAAUAACCAACAAAUUCCAUAAAAACACGCACCGAAUUGAGCGUAUAUUCGCACUCAGAAGCAGGCAACAGGAAUCUAGAAAAACCGGGAUUCGGCAUUCCUACAGGGCUACCUCCAACUCUCUGAAUUCCAGGCAUUGGGCGUCGUGCUGCCCAAUAACACCAAGUCCAACUGCUCCAAAACCUGAUCUUUCGUCAAAUCCUUAGACCCUCUAAAAACAUACACCUUUGACAAUUCCGAAAACCCCAGCUCGUGAACCUGCACCUGCGUCCCAAACGAUAUAAACCCAACCAAAGCAUUAUCAGGCAACAUCCCAAUAGCCCUUUUCAAUGCCGAUUUCGCAAACUCCAAUUCCUCCUCGAGGACACAAGUAUCCAAAACGAACAAAUAAACAGCCGAAUUCGGCUCGAAAAAGUUAGGGUUUUGAUUAGGGUUUUGAUGGUGAUGAAUCGGCUGCAGGGUGGGGAGGGUAUACUGAAUGGUGGUGAAUUGGGGGUAGAGCUCGGCGGGCAUAUUCGUCUCCGAAAUUGCGUUGUAAUGCUGGGGAAAAUGAUUCCGCGAGAAACAAAACGGGCAGAUCCAAACUAGACCUUGGAAAUCGACGCGGCAAAAUGGGUUGAGGACGGCGGUGCAGGUUUUACACUUGAGCGGCGGGUAUGGGAGGGUGAGGACGUCGGAUGAGAUCGGAUCGGAGAGAUCGAGGCGGCGAGUGGGAUCACGCACUUGCUCAAUUCGACUUUGGUCCGUGGCCAGACGUUCCACGUCAUCCGAACUCCGUCGAUUCCUUCUGGAUCCAUCUGAGCCAUCUCCGUCGCCAUAAUUCAAUCGAAUUCUCGGUGAUCGGAGGAUUUUUGCUCUUUUUUUUCGUUCUUUUUGAAUUAAAGAAUUUAUUAGGGGAUUUAUUUAAGGGGGUAUUCAGGGGGCCCGGCUGCCGGGGAAGAAGAAGAAGAAGAAGAAGAAGAGAGUCAAAGGAAGGAUGAGAGGUAAGUUUAGUGUGUGUGUGUGUGGUGUGUGUGUGUGUGAGACAGCGAGUGAGGUGGAUUUUUGGUUGUGAUGACGUUGGGGCUUUUGGUGUUGGAUCUGUUUUGCUAACGUUUAUUUUGUGCUUAUUUACAAUUUUUGUCAAGUCUAUUUUUCCCUUUUGUUUUGGGGUAAAAGUAAAAGUUUUUUAUUAGAUAGGCCAAGUAAAAAGGCAUUAAUACAUGCUUGAUAGAAUAGUGCUCACUACCUAUCGAGACACAUUUAAUGCGCACGCAAUUUAUUUUAAAAAAUAUUUUUAAUUGAAAGAAUCAAGUACAAGUGAAUAUAACUAUUUUAUGUAACAUGUAAUAAAAAGUGUAUUAUAUAUAAAUAUGUACAAUUGAAAAUAAAAAAAACCGUUGAUAAGGAAAUGUGAGAAUUGGACGAAUGUACUUUUGGUUGAGUAGAAUUUGUACGUCAGCUGAUAAUAGAGGCAAGGGUUAAUGGAUAAUAGAGAUGAAUAAUAAAGAUAAUAGAGAUGGAUAAUAGAAAAAAGGAUAAAUUUAGAAACAAAUAAAGUUAACACCAAUUUAACCACCUACAUAGAUUUUAUUAUUGUAAAGAAAUGAUACUUUUAAGAAUGGGUAAUAGUUCAUAUUGUGUUAAUUCAACAGUCGAAAUUAUUUGAUUUUUAAGAAUGGUGGAUAAAAAAAUUUAAAUAAACCUUAAAACAUUUAGAUUUUUUUAAAUAUUUAUAUUGUAUACUGUUGACCAAUGAAUUAGUUUUAUUUUUGUACAUCUCAUUUAGUUUACGAAAAAUGUAACUACAACUCCGACUUCAUAGGUAUUUGGGGCAUAGCACGAAGUGCUUUCAUGUUCUGAAAUUGUAUAAUUGUAAUCACUUUGUCUCGUAAUGUUAAAUUUGUUAUUCUUUAUUUGAUUAAAGAUUACUCAUAUUAAUUCAUGAAGAGAUGCUUAUACAUAUAUAAAUAUGUAUGUAUGUAUAUAUGUGUACAUAUAUCCAUGAAAGAGGAAGGAGGAAAAAAUUCGAGAAGUAAUUACAGGAGAAAGAAGAAGACAAUAAAUAAGCGAGAAAGAUAAAACACAAAAAAAUUAUAUAUAAUAAAACAAUUUUGAAUUAACAUAAAUAAAUCUAAAAUUAAUGGAAUUGAAUAAAUAUAAUGGAAAAAGUAAACUAACUGACUAUUAGUAUAUCACUUUUGUGACUUGAGUGGACAAUUUGAAACAAAAAAUGAUUAAUUCGGAACGUGUAAUGUAAAUAGUUUGAUUACUCAUCUUUGUGUGAAAGUUUAUCUUUUAAGAUGCAUUUUGAAAAUUUUUCUGAAUUUCUUUAACUAAAUCACACCCAACCUAUUAUAUAAGUACACACAUUAAUAAUUAUUACACCCCCUUGCAUUUAUACACAUUAGCUACAUAACUUUAUUUUUUUAAUUCAAUUGGCACUAACUUAUUUUUCUGUAUCACCUUCAUUGGAAUAGACUUCGUGAGUUAAAGAAUUGUUUAGAGAACAUGUAAAGACAAAUUAAAACAACUCCUCGUCCAAACAAGGGUCCUCCUCUAUUUGGAUGGUCAAGUUUUAUGGAAAUUAGUGGGAAAAGAAUACAACUGGAAAUUUUUUUGUUGCAAACAAAAAAAUAUUAUGAACUUUUGUUUUGCAAACAAAAAAAGAAGUUAAAAUAGUGAAAAUUAUUGGAAGUUUGUGAAUUUUAGUGGUUAUCAUCUUUACUUUUGAAUGGUAAAUUUUUUUUUCAAAAAAAAAAGGUGAUAAAAAAUUUUAACACCUAACUCAUAUCUCAUGCUUUAUAUGUGUGUGUGUAUAAAGAUGCUUUGAAAUUCUUUAAAUACAUUUUUCAAUCAUUUUUUCCUCGCAUACACAUUUGCUGAUAAGGCACUACACAAAUUUUCCUAAAAACAUCGAACAUGUUUCAUGUUAUUAGUGGUGGGAACGGGUUGGAUACCUGUUUCGUGCACCAUUUGGCUGACGCGAUCCGCACUUGUUGGUUAGUCAUUUCCUAACUCUUACCUCAUAUGGGUACUCACAGUCAUUGGAUAUCCAUUGAGAUAGGAUCGGACCAACAAGUACCCUCCAACCAUGCCCUGUUUAUUAUUUAAUUUUUUAAAAAAUAUUUUAUACUAAUUUAAUUUUGUAUCUUACAUAUUCAUUUAAGAUUUAACAAAGAUUUUUCCUCAAAAGAAGUCUCCUACCAAGAAACAAGCACGCAAAGAGAAUACAAAAAAAAGUUAAAAAAAAUUAAAAGAAUUUAAAAUCAAUAAAAAUUUGAAAUAAGUAGUACCAUUUUAAAAUAUAUAUUCCACAUCAAUUAAACUCUUUCCUAAAAAAUAUAUAAAAUUAGGUUCUCUACAAAUAAAUCUUGUAAAUAAAUUAUAGUAUUCCAUAUUUGUAGUGCAAUUCGCUCAAUAAAAUUAAUUAAUUGGUUCUAAAAAUAUUAUUUUAUAGUACGUGUAUAAAAUAAAAAAUAAAAAAUAAAAAAUAUAUAUACGUGGAGUGGGUCUAGUACCUACGGGUUUUUAAUCCUAUGAUCAUACCCCCGCCUUGUAUAUAAGCAAAUACCAGACCAUUUUUUGAUCCAAUCAAUUAAUGCAAAUUAGAUACCUUUUUUUUGGAUCGAAUCAAAUAUAAUGGGUUUUCGAAUCAAUGGAUAUUUUUGUCCAUCCCUACAUGUUAUACAAAAAAAAAAUGGCAAACCCCAUUCACGAGGUUGGGAUGCCAGCCCGAGUAUUAUUAAUGAACCAUACCCGUACAAGAAGGGACAUAAGCCUUACCUCGAAAUUUAGCUAACUUUAAUCUUCUUCAAAUGAAGGAUAAGCUAAUUUAUUUAACCGAUACACGACUCUAACUAACUUCGGAAGAUCUCUCACUCGCUCGUAAACACUCACUAAGGAUUCAUAAUUAACACAGCCUUCAUUAGCCAAAGAGUCGGCAACCUUAUUUGCUUCCCGGAAACAAUGCUGGACAACGAUAACGUCAUGAGAAAACUCAAGCAUUUGCUCCACCUCAAUACUAUAGACCAUGAACAUGGACAGUCUCCUGCUAGAAUGCAUACCAACACCAUGGAAUUGGUUUCAACCAUAACCUGCCUAACACCUUUUUGCACACACAAUUGCAACCCAAGUAAUAAAGAUUUUGCUUCAGCUUGCACACUAUACAACAAAAAUUUAACCAAACCUUUCACGAGGUAAUUGUAAACUGCUUUCUUCAAAUUUCAAUGAUUAGAUUUGUCUCCCAGCGAGUAGUGUUUUAAAUUGAAUUUAAAAUUCAAACCACUAUGAUGAAAAAGUUAUGCUAAACUACCCUCCUUAUGUUCUCACUAGAAAGGUGAUUUGUCCUUUGAGCCUGAUUUCACCAUCACCUCCCCUUUGAAUCUCAUUUCACCAAUCAUCUCCUUAUAUUAUACAUUUAUUUGUCAUAAUUAGGGGUGUCAAUAAAUCAAAUCAAACUUGAAUACUUGUCGGAUUCAAGUUCAAGUUCAAUAAUUUUCUUGUAGCUUGAGAUUGAGUUCGAAACCAAUAAAUACCAAUUGGUAGUGUUUGAGAUCGAUUCAUAACAAAUAUUUUAGACUCGAGCUCAUGCUUGAAAUCGCUCGAGUACGUAGACAAGCUCAAUUUAAAGCUCGAACUUGAGCCAACUCUCAAUUUGAGCUUGAAUUAAAGCUCAUUUUAGAAUGGAGCCUGAGUUUUUUUUUUUUUUGAAACAAUAGGAAUAUAUUGAUCAAAACAUAACUAUACACUUGUAGAGCAACAGCUCCAAGAAACUUUACAAAGGUGUUAGACACCUUGAGGAUUGUUCCAUUCCUCAUCAACACAAAUGCCUACAGCAUAAGUACUCACAGAUUUACUUAUAUUGUCAUUUGCUAUAUCUAAACAAAAUGAGCAUUUUUGAAACAAAGAGCCUAAGUUGGCGAUGUCAUCAAUCAUAGUUGCCAGUCUAAUGUCUUUAGUUUUCCGUGACAUCAACAAUGACAGAAGCUGCUUGUGGGGAUAUGAACCUUCAGUUUUGACCAAUUCUUUCCUCCAGCCUUAAUUAAAGCUAACCUUACUGUCUCAGCUAAGUCCAAUAUUGAAAUGUUUGUACCUUUGUCCCUCAUGGCCCAAGCUGUUUUCACUUGUCUCCUGUGAUUCUUUGCCACCACUCCCCUUCCCAGCCAUCUGGUGUCGAUAUCCUCAUAGACAGCUAUCUGCAGAUUGACUUCAUUUGCUUCAUCUCGUGCUUGAACAUCUUGCAUAGGUCCUCUGGAUGUUUCAAAAUUGCUCAUUGGUUCUUGUUUUUCCUUUGCUAACACCUGCUCCUGCCAAUCUUUUUGAGCUUUGUGAGCAAUCUUCUAAGGAUGUUUCUGCUUUGAGUUGUAUUGCCAUUCAUUCCUUGCCUUCCAAAUUUGCCAAAGUAUGUUGGUUGUUAGCUCAAUGUGGCUCUGACCUUGUUUCCUUUUUGUUGCUUCCAUUACUGCAUUCCACCAAUAGGAAAAGUUACCUGGCUGUGCCAAUAUCCCAUCCCACUGAAUUGGUGUCAUCUUCCACACCUCCCUAGCUCUCCUGCAGCUAAACAGCAUAUGCUCUAUGAUUUCCACUUGUUCGCCACAUCCUUUGCAGAUUGGAUCACCCUUCCCUGUCCUUUUGUAGACCUGGUUGUUCAUUGGUAGAAUUCCUUUAAUGCACUUCCACAAAAAAUGUUUCAAUUUUCCUUUUACGUUUAGCUUCCAUAACUUCUUCCAUAUGUUGCGGAAAUUGCUUGCCACACUUGUUUCCCCCAGAGCUUCUCCUUUGUUUUUCCUUUGUUCACUCCAGUCACACAAUAGUUUAUAACCAGACUUCACAGUGUAUUGACUAGUUUCACUGUGUAUCCAAGAGUUGCUAUCCUCUCUCCUUGACAAACUAACAGGUAUCUGCAGGAUCUUUUCAGCAUCUUUUUUGUUGAAAGUUGAAAAGAUUACGUGCCUGUUCCAUCAGAAGCCCCUAAUCAAAUCUUCAACCUUAGACACAUCACAGUUGGGAGGUUUGUCUGUUUGCACUCUACCAUCCUUAUUUCCUGGUAUCCACCUAUCGUUCCAGAUGUUUAUACUUCUGUCAUUUCCCACCUUUCUUCUUGUUCCCUCCUGCACCAGGUCUCUUGAAUCCAUUAGACUUUGCCACAUCCAAGAGGACUGUUUUGGUACUUUGCACUUAAGAAUGGAUACAUUGCUGAAAUAUUUCGCCUUCAACACUUUGCUCACCAGUAAGUUGGGGUUGGUCAGGAUUCGUCAUACUUGUUUCCCCAGAAGAGCUUUAUUAAAGCUCUGUAGUUCUUUAAAGCCUAGCCCUCCCCACUUUUUGUCUUGAGUAAUCUUCUCCCAAGAACACCAGUGAAUCUUGUUCCUUUCCUCAGAAUCUCCCCACCAGAAUUUUGCCAUUAUAGAGCUUAUCUCUCUACACAGUUUGUUAGAGAGUUUGAAGCAUGACAUUGUGUAGACUGGCAUGGCCAUUGAUAUAGCUUUAAUCAUGACUUCCUUCCCUGCUUGACUGAGCAUCUUACUUUUCCAGUUGCUUGCUCUAUUUCUGAUGUUGUCCUUGAUAAAACAAAAAACCUGUUCUUUUGACCUAGUGAUCACCAUCGGAAGUCCCAGAUACUUUCCUUGUGAAGCUGUCUGAAUGCUUUCCAGUUGUUGAGUCACCACUGCCUUCUCCUCAGAGUUCAUAUUUUUGCUAAAAAAGACUGAGGACUUUUCCAGAUUUAUGCUCUGGCCUGAUCCCUUCUCAUAUUGCUUUAAUAUGGUCAUUAGUUCCCUUGCUUGUCCACUGUUAGCUUUACAAAAAAUUAAUGAGUCAUUAGCAAAAAAUAGAUGGGUAAGACAUGGUCCACCUCUACUUAUUUUCAUGCCAAAAAAUUUUCUCCUUUCAACAGCCUAUCUUAGCAGAUUUGAAAAACCUUCAGAGCACAAAAGAAAUAAGUAUGGUGAAAGCGGAUCCCCCUGCCUAAUGCCCCUCAUAGGAGUUAUGUAUUCCUUAGGUUGUCCAUUGAUGUUGAAGGAGAAAGUUACAGUUUUCAAGCAGUUCAUGAUCCAUGUUCUCCACACACUACAAAAGCCCAUUUUACCCCAUCACAGCAUCCAAAAAGUUCCAUUCCACUCUGUCAUAGGCUUUAGACAUGUCUAAUUUGAUUGCCAUAUACCUAUCUUUCCCUUGUCUUUUAUUUUUCAUGAAAUGCAGAAGUUCAUGGGAAAGAAUGACACAUUAUUCAGAAUUUGUCUUCCAGGAAUAAAAGCAGCGUGAUUUUUACUAAUACAAAAAUUCAGCACAGUUUUAAGCCUAUUGGCCAGAAUUUUGGAUAUAAUUUUAUACACUACAUUACACAGACUAAUAGGCCUAUAGUGCUUCAUAUCAGUGGGGUUCAAAACUUUAGGAAUAAGGGAAAUUAGUGUAUGGUUCAUGGACUUAAGCAUGUGACCAGAAUAAAAGAAAGAAUCUAUGGCUUUAACCAGAUUAAUCUUUACUAUUUUCCAAAAUUUCUGGAAGAAAAUAGGAGUCAUCCCAUCUGGACCUGGAGAUUUAUUAGGAUUCAUAGCAAACAAAGUAGAUUUAAUCUUCUCUUCAUUAUCUGAUCUAGUCAAGUUUUCAUUCAUACUAGGAGUUAUUGAGUGUGGCAUUCCUUCUAGUAUGCUCUCUAUCUUUUCACCUCCUGAUCUUGAAAAAAGAUUGCUACAAUAUCCAGCCACUGUUUUUCCCAAAUCUUCUUCAUUCUCAGUCCAUAUCCCAUCACUGUUUGAAUGUUUAGCAUUCUGUUCUGCUUUCUUCUACCCCUCACGCAUGCAUGAAAAAAGCUAGUAUUCCUGUCUCCUUCUCUGAGCAAUUUACUCUUGCCUUUUGGCUCCAGUAUAGCUCCUCUUCUGCAUAAGCCUCUUGUAACUGCUGUUUUAGAACUUUUUUCCUAGCCUUUUUGUUCUGACAGUCAACAUUAUCUAACUCACCUAAUUGCUGUUUAACAUGAUUAAUCUUCUACUUAGAGUUACUAGAGAAACUAUUUCUCCACUUGAGGAGAGCCACUCUAUAAUUUGCUAUCUUUUUUGUCAGCCUAAACAUGUUAGUGUCAACAGGUAUCUUUGGAGGAAAACAUCUAGUCACCGUAUUAUGAGUGACCAACUAAUAUUUAUAGGAGUACAAACCUAACCGACUAUUUACAAGAAUACCCUUCCUAAUAUAUUAUCUACAAGAAUACUAAUAUUCUCCUAACACUCCCCCUCAAGUUGGAGCAUAUAUAUCAUAAGCACCCAACUUGUUACAAAGGUAUUUCACCCUAGAGCCCCCUAAACUUUUGGUAAACAAAUCAGCCAAUUGAUCUGCAGACGGUACAUGAGAUGUCUUGAUGACUCCAUCAAGUAAUUUCUCUCGAAUGAAAUGACAAUCAACUUCAAUAUGUUUUGUCCUUUCAUGAAACACUGGAUUAGACGCAAUAUGGACAGCCGCCUAAUUAUCACACACUAAAUUCAUAGGCUGUUUAUACUCAAACCAAUUUCAAGUAACAUGCUUUUCAACCAAACCAACUCAUACACAGUGUGAGCCAUAGCACGGUAUUCAGAUUCUGCACUUGAUCUGGAGACAACUGUUUGCUUCUUACUUUCCACGACACUAAAUUACCACCAACAAACACACAAUAUCCUGUGGUCGAUCUUCGAUCUGAGGCAGAACGGCCCCAAUCUGCAUCACUAUAUCCUUCAAUAUCAGUGUGUCCAUGAUUUUGAUACAGCAACCCUUUUCCAGGAGCACCCUUAAGAUACCUGAGAAUCCGUAUAACAGCAUCCCAAUGACUAGUACGAGGGGUAUCAAGAAAUUGACUCACAACACUCACUGCAAACGAAAUGUCAGGUCUCGUUACAGUGAGAUAAUUUAACUUACCCACAAUCUUCGAUAUUGUUUAGGAUCAUCAAGUAAUGCUCCUUGAUCUCUUGCUAAUUUCACAUUGGGAUCCAUAGGAGUAUCCACAGGUCGGCAACCUAACAUCCCAAUUUCACUCAACAUAUCGAGUACAUAUUUCCUUUGACAUAAAUAAAUCCCAUGUUUAGACCGAGCUACCUCAAUACCCAGAAAAUACUGUAAAUGACCUAAAUCCUUUGUCUGAAAGUUUGCCUGCAGAUUGUAUUUAAAUUUCUGGAUCCCCACAACAUCAUCACCUGUAAUCACAAUAUCAUCCACAUAAACAACUAAUAAAAUUUUACCAGCAUUAGAAUGCCCAUAAAAUACAGAGUGAUCUACUUCACAUCUCGUCAGACCGAACUCCAUGACCACACUACUAAACCGGCCAAACCAAGCCCUUGGAGACUGUUUCAAUCCAUAUAAGGAUUUUUUCAAACGACAAACCAACUGCGAAUUCUCCCCUGAACAACAAAUCCAGGAGGUUGUUCCAUAUAUACCUCUUUCUUCCAAAUCUCCAUGCAGAAAUGCAUUUUUCACAUCUAACUGAUGCAAUGGCCAAUUGUAAGUUGCUGCCAAAGAGAUAAGAAGGCGAACCGAGGUAAUCUUUGCAACAGGAGAAAAUAUUUCUAAGUAGUCUACUCCAUACACCUGAGUAAAUCCUCGAGCUACCAGACGAGCCUUCAAUCUAUCAAUAGAACCAUUAGGCUGCACCUUUAUAGUGUACACCCAUUUACAACCAACAACAGGCUUACCUGAAGGACGAGGGACAAGAUCCCAAGUACUAUUUUGUUCCAAAGCAGACAUCUCUUCUUGCAUAGCUAAUCUCCAACCAGGAUGAUUAAGAGCAUAGGUAAUAGACUUAGGAAUGGAGAUAGAAUCAAGGGAAGCAACAAAAGAAGAAUAUGACAUAGAGAGACGAGAAUAAGACACAAAAUUAGAAAUAGGAUGGGAAGUACAAUGUCUCUUACCUUUGCGAAAAGCAAUAGGAAGAUCUAACUCAGAGGAGGGCGUCAUACCUGAAUUUGAAAAUUGAGAGUUAAUUGGUGAAGUGCGUGGCAUAUCAGAAACUUACUUUCUCAACCAUGGAACGACGAGAGUAAACUUGAAGAUGAGGACGAGAUAAUCGAGCUAUGGAAUCUGGUGGACUAGAUAACUCAGGUAAUAAAGGGGAAGGGACUGGUAAAACAGGAGAAGAAAAAGAGGGACACUGGUCUAACUCACAAGGCAUACUGUGUUUGAUAAAAUAUGGAGUAGAUUCAAAGAAAGUAACAUCAGCACAAGUAAAAAAUCGAUUUAAAACUGGACUGUAACAUCUAUACCCUUUUUGCGCUCGUGCGUAUCCUAAGAAAAUACAUUUAAUAGCACGAGAAUCUAAUUUAUCCACCCCGGGAGUAAGCUGAUGAACAAAGCACACACAUCCAAAAAUACGAGGAGGUAAUUUAAACACAGGUUCAUGAGGAAAAAGAAUGGAGUGAGGUAAUUGACCUCCAAGAAUAUUAGAUGGCAUGCGAUUAAUUAAAUAACAUGCAGUUAGAACUGCAUCACUCCAAAAUUGUUUGGGCACAUUCAUGUGCAACAACAGUGUUCUAGCAAUUUCGAUUAAAUGUCCAAUUUUUCUUUCAGCAACUCCAUUCUGUUGUGGAGUGUGAGGACAAGAGGACUGAUGAAUAAUACCAGACUUACUCAUAAAGGUAUUAAAAGGAGUGGAAAAAUAUUCUUUCGCAUUAUCACUGCGAAGUAUACGUACCGGCACACCAAAUUGAUUCUUUAUUUAUGCAACAAAUGCACAAAAAAUUGAAUAUAGUUCUGAACGAUCUUUCAUUAAAUAAAGUCAGGUAACUCUUGAAAAAUCAUCAACAAAGAUUACAAAAUAUUUAAAACCUAACUUUGAAGUGACUCGACUAGGACCCCAAACAUCAGAAUGAACUAACAAAAACGGUUCAGAAAUCCGUUUAUUGACUCUAGGAGCAAAAGAAACACGAUGAUGCUUUCCUAACUGACAAGACUCACAUUCUAACGAAGAUAAUUGACUCAAAGUAGGAACCAACUUUUUCAAAUUGUGUAAAGAUGGAUGACCUAAACGACAGUGAAUUUCAAGAGGAGAAACAGUAGCAGGACAUGCUAUCGGACCAUUGAAGUUGAGAAAGUAAAGACCAUUAUGCUCAUGCCCUCCACCAAUCGUCCUCUUUGUCUUUAAAUCCUGAAUGACAACAGAAUCAGGAGAGAAAGUAACUGUACACUGUAGAAAUUUAGUGAGCUUACUAACAGACAUUAGAUUAAAGGGCAAAUUGGGUACGUAAAGAACAGAAGAUAGCGGAAGUGAUUGAUUAAUUUCUACAGUGCCUAGUCAUUUAACUUUAGUGGUAGAUCUAUCAGCUAAAGUAACAUGAGGAAAGGGAGUAGACUCUUGAAAAUUAGAAAAAAUUUUAGAGGUACCUGACAUAUGAUCAGUAGCCCCGGAGUCAAUAAUCCAUGAGUCAUUACCUUUUUAUGCUAAAGAAGCAGAGGGAAGAGAUGCGUGAUUUGUAGCUUGGUACUGUAGGAAUUUAACAUAAUCUUCCUCAGAUAUAGUAACAGUCUUCUGGGACCCAUGUGCUAAAAAACUCGAUUCAAUGUGGUCAUUGGUAACCGCAUUAACAAACCUUUCAACCAUGGCGAAUGGCACGUCAAACCAAAGAAAAGGUCAAAACUCGAGGUGAACAGCGCGUGAACAGUGCCGUGAACAGUGAACAGCGCCGCGUGAACAGUGCCGCAUGAACAGUAUGUGAUGAACAGUGAAUAGUCGCGAUGACCAAAACUUUUGCUAGAUGUUUAACUCUAACCCUAGGACUUUUGCUCUGAUACCAUGUCAACAGGUAUCUUUGGAGGAAAACAUCUAGUCACCGUAUUAUGAGUGACCAACUAGUAUUUAUAGGAGUACAAACCUAACCGACUAUUUACAAGAAUACCCUUACUAAUAUAUUAUCUACAAGAAUACUAAUAUUCUCCUAACAGUUAGAACCUUUAAACCUUUGAUUCCAAGCUCUUUCCACCACUUGACCUACUCUUUCUUUAUUUAAUCACCUUUUAUCAAAAAAGAAUCUUUUCUUUCUUCUAUCUGCCAGUGGAUUAGUGUUAAACAAUAACAUGCUAGGAUCUGAUGCAUAUGUUUCCAAAUGGUCAUAAGUAGCUCCUUCAAAAGUUUGAUACCAAGCUGGACUGCAUAAACCUCUAUCCAACCUCUGUCUAACCUCCACUUCUUCUUCCCAGUUGUUACUCCAUGUCCAGGGGUUACCUUUAAAACCUAUAUCUACCAGUUCAUUAGUUCCUAUGAAUUCCUUAAAGUCCAUGAAUCUCCAUUCAUCUCUUAGCUUACCAUCCCAUUUCUCUUCGUUUGAGACAAUAUCAUUAAAGUCCCCAGCCAGGAGCCAUCUGUUCCCCCAUAGUCUCUUUCUUUCCCUAAUGACUUGCCACUGGUUCUUUCUGAAUCUGCUCUCACAACUAGCAUAAAUUCCAAUUAACCACCAGUCCUCCUUGCUGUUUGAAUCCUUAACAUGAGCUUCUAUUGUGAAGGUAGUAGUAACUACUCUUAUGACAUCUAUAUUUCUGUUCCACAUUAGGGUCAUACCACCAGCUCUAUUCAAAGCUUCCACCACUGUCAUCUCAUCAAAUCUGAGGAUUGAUUUGACUUUUUCCAUGUAUUUAAUCCUAUUUUUGGUCUCACUUAAGAAACUAUAUUUGGAGAGAAGAGGUUGUUAGCCUUCCUCAGUUGGGGAACUGUCAAGAGACUCCCCACUCCUUGACAAUUCCACACCAGGACCUUUAUUUAUCAUUGAGGGGACAUGUGUGGCUGGCCCCUAACCCUUCUGUUCCUUCCAUCCUUACUUCAACUGUUAGUAAAUCCACCUUGUUUCUUUUUGUUUCUUAUUCCUCCACUACAACAUCUUCCAUCUCUUCAUCAACCAAACUUAUCUUUCUUUUACCUUGACGUCCCCCACGGUUGCAGUUUUCAUCUGGUGCUGGCAAAGCUUUGCUCCCCACACCAGGGGAUCUCAAUUGUCUUUUCCCUCUGCUGUACUGCCUUCUUCCUUCUCUUUGCUAUUUCGCUGCAAUUUCUGAAUCUAUUUGCAUGGGAUUCUGGUCACCCCCUUGUGUCACAUCUUUCACUGUUAGAGCCUCCUUCAGCUCCAAUGCCACCUCAACUAGGCUCAUCUCUGAUGACUCAGCCUCUCUCUCAACCUGCUAUUUUUGGUUCUCAUUCUGACAUCUAUCUUCUCUCCUCGCAGCAUUUGUACCACUACCUCCUUCUGCAAUAAGAGUAGAAUUCAGAAUACUCACAUUAGUCUUGUUUUCGCCAUUUACUGGAUCACUUUGGUCUUGUUUCCUUUCUCCAGUUAUGUCCUGAUGGGGUCCUCCCACUGCAGUGCUUUUUUCCUUGUCAUUCAUUCGUGUGUUCCUUUCUUCCUGUAGGAGGUGCCCCUCUGUCCUCUCCUGCCUGUCAACUCCUGAACCUUGCGCUUGUGGUUCUUUGUGGUUAACAUGUUUAGGAACCAGUUCCCCAUUUCUAAAGCCCAGUAACUUCUCUCAGGAUUAUAUCUACUCUGUUGUUCCUUCUGUGGGGAUGCCUUUCCAUCAUUUGCUCUUAACCAUGGCCCAAAUUGGUUUUCAGACUUCCCUUUGGUUAUAGAGAUGAAACACUUACAGUUCCUUUCACUGUGACCAAUUAAGCCAUAUUUAUAGCAAAAGUCCGGGCAUCUUUCAUAUUUAAAGCCCAACCAUUUGGUGGUUCCAUUCAUUUUGACAGUUGUUCCCCUCAGCAAUGGUUGAGAUAUGUUAGCUGUCACUAAGAUUUUCAGGUGCCUUCCUUCUUUCCCUCCUACUUGGGGAACUAUUGCAUCUCUGACUUCAUAGAAUACCUUACCGAUUUUUCUGUUUAUCUCCUUUGAUAUCCAGUGCACUGGUAAAUUUCAUAUCUGCACCCAUAGUGGUGCAAGGUUGAAGGCUUCUUCAUCCUCUUCAACCCCCCAUACCAGUUCCUGAGCACCAGUAUCUGGUUAUCCAAAACCCAAGGUCCUCCAUUUAAAAUUCUGUCUCUGUCCUCCUCACAAGGAAUGUGGAACUGAAAAAGAUUUGGACCUAAUUCCAUUAUCCUGAUAUCUCUAGGAAAUCCCCAAGCGGAGUUCACAAAAUUUUUCACCCCAAAAAAAUUCACUAUUUUUUCACCUUUCACUUUCCCUACAAGACUAACUUGACAUUCUUUAAUACCCAGGUGCAUAUCUCCCAAGUCCAAAUCAGCUCCUCCCAGCUCUUUCUCCGAAAGAUCAAAAUUUUCCAUUAUAUCCAGUAGUUCUUCUACCAUUGAGAUACUAGAGAAUACUACGAGGGAAUACCCCACUCAACAGACCUUUAAUAUGAGAUAAAACUAAGAACAGAAAACACACAAGCUAGCCGGCUACACCACAAAACUAAGAACAGAAAAACACACAAGCUAGCCAGCUACACCAAAGCAGAAAAAACAAAGAAAAGACACGAAAAGAGAACCCUAAAACUAAGAAUCAAGAACCAGAAAAAAACAGCUUAGGCAGUCAAGUAACAUGUCAAAACUCUUACUGAGUAGAAAUGGCACUUUUCAACUUGUUCAAUUGCUACAAACUUUGCUGUGAUAGUUCCUUGUAUUUCCACAUACCCUAUUCUUGUCUCAGCUGGGUUUGUACAGAAGAGGACUCCAACCCAGAUAGACUUGCUUACUUGGAAUUGAACCUUGUUUGGCAGAAAAACACUCUACAUACUAGCAUCUUUAGUGUGCAUAUCGGCAUUAAAGACGAUCUGGUCCUGUUUGAGGUUUGGAUUUCAGUUACAAUGUUGAAAAGUGAGGGAUUUUGAAAGUUUCAAAGUUUCAAGGAUUUUCAACGGUGAGGAACUCUCAGAAGAGAGAGGGCACUCUUACCAAGAGAGAAAGAAACUCUCACAAAGGAGGAUGAUAGAAUGGAGCAUGAGUGGUGAUUCAAUAUUUCAAUACAUCUACAGUACUCGUUAACCUGCUAUUGCCAAGCAAAAAUUCUAGAAUUUCACAAAACUUCACAAAGUCAAAAAUUCCACAAAACUAACAAUUUUGAAUUACAAAGUCACAGUCCAAACUCCAAACUAACACAAGCUGUCUUUGGUUUAGAAUUUGAUUAACUCAACCACUGAACUAGUUUAAAGUUUAAGCAAUAAAAAAUUCUGGUUGUAGAUGCUUUACCAUGAUUAGUGGGGAUAGGAUUUGUAUGAGAACGUGAGAACUAAGAGUGCCAAAUUUUCUGAAACUAAUAGCAAUGAGGGUGAUUGAUUCCAGUGAUGAAGAUUGAUUCCAAUGAGCUAUCCCCGCUUUUUGCUAGCCACAAGAGUUCCAGACUUCUAGUUGCCAAAUGAUAAGAACAAUAGAAGUAAGAGCCUCUACGAAAGCUAAAGCUAGCGCCUGAAAUCGAUUAGGGUUUAAGAGUAGAUUUGAUUGCUGGUCGGUGAGAAUUGGGAUUAGGGUUUGAGUUCGGUGGCUUUGGUCGGCCAUGAGUGAAAAGAGAAGUGAAGAGUAACAAUGAAAAAUUUUGACCCAAUACAAAUAUCCAAUAUGUGAAUAUAUUUUUUUAUUUUUAAAUUAAUAGAAAGAAAAGAGUACUCAUAAGGCAUUUUGAACAUUAGAGGGUACAACAUGUAAUUAAUCUUAGGGUUAUAGAUAUUUAAGUAAUUUUAUAAAUAUAAAUAAUAUGGAUUAAUCUUUCCUACCACAUUGUCAGCAUUGAAAUUAACUAUGCAACCUAAAACUCGAAAAGCUUGCUAGCCUAUCAAGCACAACAUUUUGGAGGUUCAAAUUUGACUCGUUUUCAUUUUUGUACAAAUCAAGAUUGACUCAAGCUCGAUUUGAUCGAAAUCGAGCCGAUCGUCUGACCGAACUACUCUCGAGCAGCUCAAUUGAUUAACAUUCCUAGUCAUAAUAUAACUUUCAAUAUGUUUAUUUCCUUUUGUCUUUAAAGGACUUGCAUGAUUUUUAAGUUUAAUUUAGGGGCUAUAUGUGUAAUUUGAUCUUUAUUUGUCAUCAAGCAAGCCCUUGAAGAACUAUUAGGUGACUCCCUCACCCUCACCCCCACGUCUCCAAGCCCGUCGGUUUUAUUUUUUAUUUUGAGAAAAAAAAUAUUUAUGUGUUAAGUGUAUAGUAAUACCUCUAUAAAUUAAUACUCGAUAAAUCAAUAAUAUUUAUUAAAUAAUAAUUUUUUUGGGUUCCAACUUGGGUUAAUGAGUCAAAUUAAUAAUUUUGGUAAACUAAUAAGAUAAUAAUUUUUUAAAAACCAUAAUCCUUUAAUCUCAUUCAUAUCAUAAAUUAAUAAAUUACUAAAAUUUGGUAUCAUAUUUUCUUAAAGUAUGAGUCUAUUGUUAUUUGCUUUUUAAGAAAUUUAUUUUUGCAAUUAUUUUUGAGUACAUGUGAGAUGCUCUUUACUGUGCUCACAUAAUGAUUUAUAAUUUGAUCAAUCAUGGUUGAUUUAUGUAUAAUUUUUAGACGGCAAUUCAUAGUUUAACAAUAAGACAUGUAAGAAGACUUUGUGUUUGUUUAUCAUAAGAAAACUUUCUUAUCAUUUAUAUAAAUAAUAUUGUUAAUUUGAUUUAUUGUAUGCAUUUAAUAAAAUAGAGAUAGACAUCUAUCAUUUAGUAUAUCUAAAUCUUUUUUAUCUAAAAAAAAUGACAUCAGUUGCAUAUAUAUAUGAAAAAUAUUAAUAGACUUAAAUUUUAUUUGCAAAUCAAAUAGAUAUAGAUUGCUUUAUAUUCUCUAAACUUUUAGCCUCCUUUUAUUGAUAGAACUAGGAGGAUAUCACCGCACUGUGCGCGGUGUGAUCAUAUAAUGUAUACACGCCCAACUAAUAGUCAUGGUCCAAGUUAAAAGCAUCGAUAUACUAAAUUAAGGAUAGUGAAUAAAGUUGAACAUUUUGGUCACACAUAUUUAACGGUCAUUUGGACCAAGUUCAAGUUUAACAGGCAUUCUAAAUAUGAAAACCAAACGAGUUCAUUUUUAAUCAUGAAUGUUUAGGUUGGCAAAGUAGAUGCCAUUGAUGCCAACAAGAUCAUCUAGAAAGUAAGAAAUUAUAAUGUUGAAUGUGGUAGUUUCAGACAACACCCAGUCACGUCACUCAUGAUUUAGCCACCAACUAGUGUAGCCUAAGUUCCAAACAAACAAAAAUGCCUUUGUGUUGUGAACUACAAAGAGUGUUCUCUACAUUAAUGUCCAUCAAAAGCAUAUCCAACUGUGUCAUGGAGUAAUGCUUUAAGAAUGCUGAAGAAAUUUCCUUCAUGAUGGAGCCAGCGCUUAAUCCUAGUGUUUUCAAACUGAUCCCUAAAGCCCUCACCUGGCCACAUAAACACCAUGGCCUUCUUAUCCAAGAGCACGCACAGCAGGGUGAGGAUCUUGGACUAUACAUCCACACCAGAUUAUCACACGAGUGGUUCCAUUCCCAUCUCUCAUGUCUAUUCCCACAAGUAGUUCAAGCUCAUGCCCCAGCAAGACAUUACAACACUUUCUCAGUUAAUUUAUACAACAUUCUGUAAUAAUCAAUAACUAAGAGUGCAUUGUAAAAGGUCAUCUAGGAAACCUAUUGAUAAGAUAGAGGGUGUAUCAUUGCACCACUGACUUCCAAGAAGUAAUCUGGGCUUAUGGAGCGAAGAUCUUGAACCUAAGCUAUUAAUAUAACAAAUGAGAUAUACAAGAUAGAGGAUCAAGCAAGCCACAUUAGACGUGCCUAGAAGAGCUAGUAUAGAAUCAUAUUAACUGUAAUAAUCAGUAACUUAAUCCUAUUAUUAUUCUGCAUGCAUGAAACAUAAAACCCAAGAACCCAAAAAAAAAAUGGAAUCCAUCACAUUGAGGAAUUUAACUAGAUCUGUUUGAACUAAAUACUUCCAACCAUUCAAGGUGAAAUAUUUUCACUGCCAUGCUCAUUGUAGAUGCACAAAAGCAAAGGCAACAGAGAAACUUCAUCUCAAAGGUUAAAUUUCUUAGGAUCAGUGAAAUGUAAAGCCAAGAACGAAUUUAUGUACUUAGCACUAACUGAAGACUUGUUUCUGUGACAAUCCAAAAAAAAAUAGAGAUCAUGACAAGAAAAUCUAAACCAUGAAAUUAGACAACACUAUAAAACUGACCACCAAGUUCAUGACGACUGAUUUGCCACCCCUUUCAAUAUGCAGUUCAACUUUCUCGUUGACACUGUCAUCAAAUAAAGUCUCCAUCUUCAGGAACUGGGAAAUUACCUACAACGUGUCUCCAAUGUCAACAAAUAAUUCAAUAGAUUAUCAUGCAUGAGUUCAAGAGGUUAUCAUGAUUACCAUGAAAAAAACAUUUCCAGUAACCAAACGGAGUCCUAGAAAAGUAAUCUCGACUAUUUUGUCUAGGCCUUUGAAACUGAAUUGUUUCAUCAGAAGAAGACCCAAUAGCAUUUCUCCUCUUUGCAGUGUUACACUCUCGACGACGACGAAGGAGAUCGGCCUUCUCAUUAUUCAGCAUUUCUGCAUACCUUUUACGUCUUCUGGCAUUUUUAUCUAUCUUUGGAUAAUAUAGAUUGAAAAGAUAACAAAAGAAGAGGCAAGAACACAAGAGCCUUUAAAAACAGAUUUAAAGAAAACAAAAGGUUUUACAACAGACACAAAAGAAAGAAUGGUUUAAAAAAUUCUAAAAAAGGGGACAAAGAUAGCACAGACCAUUUAACGACAGCAUAAAAUGAUCAAGAAGAAAAAGCUCUACAACCCUGUCGUAACAAACACAAUAGGAGAAUACACAGUAUUUCUUUAAAAGGAAUGCACUAGAGUAAAUACAUGAAGCAAGAGUUGCAACAAAGGAAAACCAGAAACGAGGUGAAGUAGCUAAAACCAAGCUGCAUAAUAAAAAUGAAGCUAAAGUCACUAAUGAUAAAGCAGAAAAUUUUAUCAGACCAAGGCUAAAACAAGCACCAAUGCACUAACCAGUAAGGAAAACAAAAGUUAGAGACAACAAUAAAGAGUAAGGAACAGUACAACAAAAAAAUUAUAAUACAGCAGAGAGGAGAACCUAAUAGCAACACAUAAAAGGUGCUAAAAACACACAAAUAGAGCUGAAACACUAACUAAUUCAGCAACAACUACAGCCAUUCAGCAAGCAGCAGAUCGGGUAAUUCUAAAGUGUAAACCACAACCAAAAUCUAAAUAAACAUAAACCUAGCAAAAAAAAAAAAAACCGAACAAGGCAAUUUGAUGAGUAGACCGUCUAUUGUUAUGGUACAAAUAAUAAAGUUGAAGCCACGAUAUCAAAGAAGAAAACCAAGGACGACAAUAAAAGCAUAGUAAAUACACAAAAAAAGCUAGCCAAGAACAACAAUUCAACUACAAUAAUGCACAUUUUGCAAACAUCCCAUGAACAGAUUUGAAAGGAAAGACACUAAGAUAAGCAGAAGAAAACUAAUGGAGAAAACAAAUCACACAGGGUAGACAUAAAUAGUAGCAUACAUCUAGCAAAACAUGCAUAAGUUCAUUUAAGAGAUAAAAAUGCAAUCGAAACAAAGAUAAAAGUAGAAAAGGAAAAACAUACAGGACACAGUAAAAUAGCUUCAUAAAACUAUAGAAGAGCUCACCCAACAUUGUCAAAUGGCGAACAAGAGAAGAAGCAACAACAAAAUAGCAACUGCCAUAUCAAUUAAUAACAAAGAAACUUGGAAAAGCAACCGAUUUCAUCAUUACAAUCACUUAAGCCUGGGAAAGAAUGACAAAAUGCUGGAAAAAAUGUACGACACCUCAUCCACAGAGGUCUCUUGCCGACCUGCCCCAAGAAGGAGCUGAAUUUCUGGUUAACCCAAUCAGAUAUGACAAAUCCCACAUUACCAAUACACCCCUCAAAAAAAAGCAAAAACUCUAAAAUACUUAAAGGCUCCAGAUGUAAACAGGGACAAACCAGAGUGCUAAAACUGUAACUUCACCGGAUUUCUGAGCCCAACCACCACAAUAGCAAGCCAACUAUUUCAUUGUUUCGCAAGUAGGCCACGUCCAGCACAUGAAGUUGCGUCCAAUGGAUUUCGUGCCCAGCACAUGAAGCCCAGGAAACCACCAAGGCCAAUUCACCAACCAUGUCAUGACAAGCCAAUCACCUACCGCCACAUGGGCGAACUAUGAUUCCUACGAAGCAAGGGGGCUUCCACACACCAAUCACAUCAUGCCACAUCACUAGGAAGCCAAUCCCCUCUCGCCAUGUGACGAAUGACCAAAUCGACGUGGCAAGGGGGCUUUCACCCUUAGUCUAUAUGGUUAAUAAUUCAUAUUUUAUAAAAUAAAAUAGAACUUUAAUUGAUUAAAUGAGUGUUUCCUUGAAUUGUAAGCACCUUUGAUUAAUUCAAAUCUCUUUAAAUUAAUAAAAUUUGUAUGGUCACAAUGUUAUUAGUUUAUAAAUGUUUACUGUAAUUAGAAAUUUAGUAUAGAUGUAUUAAUAAAUUUAGCAUAACUAAUUAAUAAUUUCUAUUAAUAUACAUGCAUAAUUAUUAGUAUAAUUGAUAAUAUUAAUUAUAUUACAUAUAAACUAAUUUACAUUAAAUAAUAUUUAUAAUAUUAUUAUUAUAAAUUUAUGAUUAAUUAAAUUAAAUAUAUAUAUAAUUAUACAUUUAAUUUUUUUUUAACGAAUGGCGGAGCGAGGAAGGGUGAGGCAUACUUAGAGCUGUUAAACGGACCGAGCUGUUCAGUAGCUCGGCUCGUUUCGACUCGUUCGUGUUCGUGAAAGUCUCGUUUGAAACCUUAAACGAAUCAAGUUCGAACGCAUUUUUUUGUUCGAUUAAUAAUCGAGCGAACAUGAGCAUGUUCACGAGUUUUAAUAUACGUUCGCAAACACGAGCAUUUUCGCGAAUUUUAACGAACGUUCACGAAAAUGGACAUAAUUAUCAUUUGACAAAUUUUAGGGUUAAUUUUAUGGCUGGACUUUUAUAUUUGGAGGGCAAAUUGCUUUGUUUUAUUUGUUGUUUUUAUGUUAAUGUUAGUUAUAUAGUUAAUGAAUAAUAGAAUUUAGUCAUUUAGUGCUUUAAUUAUUUUUGAGAAUGAUUAAUGAUUUGCAUGGCAUAUUUAAGGUUUAAAAUAAUUUGAAUUCGAGCAUGUUCGCGAACGGUUCGUUUAUGUUAAACGAGUCGAACACAAACUCGAAUUCGAACACGAAUUUGCUUAACGAACCGAACACGAACACAGGUUUGGAGUUUGAAAAUUAACGAACGAACACGAAUGUUGUUCGAAUCGCUUAACGAAUAGAGUUCAAACAUGAGAUACUCGGUUCGAUUCGGCUCGUUGACAGCUCUAGGCAUACUUCCCUGUCCCUGGCCCUGUUUUCUAGUCGGGGAGGCCCACGCCCCGCCCCAUGAGCCCCGGCAGGCAGGCAUUCGUCCAAUUGUCAUACCAACCUGACUGAACCCGGGUUAAACCCGAAUAAUUCCCCCGUUUCGCCGAAGCUGCCAUUGAUUUUCAUUUUUCACCAAAUACAAAAUUUUCACCACACACUGGGUUUAGGGUUUUAGCUUGCUCAUCCCCGAGGUUUUCUGGACGUCAGAAUAUGAUUAUUCGCAGUCUUCUGCUCUCCAAGAAUCUGAAUCCCACAAGGUAUUUACUCAAAGGUUCUCAUUCCUUGACCAGAAUUUCUAGUGUUGGUUCAGAAUUUGUUCCAUUAGUUAAUUGCAAUAGCAUAGUAAAGUUCAGAUUUUUAUCCUACUUGUGUUCUUUAAAUUCAGUUCCCUCUGAAAAAUGUGGGUUCUCCAUUUCCAAGAACCCAAAUUUUAUAAGAAAUUAUUGCUCAGGAGGGGAUAAGAGUGGUGAGGAGUCAAAUGAGUGGACUGGAGAAAUAGAUUAUUUGGAUGAAUCAGGUGGUGUCAUUUACUCUGGAAAGGGUGUAAGAUCUGUUGAGCCGGGUAUAGAUGAUCAUGUGAUGGUGGGAGGGUUAAAGAAGCCUAUUUUGAAUGCUUCAGCUGUGGCUAAGAUUGUUGAGAUAGUGAAAAGAUGGAAAUGGGGUCCUGAUAUGGAGACCCAAUUGGAUAGGCUUCAGUUUUUGCCUAACAUGACUCACAUUAUUCAGUCAAUGAAGAUUAUUAGCGAUGGUGAGGCUUCGUUGAGCUUGUUUCGGUGGGCCAAGAGGCAAUCUUGGUAUUCUCCGACUGACGAGUGUUAUGCUGUGUUGUUUGAUAUGUUGAAUGAGAGUAGGGAUUAUGAUGGGAUUCAAUCAGUGUUUGAUGAUAUGGUUCGUGAUUCAGGUGAAAGUGGUAUGUCUUCAUUUAGUGCGUAUAAUCGGGUUAUUCAGUCAUUAGCAAAGGCUGAGAAAUUGGAGGUGACUUUCUGUUGUUUUAAGAAGAUGAAAGAAGUUGGUUGUAAAGUUGAUACGCAGACGUAUAAUUCAUUGAUAACAUUGUUUUUGGAUAAGGGUUUGCCGUUUAAAGCUUUUGAGAUAUAUGAGAAUAUGGAAGAAGUUGGGUGUUCCUUGGAUGCAUCAACUUACGAGUUGAUGAUUCCAAGUUUGGCAAAAUCAGGCCGUCUUGAUGCUGCUUUGAAGCUCUUCCAAGAGAUGAAAGAAAAGAACUUCCGACCAGGUUUUGGGGUUUUUGUGCACUUGUUGAUUCAAUGGGUAAAGCUGGUAGGUUGGACACGUCCAUGAAAGUGUAUAUGGAAAUGCAAGGUUUUGGACUCAGGCCGUCUGCCACUACAUUUGUUUCUAUGAUUGAGUCAUUUGUUAAAGCUGGGAAGCUGGAGACUGCUCUCAAGCUAUGGGAUGAGAUGAAGAAAGCCAGAUUUAGACCUAAUUAUGGGCUCUAUACUAUGAUGGUUGAGUCCCAUGCAAAAUCUGGAAAGCUUGAGACUGCUAUGUCUCUCUUUUCAGAUAUGGAAAGGGCUGGAUUUUUUCCCACACCCUCUACCUAUUCUUCUCUUUUGGAGAUGCAUGCUGCUUCUGGUCAAUGAUGGCCAUGAAGCUCUAUAACUCUAUGACAAAUGCAGGUCUUAGACCAGGGCUCAGUACCUACACAGCCUUGCUGACUCUCCUGGCAAAAAAGAAGCUUGUUGAUGUAGCUGCAAAGGUUUUACUUGAAAUGAAGGCCAUGGGGUAUUCUGUUGAUGUGAAUGCUAGUGAUGUUCUUAUGGUGUAUAUCAAGGAUGGUUCUGUUGAUCUAGCUUUGAGGUGGCUACGGUUUAUGGGCUCAUCUGGGAUUCGCACAAACAAUUUCAUUAUUAGGCAGCUCUUUGAGUCGUGUAUGAAGAGUGGAUUAUAUGAGUCGGCCAAGCCCCUUCUUGAAACAUAUGUGAAUGCUGCUGCUAAGGUUGAUCUUGUACUUUACACAUCAAUUCUUGCCUAUCUUGUAAGAUGCCAGGAAGAGCAUAAUGAGAGGCAUUUGAUGGCCAUCUUGAGUGCUACGAAACAUAAAGCUCAUGCUUUCAUGUGCGGUCUCUUCACAGGGCCAGAGCAGAGGAAGCAACCAGUUUUAUCUUUUGUGAGGGAAUUCUUUCAGGGAAUCGAUUAUGAGUUAGAAGAAGGAGCUGCCAGGUACUUUGUCAAUGUUCUUCUUAACUACCUUGUUCUGAUGGGACAGAUAAAUCGUGCUCGUUGUGUAUGGAAAGUUGCAUAUGAAAACAAGCUUUUUCCCAAGGCAAUAGUGUUUGAUCAACACAUUGCCUGGUCCCUUGAUGUUAGAAACUUGUCAGUUGGGGCUGCUCUUAUAGCAGUGGUACACACCCUUCACAGGUUCAGGAAGAGGAUGUUAUACUAUGGGGUCGUCCCAAGGCGGAUCAAAUUAGUAACUGGGCCAACUUUGAAGAUUGUUAUAGCUCAAAUGUUAAGUUCUGUCGAGUCACCCUUUGAAGUUAGUAAAGUUGUUCUGAGAGCCCCAGGGGAUUCCGUCCUGGAGUGGUUCAAGAAACCGAUAGUUCAGCAAUUCCUUCUGAAUGAGAUUCCUUCAAGGGCUGAUAUUUUGAUGCAUAAACUGAACACACUUUUUCCUAGUUCUGCACCCGAAAUUAGAUCCCUAUCCCUCCAAAGCCUCUUCUUGCAGGGAAGGCUCUAUAGUCAUGGAUAAGUUGUUAGCUUGGUCAGGCAUCAUUUGUUUGUAAUAUAGAAUUAUAAGUUACAUUUUUGUUUGUUUAAAAAGCACUUGACAUCUACAUAGAAAAUCGCAUGUUAGUGUACAUGAGAAAAUACCUUUAGAAUUUCAACUUCAGCUUUUCAAAAAUAUCUUUGCAAUAGAGGCUUCCUGGUUUCAGAUUGGUGGCAGCUAGUUCAUAUACAUAAUAAUUAACUGAGUAACAUUUAAUAGUUUAAUCUGCGGACAGCAAUUUUAUUUUGCUUCACUUAGAUGCUAAAUUGUGUUCAGGGUUGAUAUUUGCAUUAAUACUGGUCAUGCCUUAUCACUCAUUUACUUUGUUAAUAAGACCAGCUCUUAUCACUCAUUUACUCCCGCCCUUACCUUUUUUCUCCUUAUCUAAAGGCAUAUUUACCAUGUUAUGCUCUAGUUCUUAGUAAUGCCUCUAAUCCCUAGUGAAACUACAAAGCACGUCUUUAAGUUCAGCAUACUUGAUAUGCACAGCUGAUUAUCAAUGUAUUUCCAGUGAGAGGCUUCUCUGAAAAAAAUGUCUGCUGCUGACCAUCCCUAUGUUUUCCAUCAAGGCUUCUUGGGAAAAAUGUCUUUAAGCUCAACAUACUUGAUAUGCAUAACAGAUUAUCCACGUUUUUCCACUAAGAGGUUUCUCUGGAAAAAAUGUCUGCUGCUGACCAUCCAUAUGAUUUCCAUUGAGGCUUCUUGGGAAAAAUGUCCGGUCAGGAGGAAGUAAAUCAGGUUAAGUAAUUUUAAACUGCUGCUAGGAAUCAGCAACAACUGCAAUGCGAAGUAUUUGGCAGUGGCAGGGCUGCCGAUAUGAGCCAGAUUCCUCUUUUCUGCUGCCAUCCGGUAAGAUUUAUCCCAGAUUUUAGUUUUUCAUGGACGCUAUUCUAUCUGGAAAGCCUCAUUUACGCCUAGACUAUUGAAACUGUAACUUUUUUCCUUGUGAUUUACCAGACCAUGAUAUGUAUCAGGCUGCUAAAAUUGGAAGUGUCGAGGAUCACUUCCAAGUGACAAACAGGCACGAGUUGCAGUAGCGCAGACUAUAGAAGAUAAUCAAAAUUAAGAGUAGACAAAAUUUGUGCUCCCUCUGUAAGUUGCAUGCUCCUUCUGUUAUCCACUGGUUUUACUUUACUGGUCUUCAUCGACCAAGAUAGGGUCUUGUACACAUACCUAGAUGAUCACAGCAUAUACAGAUACAAUAUAUACAGUACACAUAAAAUUUUGUCUACUCUUAAUUAAGUGUGUACAAUAUAUCACUCAUUAAGUGUGUACAAUAUAUCACUCAUUGACACAGCCCGGCACCCAUGUGUCUUUUAUAAAAAAAAAAAAAUUUUUUUGUGUCAGGUGCCGGGCACCCAUAGAUAUAUACAGAACCCCUGUCAGACCCGUAAGUGUCUGAAUAUUUUUUUUCCACCUAUAUUCUAAUCAAUUAGCCUCAGUUGCCUGUGUUCUCAGGUACCAUUUGAUCCACUGAUGAUCAAACACAUUUUCAGGACAUGGUCAAUUCUGCUGAAAAGGAUAGGUUGGCUGGAAAUUCAGAUUUUACUCUUUGAGAGGAGGAGGACGUUUGGCUAUAGGAUUUCUUGACGAAUGGUCCGUUUAACCUGGGUUGUUCAAACUGGUUUAUGUAACUUAGAUAUAUACAUUCCAAGAAUAGGGGUGAAUUAUGUGAUAUUGGAAAAGUGAAUUGCUAUGAUUUUCGUCAUUUAAUCCCAUGUCAUAUUGUUGCUGAAAGGCAAGAUUUUUGUACAACUUUACAGAUGCAGGGCUAAGACUCUGAUUUACCUCCUUGUCUUGGCCUUCCACAGAUAAUAAACUCUGGCAGAAAGAGCAAGACUUCUGUUGUCCCACAAAAUUCUGCUGCAAAGCUUCCUGGGAUAGCCAAGGCCCAAGGCAACUAUGGAUUCCAAAGAUAUGACUUCAUUUUUGGAACCUUUCCUCAAUCAGAAUAAAGUUGAAUUCUUUUCAAGAAGCAAUGCAAUCUAUUCUUUCCCAUCCAACAUGAUUUUAAACUUCAAUAUGAAAAACUAGUAUUGCAUUACAUUCUUUAACCACUCCUGCCCAUCAAAAACAAAGGAAGGUCAGGUAAAGAAUGAAGUAUCUAUUAGAAAAAGAGGCUUAAAACUAAAAUAAAGAAAAAAAAGGAAUGAAGAAUCAACCUCAUUUGAGCCAAUGCAGUUUUGAUUUAUCUCACUUCCCUCCCUCAAAAAAUGUUGUGGCAUGUAACUAUCCCUUCAUUGCUCAGUGGCCACCAAAAAGGGACUAAAGUCCCUCUUUAGAUUGUAGGUAUGAGGUUAGAACUCUAUUUGCAGUAAAAAAAAAUUCAAAGGAAGUGUCAGAACACCCUUUUGGUGUAGUAGGUUCUUAUUUCUAUUAGCCCCUUAUACAUAACCUCUUUAGGCUCUCCUCCCCCAAGAUUAGGAUAGAUUAAGUUAUAGAAAUGUUAUCAAAAAGGGACUUCUUUGGACUGUAGGUCACGGUUUGAACCUUACAUGCUUUGAAAAAAAUUCAAAGGAGGUGUCAGAACAUCCCUUUGAUCUAGUAGAUUCUUAUACCUAUUAGCCCUUAUACAUAAUCUCUUCAGGCUCCACUCCUAGAUUAGGAUAGAUUAGAUUAUAGAAAUGUUAUCGUUGCCAUAAAAAAAAAUGUAACUACCCUUUCAUUUUCUCCAACAAUUCACAUAAACUUCCCUUUCAUAUAUUCUGUCCACAAUUGCUUAAAAACAAUUAAUGUACUUUAGUGCUAUAUUUUAGUAUUCGAUUUGCUAGGAGACAGAUUGGUCAAGUAAUCAUGCUAGUUAAUUUUAUAAUUCACGUGAUUGUCUUUUGUCAUAGGGACUAAUCACAAUAGGUAGAAAUUCAAAGUCUAAUUGCCAUAUUCUUGAGCAUAACACAAUAGAUAGAAUUUUGCAAAUUUGUUAUUUUUAGUACACAUUUAUCGUGCCAAUCAUGCGGAUUUCUGUCGUGCUGGUCCAUUUUUAAUAAUUUCGUUAAUGAAAUUCACUUUUUAUAUAAAAAAAUAUUGGAUUUAUCUUAUGGAAAGCCAGGCUUCCUCCUCUUAAAAAAAAAAAGAAAGUCUUUUGCAAGAAGAGGGGAAUAUAUGCCAUUUCAUAGAACCAAAAGAACUAAAAAAAUAGUAAUUGAAAAUUACUAUCUUUGAAAAAUACAUACUCUCUUUAUUACUAUAAUUAUGCAAAGAGACAUCGGGAAAUAACAAUUCCCAUACCAACAAUAUUGUUUGAAAACAAGGCAGUAUUUGAUAUUGGCAUUUUCUUUGAUUUUUUUUUAAUUACGCGAACGACAAAUAUAAGGCUGUAUCUCACGUCUAUUACAAUGACCUAAAUUUCUAUCAGUUCUAAUUUGAAUGAUAUUCCAUAGUAUUUAUGUCUUUUUACAUGAUGAAGAAAAUCCAAAGUGCCAAUAUCAAUCCCCUUAUGUAAAAAUACACUGUAGUCUUGCCAAAAAGAGAAAAAGAAAACCUGGCCAUUAAAUUCACAAAGAACAAGGAAAAAAAAAAAGAGAAUGCUCUUUUAGUUAGUACAAAAGAACAGGCAAAAAAAAGAGGAAAGAAUAACAAGAACUUAUAACAAAUCGCUCAAAAACGAAAAAAAGAACUUACAGCGAAUCAGAUUAAGGGUCUGUUUGUUUGGAUGGAAAAGGUUUUCCGAGAAACAUUUUUCAUAUUUUCCGUUGUUUGGUUGUCAAUUAAUUUAGGAAAAUAAUUUCUGACAGAAAAUAAGUUACAGCCACGGAAGGAAAAUAACUUCCUUAUCUAUCAUUGUGAAGUUAUUUUCCGCUGUGUGCUUUAUGAUGCUUUUAGCUCCAUGAUGGCCAGACCGCCGCUACAUUUUUCAAAAUACUUCAGGUCCAGGCUACUAAACACACAACUGUUUCCACAGAUCCCCCAUUUAUACUUCCCAUCCAAUUAAAUCAACCUCAGCUACUAGAAAUGGGAAGCAAGAAAUACAUUAUCAGGACUCCACCCAAAAGUUCCUAAAAACCCAUCAAAACUGGGAACAUCAAACUAAAAUAAACGCCUCAAGUACCAAGGUCUGUACAAAUUCUCUCAAUUGCAUCAUUUAUACACCAUAAAAUACAGACUUUCUGCAUUUACAGGGUUCAAGUCAUCCAUUAUCCUUCUUGCAGCUAAACUAUAUCAACGUUGGCUAAACCCAUCAAGCAAAUUCAGUUGUCUAGGGAGGUUAGUAUUUAUUGCAACUCUUACCACGAAGAAAUAUCUUUAUAUUCUCCUGUUGAGACACCUACUUUUCUUUUCUUUGUCACAGAAACAACGGGUAGACUGCUGUCAACAGCAGUAGUAGACUCAACCUGCGAAUUCCUUGCUUUCAAGUACUUCCUACACCACACCCAAACCUUGACUCCCUGAAGUUCCAGUCCCUGGAUUGUUGUACCAUAAGCCAACCUUAUCCUGAAAUGCAAAGAAAUAAAUAAGCCAUUUAAAUAGUAGAAGUGAGGGAAAAAAACAGACGCAAGACGAACAGUAUCAGAUCCAGGACUAACAUUUUCUUCAUCUUCAGCAUUGUUCUCAUUUGCUUUCAAGUACUUCCCUACACCACACCCAAACCUUGACUCCCUGAAGUUCCAGUCCCUGGAUUGUUGUACCAUAAGCCAACCUUAUCCUGAAAUGCAAAGAAAUAAAUAAGCCAUUUAAAUAGUAGAAGUGAGGGAAAAAAUACAGACGCAAGACGAACAGUAUCAGAUCCAGGACUAACAUUUUCUUCAUCUUCAGCAUUGUUCUCAUUAGUACUCUUCUUCUCGUCCUCUUCAUCAGAUUUUCACUUAAUAACCAAACACGGGAAAAUUACGGGGAAGGAAGUGAUUUUUCAGGAAAAUGACUUCGAUGGGAAAUAUUUUCAGUCCAACCAAACGGACCCUAAAGGUACGUUUGCUAAAACUGAAAUCUAAAAGUCUAAAAUCUAAAAGUUAUCAAUUGUUAAAUAUUAAAAUUUUAAUAUUUGAACGUAUUUAAUAUUAAGUCAUGAGUGACCAGUUUAUCAUUUUUUUAGAACAAAUUUUACUUAAACAAUUCAGACCAGUUAACUAAUUAAUAUAUUCUAUUUUUUGUUACAAAAUACGUCUCAACAUAUUAAGGCCGAAAUAUAUUAAAUUUAGUUUAAAUAAAAUAUUAAAUUGAAUUAUUAAAUCAGGCUAAUCCUUUUUAUUGGGGUUAUUAUUGAAUUUAACAAGAUUAAUGAUUCCCUCCCAAAAUCUGGAAUCCCUUUUCAUUGACUGUCAUAACUAACUACCCAUUGGCACCAAAGUCUUCAGAACUCUCCAGACUCCAUCUUGUUCACCACACUCUAACAAUAGAUCCCUUAAUAUUUAUCCAGUCCUAGAACUCUCUAGACCUCCCCAACUCAAUUAAACUCCUAGUAUUUAAAUUCUGAAAGAUCCAAAACCCUUUGUCUGAGGAAAGUAUAUCAGCCUUCAGUUGUCUCUUGCAUUUUCUUGCUACCUAGUACUCUGGUAAUUUGAAAUCUUCUACCACAUUUUUACAAGAAAUGGAUGAUGAUUUUGAUUUUCCAUCAGCUAGCAAUGCUGCUGAUGAGAUGGGGAUGGAUGAGGAAUUGGACUUGCCUGAGACCAACCCAGUAAUUAAAGUUGGGGAAGAGAAGGAAAUUGGGAAAAUGGGUUGAAAAAGAAGCUGAUUAAUGAAGGUGAAGGCUGGGAGAAUCCCAGUUCUGGGGAUGAAGUUGAAGGUAAGGUUAUCAGCUGUUUUGGCUCAUUAAAUCCUAUUGUAGUUGAAAUUAGUCAUAUUCAUCUGCCCAUUAAUCAAUUUUUUAUCUAGAUUGUUAAUGGGUUGACUUUCAUUUUGGCUUGAUUAUGCUGCAUGAUUCUCAAAGUUGGGAUCUUUAUGGUGUAUAAGACCCCAAUUGGGGUUAUUUGGACCGUUUCUGGAAAAGGGUUCUUCUUAAAGUUUGAAUGAAUUGAAGAGUUUGUCAUGUAAACUGCUUAGAAAUUAAGAUAAUUUUAUUAAGUGUGAGGAACCUCAAUCAACAGUUUGGUAUUGCUUUUGACGAAAUGGGCAUUACUUCUUGUUCUCAGUUAGGUGUUGGCUAUUUGAUGAAUGAAAUGAUUUUUUGAUUUGAGGGAGUUUCAUCCACUGUAUCAUGCUGAUAAUGUUUUUUUUUUUUUUUAUGGUUUAAUGUUGAUUGUGCAGUGCAUUAUGUGGGCACUCUGCUUGAUGGAACUCAAUUUGAUUCGAGCCGUGACAGGGGAACUCCAUUCAAGUUCAAGCUUGGCCAAGGUAAUGACUAGCUAAGUUCGGUUGAAGUUCAAGGAUCAGUAGUAAUUUGAAGUUUAAUAUGACAGUUGUUUAGUCUUUUCAUCCCUGCUGACAAUGCAAUUUGCCCUGUUUUAAUCAGGUCUUAGUUUGUCCAGUUUGGAUUAUUGGACAGUACAAGAAGAUAAAAGAACACUCUUACAUUUUAGGCAAUUACCAGCCUGCCAGCAAAUAUGUUGUUAACAAACAUCUGGAGUAGGUCUAUAAUUGAAAAGGCUUCUAUUUGAUUGUGGCAUUUUGAUUUUUACCUAAUGCAGGACAAGUUAUCAAAGGUUGGGAUGAGGGUAUUAAGACAAUGAAAAAGGGUGAGAAGGCCCUCUUCACCAUCCCUCCUGAGUUGGCCUAUGGGGAGUCUGGAUCACCUCCAACAAUACCUCCUAAUGCCACUCUGCAGUUUGAAGUUGAGUUGCUUUCUUGGACUAGUGUGAAAGAUAUAUGCAAAGAUGGUGGAAUAUUCAAGAAAGUACUUGUUGAAGGAGAGGGUUGGCAGAAUCCUAAAGAUCUUGAUGAAGUUUUUGGUGCGUCAAUCAUCUAUCAUUUCUUUAUAAUUGUUUUCAUGGCUUUCAUUGGAUGACCUUGGGUUAUUAAAUUUGCUAAAUGUUCUCCUUCUCUUGCAGUCAAAUAUGAGGCACUGCUUGAGGAUGGAACUCUUAUUUCCAAAUCGGAUGGAGUUGAGUUCACUGUGAAAGAUGGUAAUAUGUUGUCCUCAUUAACCUUGUUCUUUCUCCAGUUUUCCGGGGACGCUUGUAAAAGUUUGAUCUGCUUGCAGGUUUCUUCUGUCCUGCUUUAGCAAAAGCUGUUAAAACAAUGAAGAAGGGUGAAAAAGCUCUCUUAACUGUCAAUUCACAAUGUAAGUUAGCUUUCUGCGUCCUGGAUUGGCUUGCAAUUUGUCCUUUGGGUUGCUGACUGUUGGUUAUUGCAGAUGUGUUUGGAGAGAAGGGAAGGCCUCAAGUUGGUGAUGAAAUUAGUGUUCCACCGAAUGCUUCACUUCAAAUUAAUCUUGAAUUGGUUUCAUGGAAAACUGUGUCCGAUGUUACCAAUGACAAAAAAGUGUUGAAGAAGAUCCUGAGGAGGGAGAAGGAUAUGAGCGCCCAAAUGAUGGCACAGUUGUGAAAGGUAAACUGCAGAGCAAAAAUGUAAACUCUUUGCAGUGAUCCACCAUUGGAAUUUUCAUUCUAAAUUAUCUUUUAGUGUUUGGCAGUGAAAUUGACCGGAAAGCUGCAGGACGGAACUGUUUUUGUAAAAAAGGGACAUGAUGGAGAAGAAUUUGAGUUCAAGGUAGAUGAAGGUAAUUGGUCAUUCACCUAAUGCAACCUACAACUUAUAAGGCUCUAGCUGCCUUUAAUAUUUCAUACGGUACUAUUUUACUAUUUUUCCUCUAUCAGCAAACAAUAUGUGGCAUGUAUUGUAUCCUUUCUACUUGUUCAGUUGUGUUGAACUUACCUUUUGCUGUCUUCUGCAGAACAAGUCACUUGAAGGACUUGAUAGAGCUGUAAAAACAAUGAAAAAGGUGAAAUGGCUCUUGUAAUUGUUCAACCCGAAUAUGCUUUUGGUCCAUCUGAGUCACAACAAGAGCUGGCUGUUGUUCCUGCAGAUUCAACCCUAUACUAUGAGAUUGAGAUGGUCUCCUUUGUCAAGUGAGUGAGCACUUUUCUCUGCACACAAAGAUGUUUGCCUUUCAAGCAUCUGGAUGAGGUUUUGACUAUUGUUACAUUUACUGCUUACCAUAGGAGAAGGAAUCUUGGGACAUGAAUGCCCAAGAGAAAAUUGAGGCUGCUGGGAAGAAAAAGGAGGAAGGGAACGUAUGGUUCAAGGCAGGAAAAUAUGCGAGAGCCUCUAAGAGAUAUGAGAAGGUGCUGCACACUUCUGCAAAAAAAUUUAAAUCUCCUGUCCAUGAUUUUUAUUUCAAAUGUCCAUAAAAGGCUUCUUUUAUUGUGCUCAGGGUGUGGGCUUCGUAGAAUAUGAUUCAUCUUUCAGCGAUGAGGAGAAGCAACAGGCUAAAUUGCUCAAGAUCAGUUGCAAUUUGAACAAUGCAGCUUGUAAACUGAAACUAAAAGACUAUAAAGAGGCAGUGAAAUUGUGCACAAAGGUCUUGGAUAUUGAUAGCAGGAACGUCAAAGCACUUUAUAGAAGGGCCCAAGCAUACAUCCAACUUGUUGAACUAGAAUUGGCAGAACAGGACAUAAAGAAAGCUCUUGAAAUUGAUCCAGAUAAUAGGUAUGAGUUCCACAGAUCUGUCGUAACGUAUUAAAAUGAACAUUUUUGUAAAAAAUUCAUUUUCUUCGAUCUAAAUAUGAUUUAUAUACUAUAUGUCAAACUUGAACCAGUAUGUUAUUCUUUCAUGGCAUAUAUAUCUGAGAUUAGCCUAAAAUAUCGGUAGAUACAGAAGGAAGCAAAAUGGCAAGAAAAUACAUGUAGUUAUGAUCAGCUUAAAAACAUGUUUUUUGUUCUGUGUUUUACUAUUUGUUUCUAAUGCCUUGCAUGAUUGGGAACGUGGAUGGCCAGGGAUGUAAAAAUGGAGUACAAAAUCCUGAAGGACAAAGUGAAGGAAUACAACCGGAAGGAUGCACAGUUCUAUGGUAGUAUAUUUGCCAAGAUGAGUAAACUGGAGCAACAAAAUUCUAGUGUAGUCAUUGAGUUACUGAUAAGGUUUUCUUUUAAUUCGUCGAAUGUAAUCUUAUAGUGGUAAAAUAAUCAUGUUCUAACUACUUGUUGCUAAUCUAAUGAAUGCGUUGUUGAAAUGCAGAGUGCAGAAAAAAAGAGGCAAUGCCAAUGGCCAUUGAUAGUAAGGCCUAAAAGUUCAUCUCUAGUAAUAUCUUCUCUUUUGUUCUCUUCUCUAAAAUGUGCAAGCAUCGAGUCUGUACUUAGAUAUAGCAUACCUUGUGUCAUCAUAGAGAGUAAUAAAAAGAGUUGUCUGUCUCUGAGGUGUCGAGUGAGUCCCUUGUACUAGAAAAUUGGUAUAUCAUUCGUGUCGAAGCAUGUUUGAUAUGCUUAAUCAAGUGACCAUGGCAAAUCUCUCUCUCUCUCUCUCUCUCUCUCUCCAGCAUAUUCUAUCUUCACAGCACCUCUGAAACUUACCACUUUUGUUUAGUUCACUGAAAACUAUAAUGACUAUGAAGCAGCAAGAUAAAAAGCACCUAUAACGAUGGUGCUUCAACAUAUGUCAUAUAUUGUAUCCUUCUGUAUAUUGAAAUGCAUGUGUAAAAUGUAUUUGAUUGCCAAUUUCUUCAAUGCCUAUAUUGACUUAAGAUAAAACUUUGUUCCAUAAAGGGGCAGUACAUUUAAGGGCAGUAUCCAGCGUCAGCGCAAAAACAAGGGAUUGCUGGUCUGCUAUGAUAACUGCAGUAAAGGCAGGCCUUAGGAGCAUUUCUACCCGGCUAAAUGCCCCUGUCAAGAGCAAAACAUCAUAACAAGGAGCAUAAUCUCAGGUUUAGCUGAAAUAUCUAGUAAUGCUUGUUUGUAAGGUCAUACAAUUGAAUGCUUUCUGUAAGGCCAUAAGGUUACUGUUGUAAGCUUGAAAACAAUUUCUGUAAAAUAUCAGAUGAAUCUGAAAGGACGAUGUGUAACAAAAUGGGACACUAUGCCUCCCUGCUAAACAGGGAGCAGAAUGACAAGCUCAGACUUGUAGAACUAUGCUUUUAACUGUAAUAAAUACAACCAGUUUUACAAACAUUAUAGAUGUACUAUUUGGUGCUCAGAGCAAAAAAGUACUUGUACUAUAAGAUUCUAAUCUGUUAAAUCUUCUCUUAUCAGAUAGAUUGCCUCAAUACAACACUAACACAAGAAACUCUGACAGAACAACUGAAGCCUCAAACUGCUAUAGUUUAUCCUAGAACUUUAAGCAGGCAUUGUCUCCAGAAAGUUGUCAUCACCAAACUUCCACAAAAUCCCAAUGCAUAUCCCAAUCCUGUUAAAAAGAAGAGCCAAAAUUUUUCAUGCAUUUUUUCGUUCUUGUCAUCAUCAAUCUGUCCUUUCCAUUGCUGUUUUGGCCAGUGAGGAUCUGGCAUUUUGUAGGCAAUGGUUCCCCACAAAGUCCAGGAUUACCACCAUAAAUAGAGGGAUCUUGAAAUGUAAGGAACUGGUUGGUUGAUGGAAUUGGUCCAGAUAAGUUGUUAUGAGACAAAUUCAAAAAGUUUAAUGAGGUCAUGUGAGACAUGGCAGGAGGAAUACUACCAGAGAGAGAGUUCCAUGAGAGGUCAAAGUUUCCAACAGGCCUAAACUGCCAAUCUUUUUCGGUAUCUUCCCUGUGAACUGGUUUCUAGAUAAAUUUAAGGUUCCCAGAGCUAAGAGAUUGCUUACCUCUUCUGGAAUGUCUCCUUGCAAAUGAUUGCUUGAAAGAUCAAUAAUGUUCACAAGCUUAAGUGUUUUUGUGUACGCCAUUUCUCUCCCUUUCACAACCAAUUCUACUUGAGGUAUAAAUGCAUAAGGUACAUCUGGUGGUACUUUGUGGUACAACAUCACAUCAUGGAAGCCACUCAAAUUGCCCAAACAGAUAGGAAGAUGUCCUGAUAGAUCAUUGUCUGCAAAGUCCAAGACAUGUAGCAUCUGAAGACUGCACAACUCCUGAGGUAUGCUGCCUAUGAACUUAUUGUUUCGCAACCUUAGCACUGUGAGUGAGGUUAGCCUUUCUCCAAUCCAUCUUGGUAUUUUCCCGGAAAAUCUAUUGUCUCCAAGAUCAAGCAGACUCAAGUAUGUAGAGUUUAUUGUUGUUCCGAAUGGGAGUUCUCCGGAAAGAUUGUUCCCAUUCAAUUUCAACCAGAGAAUGUAAGUUGGUAAAAACAUUGAACUAGGAAGAUUGCCUGAAAGGUUAUUCAUUGACAGAUCAAUAAUUAAGAGAGCUUGUGAGUUCCCCCAGUUAUCAUGGAUUUCUCCAGAAAAUUUGUUGUUUGACAAAUACAGCUCAGUCAAAUACUUCAUCUUCCCCAUGGAGAAGGGUAUCUCACCAUUCAUAAAGUUACCUGACAGAUUAAGGUAAGUCAUGUAUGGCAUUUGUUCACCAAUGUUCUCCGGGAUCGAUCCUGAUAUCGAAUUGUUGGCCAAACUCAGAUAUGACACAUUGCUCCAUAAAGGAAGAGGGCCUUCGAACCGAUUUGAGCUGAAGUCCACCCAUGCACCCUUGGAAAUUCCAGUGAUUUCGGGAGCACUCCAGCUAUCCGGUUAUCAGAGAUAUCUAACCUGAUUAAUUUGAGGGGUUAAUUCCCAAAACCAAUUCGUACAGUUUCUGAGAGGCCUACCCCUUGAAGAUAGAGUGUGGACAGUUGCUUUUGAGUCUUCAGCCAAGUUGGGAAUCUAUCACCAAUUUGGUAAUUGGUGAUUCUCAUGAAUUUUAGAUUGAAAGGAGGAAUCCAGUCGUUGCUCACAUUUAAGAAAAGCUGUUUGCUUGAAGAUGAUAGAGCCAGAGUUUCCAAAUUAUUUAGCCUGUGAAAAUGUUUCUGGAUAGAGAACCUUCUCUGGAAUCCUGAAAGAGAUACAAGUGCUUUAAUCCUGUUAACUCUCCAAUGCUUUCUGAAAUCGAACCAUUUAUCGGAUUGUAACUGAGGUCUAAUACCUCCAAGCUCCUCAAACGAAUAGGGUGAUAAAUAAAGGAGAAGGGGAUUGCAUCAAACUCGAUAGGUAAGAGAAUAGAUUAUGGUAUGACUAAAUGAGGCAUAAGUAACAGAAACUUUGGUGAUGUGGCAAAAAAAUUGUGAAAAGGAAGAUUACUAGUACAGUAAUUGUUGUGGUUAGACAUCAUGUUUGAUAGUUGGUACGCACAAUAGGUCAGAAAUGACAGUAAUACAACUGGUCUCUAAAAUUACAUGAAGAUACUGUAAAAUUGGCUGCUUCCUAUUUCUACUGCAUUGGUAUUGUACAAUAGCAUAAUAAAUAGAAGAAGAAGUUGAUCCGAAGUAGAAGUUGAUAGGUAGGACAACAGAUUAUGUAGAUUUGUGGUAGUUGAAAUAAAUAACAAACUGUGAAGAAUGACUUACUCAGUGUGGGAAAAAUUGUUACAAGUUGUAUUACAGCUAGUGUAACUAAUAUUUGAUGCUCAUAUAUUAUGCUUAGCAGUACUUCAUCAUAUAUUAUGCCUGUGGCUGGAAAUGAAAUUUUGGAACUGAAGUACAAUUUAUUUGUAAAAAACAUUAGUUUACAUGGCAAGAACGCGAAUAGGAAACAGACUUCAGGAAGGAAACAGAGAAGAACUCGCUGAAACAAAUGGUGCUACAGAACACGGGAUACCGCCCAAUUCAUUGAAUAGGUAAGUGGCCAGUACUUAUGUAUAGUCGUGGCAGAUUAGAUUUGUCAUCAUUAUAAUGUAUUACAAUGUUGAUUAUGCAGGGGCCGGAUAGGAAGGAAAAGAACCAAUAAAAGAAAUGAUCGUUUAGAUGGAGAGGAAGAAAUGCAGGCAGCGAAAACAAGCGAGGUUGCAGAACCAGUCCCACCAUUGAAUCCAUGGAUGAAGUUCAGGUAAAAGCAUUGAAUUUGAGGAAAAAAUAAUGCUGUUAAAUAACACAAAUAACUUUGGAAUUUUGAAUGUGGACAGGAAAGAGUAUCAACGCACGGUUUCGGCAAAAGGUGUUAAGUUGACAGAGGUAUGCUGUCCUAACAAAAUAAACACUACAAUCAUUGAACUGAUGGGUUGCCUAAGAAAAAAAUAGUGAAGCGAGCAAUUGUUUUAUGUUUUAGUUUAACGUGUCUUUUGAUUUUGAUUAUUCAAUACAGUACAAUGACAUUGUCCGGGCAGCAUAUAAUAAGUUGAGUGAGGAAGAAUUGAGCAAACAAAAGGAGGAGUAUUUGAAAGAGAAAGAAAAGUACGAGAAAGAAAUGGAACGUCUUGGAAAGCCAAUAGUGCGAAAGGCACGGGUUCAAAUUAAGGUAAAUACACGUCACGAUUCGUCAAACACUUAAUCAAACUUUUCGAUUUUUCUAACGCAUAUAUCUAAAAAAUGGUGUAGAAUCGGAAGUACAUUAUCCGUUGCUCGCCAAAGCAGAUGUCAAGCUUAGUUUCACGAAUCGAUGAAACAAAGAAGCAACAGAUUAAAGACAUAGGGUUUGAAGGGCUGCUAGACAUACAGUGUCACUGGAUUCCUAGUGGCAUAGCUACCUGGUUCGUCGAUAACUUUAAUCCGACAUUGAGCAGUUUGAAUGUACAUGGAGAUGGUGUACUGCCUUUAAUAUCAAAGGAUAUUAGUUUAAUCUUGGGGAUCCCAAACGAAGGUCACGUUCCAGUUGAAGACACUGAUACAACCGAGGUUGGGGGAACCGAACCAAGUCGUAGGACAUACAAAUGGAAAGAACUGCCAAAUGAGUUGGUAGCCAUGAAUGCAGAGGAUGAAUUCAUACGACUAUUGUUGCAUUUGCUUGUGGAUGUCUACUGGUUCCAAGUACUAGAGUCGAGCACAAAAUAAAGCUUUGGAUGUGUACGCAUUUGGUUGAUAGGGUGGCUACAUUGAAUUGGGUUAAGUAUGUCAGGAUCGUACUGUGCAAUAAGGUGCUAGAGGUGCAAAAGAAAAGUGAAAAGCAGCACCAAUACGUUGGCGGUUGCAUCUUCGUUCUGCUGGUAAGAUUAGGUAGUUGUAGUCAUGAUUGAAACAUGCUUUAAUGGUUAGAUAAUGCACCAGAGAUUAAUCACUUUUGAGUGUAUGUAAACUAUUGUAUGCAUUUUCAUGUUCUGUUGAAUUUAGUGCGACGGAUUGAUUAGAUUAUGUUCAAAUGAAUGUGUGUACAACGAUGCUCAUAUGCGGUAAAAUUUAUCUGUAGUUGAAUUAAUUGCUCUAUUGUAUUGCAGAUUCAUUAUCUUGACCGAGUGCAAAUACUGAAGCAUAAAGUGCCAAGGACUACGCCACGAGCAACAGCAUGGACAGAUGCUCUAAUCUUUGAAAGGGAUGCAUUGGAAAUUAGAAAUCUUGGGGCUUAUGGGAAAGAAAAACUGGUAACAUGUUAUUUAUUGUUUACCUCAUUUCAUAUAAAAAGUAUUGGUGUAUGUAUUACGUGACUUUGGUAUUGAAAUUGUUAGUUUAAUUUGAUGUUAAAGAUUGGACGAAAUGAUCCGGAAGAGAAUGAAUAUGGUGUGUGGAGUACUGAACUACACCCUGAUUUGGUAGGGAUGAUGAUGAACAGCGGGCAUGCCGAUAUCGGUGUAAGUGGACCUGUUUCAUGAUUAGCGAAAUUUAUUGUUUGAUUUGACGUAAUUACUGCAUAUUAUUGUCAACAUUAUGGAUCAUUAAUAGGCCUAUGAGCUUGUAACUACAUACAGUUACAUGUUAAUAUAUGAAACCAAUCCCAAUAUUAUAUUGAACAAAUAAGUUAUCUUGAAUUAAGUCACAUGCGUGUAAAUAAAUAAAUAUAGUGAUCUUUUGGAUAAUCAUGUUAUAAAUAAAUGAACAUUCAAUCUUCACGGUGACCAUUUUAUUUAUUGCCAUAGAACUUACAGUUAUAGAACGUAUGCCAGCAGUACAAAUGUUAAAUUUAUAACUUUCACUUAGAUGUACUAUUGUAUAUGUCUGUAUUGUAUUCCAUUCUUGAUUGCAUGUGAUUCAUUUAUGGAUUGGUAAUGUCGUCAUGUAACUGCAGGCUGAACUGAAUGAGCUGUAUAACAAUGCUGUUAGUAGCCAACAAAGGAUAUUGAAGAUUGCAGAAAUACUCUUUUCUCAGCCGAGAGCAAAAGCUUCCACUUCUGGGUCUGAAACAUUGGACAAAGGAAAAAAACCUGUACAGGAGGACUAUACAAUGCACCAGAGUCCUGAUACCGAAGAAAAGUUGGAAUUUCAAUCUGCCGAAGAAGGGGGUAAUGAUGAGGAUGAUGAUGCUAAUGAAAUUGAUGCGGAAGGGUCUGAAGAAGACGAGCAUAAUGCAGCGCAGAAUGAAGAAGACGAUGCUAAUACGAGGACAAAUAUUGAAACCAUCCCAAACCCAGAGCUAAAUGAAGAUAUAAUGGACAUGGAGAAUCCAAUUCUUACCUCAUCAGUCGGGCCCAAAAACAUCAGUCAGGGAUUGCAACAAAGGGCCACCAUGACAACAACUAAGCAUGGAAGCAUUAUACACCUUCAAGAGCAAGAGCAGGAGCAAUAUAGGUCAAAUGUCACAGAACCUGCCGAAGAAGGUCAAUCUACGGGGCAACUACAUUUGAACGCUAGUGCAUCGACGCCACAUCUGUAUGAGCCAGAAACACCACGUAGGUUGUUAUCAUAUGGACGAAAGCGGAAAGGUUGGUACAGUUGUAUUAUUUAUAAGAUUCUAAUUCAAGUAACAUGAUGAACAGCUAUACACACAUACGGUAAGCGUAUUUAUACCAUAAUGAUACUACCUAUAUGGGUUUGAAAUGUCGCUGUAAAAUUGGUUGCCCCGUAUUUUUACUGCAUUGGAAAUUACAGUGUGUUUGAAAAACUGUUAGUUAUACUUUGUUUGAAAACUGUUACAAAACUGUUAUUGGAAAGUCACAGUGUUUUUCAAGAUUGUUACCAAAAAAUUUAUUUGGAAAGUUACAGAUUGAAAAUUAAUACAAAACUCCAUAUUUGAAGACUGUUUACAGUGUGUUUGUAGGUUGUUACAAAAUAUUUAUUGAGAAUUAUGCUGUAUAUUCGAAAACUGUUACAAAAUAUUUAUUUGAGAAGUUACAGUUUCAAAAUUAAUACAAAACUCCAUAUUUGAAAACUGUUAGUUACGAAGUGUUAGUAGGUUGUUACAAAAUAGUUUUUGAAAAGUUACAGUGUAUUCGAAAACUGUUACAAAAUAGUUGUUUGGGAAGUUACAGUUUAAAAAUUAAUACAAAACUCCAUAUUUGAAAACUGUUAGUUACGACGUGUUUAAAGGUUGUUACAAACUAGUUAUUGAAAAGUUACAGUUUGUUCGAAGACUAAUACAAAAUAGUUGUUUGAAAAGUUAUAGUUUGAAAAUUAAUACAAAACUCCAUAUUUAAAAACUGUUGGUUACGAAAUGUUUUAAUGUUGUUACAAACUAGUUAUUGAAAAGUUAUAGUGUGUUCGAAAGUUGUUACAAAAUAGUUAUUUGAAAAGUUACAGUUUAAAAAUUAAUACAAAAUUACAUAUUUGAAUACUGUUAGUUACGACGUGUUUGAAGGUUGUUACAAAUUAGUUAUUGAAAAGUUACAAUGUGUUCGAAAACUAUUACAAAAUAGUGAUUUGGAAAGUUACAGUUUGAAAAUUAAUACAAAACUCCAUAUUUGAAAACUGUUAGUUACGAAAUGUUUUAAGGUUGUUACAAACUAGUUAUUGGAAAGGUACAGUGUGUUCAAAAACUGUUACAAAAUAGUUAUUUGGGAAGUUACAGUGCAAAAUUAAUACACAAUUCCAUAUUUGAAGACUGUUAGUUACGACGUGUUUGAAGUCUCCUCACAAAAUAGUUAUUGGGAAGUUACAGCGUGUUUGAAAACUGUUAUACAAUAGUUAUUUUAGCAGUUAUAGUGAGGUUUAAGACUGGUACAAAAUAGUUCUUGGGAAAUUAUAGUGUGUUUAAAAAUUAAUACAGAACUGUUUGAAGAGUGUUACAAAAUGAUUUACAAUGUGUUAUACAACUACAAAAAAAUUGCAUUUGAAAUGCAUGUUCUUUACUUUUUAGGAGGUCUUGACAUUGAGAUAAAGCACAAGUCUACACGUGCAACAAAGAAGAGCAUCGUUCUGCGAUCAGCGGAGUACAUUCUAACAGCACGUGUGACAGUAAGUAUGUAUGAAAAAAAUGUAGCUGCAUAUGCAUGGGACCCUGACAAAAAUUUCAAGUAAGAUUCUUGACAAAACUAUUAAUUCGACCUUGUUGUCCAUUCACUUCAAUAACUACGUAUGUGGUUCAUUGUAAGAUGGCACAGGAAAACUGUAUGAAAAUGGAUGAGCAUUGACUUCAUAUACAUUACAUAUCUGUUUGUUGGAAUACGAAUAUUAAUUAUUAGUAAAUCGUUAAAUUGUGUCCCGGAUCUGAUAGGGACAUACUUAUUCAAAUGUUUCAAUUCUCGCUGACGCGGCUUCACUUGAAGACACUUGAAAAUGGCAUGCAUGUGUCGAAUCGGGUCAGUAGUUUAUUACGUUUAUUCAAAAAGUUUGAUUAUGAAUUUAUUGAUCCGAUUAGUGAUAUGUAAAUGCAAUUGUAACAAUCAAUUACAUCUUUUGGACACCCUUGGAUAUUGAUUAGCCCGUCUCAUGAAUUGGGGUGGAAGAACUGCCAAAAGUAGGAAGUUUGAACGCUACAUCGUUGAACCUCUCACUAUUGUGAGUUUGAAAUUUGGACUGCAUCCUAUUAUGUGUUACAAUUUUUUCUGCAUCAUAUCUAAAUUGGUAUUACGAGCCAACGCAUUAUUACUGAUGUCAUCUACACUGCUCCUACUCGCCCAUAUUAUUGGUUGCAGGAAGGAAUUUUAAAAAUGGAAAAAUUUGACAAGCUGUCUAAUGCCAGCUUAUCUGCUAAACUGAAAAACUAUUCAAAGUUCGUAAUAACAAUACGGGGGUUGAUCCCGCGAAUUGUAAUUGGGUAUGCAAUUACCACCUUUAACCGAAAGCUUUUUUUUAUUAGAUGUUGAAUAUGCAAAAAUGUAGAAUCAAGUUACAUACCUUUUGUGUGUUACCUUUUUUAUACCUCAUUCAUUUCAGAUACUUGUGCCAGUAUGCACAGAGGGGUAUUGGUUUGUCUACAGCUUUGAUGUCUCACAGAGAGAAGUGCACCUGCUAGACCCUAAUAGCGAUCAAGCAAAGAGCAAAGAUAUUAGUGUACUGAAUCGACUGGUAUGUUGGACUGUCACCUAAAUGCAUUACAAGAGAAGAGGAUGACACAUUAGUGCUUCUAAUCUGUUUUACAUAAUCUUUGGUGCUACAGAAACGUGCGACAAAGUUUGGCAAGGAAAUUGACUUCUCCAGUUUCUCGGAGGCACUUGCCGAUGUACCUCAUCACUCACCAAAUAAAAUGUAAAUAGUUUCACUUCUCACACCAUUAUUGUUAGAGAUCCAAAUAUUUUAUUACAACACAUACACUCUAACUGACUAAUGAGAAGAUAACAUGAACAGAUGUGAUAGUGGUGUCUUUAUUAUGAUAUUCUUAGAGCAUUGGAACGGAAGGUUGGCUGUUCGGCUUACAGAGGUAUUACAAUGACACAACCUUUUUUUCUAGUUUACAUUUGAAAUUGUGGUUUAUAGUUGUUGCCUUUGCUUUCGAAAAUAUUUAUUACGUUUAAAUUGGAUAGGAAAAUGUUGGCAAGUAUCGAGUGCUGUACACAGCUCGAUUGUGUACCUCAGCGGAGAACUCUAAGUUUCCGGAUAGCUUUGCAAACCUACAAGUACCAAAACGGGCGCAGUGACUCUGUUGGUAUUGCCUGAACUUCAAUUAGUCAGAUGUGACUGUAGUUGAACAAAAUUGGAUGUUCUUCCAUUUGUACAUUGUUAUGUGUCUAAUAUAGCUUUUGAAUUGGUGUAGACUACGUUUUGGGGUAUAUUGACAAGGACUAUAUUAACCUUAUUGUAGAUUAAUAGAACUUUUAAUUUGACAGUCAUCAUAUGUACAUAAGUGUACCUGUUGUUAAAUUUCGAUGAUGAACACAUUGCAGUAUGGGGUCCAUAGAUGUCUCCCCAUAAAUUAGGGACCGAAGAAUAGUUUUCGUAGUUCAAUAUUUGUUACAAAGAGUACAUAUAAAGUUACAACAUAGCACAUAUAAAGUACGGAGUCCAUACAACAUCCUUCAUAUAAACUUGGACCCAGUAUGGGGUCCAUACAGGUCACGUUUGGACCCAAGAAUAGUUUUCGUAGUUCAAAAUUUGUUACAUUGAGCACAUAUGAAGUUAGUGCACGUGCAUUGUUAUACAACAUCGACCCGAACAUGUCGACUAACAAACAGGUUUUAUAAAAUUUGUUUGCAUUAUUAUCAUAGUUAUUGGGAACAAAACAUAUGUGGCCUUAGUUACACUGCCUUUUCUGUAUCUUUAACAACAAAAUCGACUAGGAUUCCAUGACUAAUCUUUUAAUGCAAACUGAGUAAUUAUAGAUGUUAUUUGUUUGUAAGUUGACCUUUUACCAUGACCACUUAACCUCAAAUGAUGGCACGACUAAUUAAGUUGAAGGAUUGGUAAAUGUUACAAUUACAUAGUAACUUUGUCCAAAAUUUAAGUUCAGAUUUUAGGAGACCUACCCUUUUAAUGCAUAGGAGUCUUUACAUAAUAUUUGGUUCUAAAUUUUACUUUUAUCACGAACGCAUACCCUUUUGUUUGUUGAAGCAAGCAGGACUAAACCUUAUCCUCUAAUCUAAUUUUACAGAUUUCAAGAGUAAUUACUUACACAAACAAAUUGAACGUGGGCACGAUUACAUUAUUCGUAACUAGUUGACCAACAAAUAUUAAAUACUAAAGCACAUUCGUAACACUACAGUAACUCAUCGUAACACUGUUCGAAUGUCUUGUAAUGCCGCUUUCACGGUUUGUACGUAAAGACUUGCAGCAAACUUGACUCCAUGGUUGCUAGUUUAUAAUCUCUGGAGCUACAUAUUAACUGCCACCCGUGUGAUACUCACCCGGUGAACCCACAACCAUUACUUUAUCCUCUCAUACCCAUAUUCUCUCAUACCCAUUACGUUGGCCCCUGAUAUUUUAGGACAUUGGGAGGGUCCUGCGGACUAUAAAAGAGCGUGGUUGCAGUUUUAUAUCCCACAACAACAAAAGUUUGGUUGUAACACAUUCUGUACGCUUCGUUAUGAAUACUUGUUGUAUUAUAAAACUUAGUUUUAACUGUUGGAAAUUAGCCUAUCCCUUGUACUAUUACCUUCCCAUUAUUGGCCUGAAAGUUUAUUUUAUCAUAAUUCAAUUUGAAAGAUUCUUGUAAAACCUAUCGAAGUGCCUGUAGUACAUCAUUACAAAUGGUGCGAACCGUUCGUUCUGAAAAUCUGACCCGUAUGUAGUGCCAAAAGUAAUUUUUUUGGUGACUAAAUGGCACAUAAUAAUUCAGCAACGCAUACUUAUCCAAAAUAAUAAUAAUUUGUAAAGGCCGAUUGCUAUAUGAUACAUCUAACCAUUCUAAGUGCCAUCAACGAGCAAUAAAGAUGUUAUUUACGGUUGUAACUGAAUGCUGGACAAUGGUAUAUAUAUCACAACAGUCAUUUGUUAUGGUAUUCAAUGAAAAAAUACCAUAAACAUAGCGAAGCACGUUCAAUCGUAUUGAAAAUUGUUACUCUAAUUUUCAGUAAACUUUAUAAAUUCUUAAUAACUUUACACAACACAUUACAGAAUACUUGAUGACUAUUAACACUGGACAUUAUUAUAAACUUUCUAUCCACUUGUCUAAAUUUGAACACAGUGAAAUAUUGAAGGUGCCUGUACAAGCACAUGAAUAACUUGUAACACCUUAUUAACUGCUUGUAACGUAGAUAUGCAGCAUUCCCAACCAGGACGAUAUGGAGGUCCAAUCACAACUGAGCUUCCAAAAACGCCGCAAAUCUCAUUCAAGACAUGCACUAAUUCAUUUCCAAAUUGUCUAUUAAAAGAAACUCACAAUAGCGAAGCGAUUGAAACUGAACAAUAUCUUCAACAGAGAAGUACUAACACCAAAAAAUGAGGUCAACUUGAUGAAUGGAUAAUUAGAACUCAAUAGUUUGGUCAACCAAUUAAUGUGUCGUUAAAAAAUUAGAGGUACACAUCAUUCAUCAACCUGCAUCUGAGGGGUGGCGACGUCAACAGUUAGUCGCAAUCCCUGGGUGUUAUUUCUUUCCUGAAAUAUGUAACGAUGGCAAAUCAGCUAAUACACCUAAUGGUACAUACGGUUAAUAAUAUACGAUAUCCAAGUCGCCAAAUAUCCAAUUAACAGUACUACAUAAAGAUGUGAUAUAAUGAUAAAUGUUUGUCACCUGUGGUGAUGGUGAAAAUACAUUAUAUCCAUCAAUAUCACAGUGUGUUGAAAUUGCCGCACGCUCCUCCUAUAUGAUAUAAAAUAAAUAUUCAACUGUUAACAAAUCAUUACCAGUGCCUAUAUUUCUCGGUUCAAAAGUUAAAUUGGAGUAGACAUUAUAACAAGAAACGAUAUAUCAAACCGUUAAUAUAUCUCUGACGGAGUUAUGCUUGAAAAAAAUAGAAAAUUUGAGGUGCAUUCAUUCUGUAGGGACUGUUGCAGGAGGCCCCUGAUUAGCCAAACGGUGAACUUUCGGAUAAUACAAAACAUUUUGUUAUAGAAACAAGCAUACGUUAACUGAAUAAUAUACAUGCUUUCAAACGUCCGGGUGUCGACCAUGACAAAACGCCUAAAGGAGUUAUACGAUACGAAUAACAAAGUUUUUAUUUUUCCUACUAAAUGUAUGCAUACCAUUUCACUUUCUUCGAUUUCGGGAGCAACAGCAUUUGGAGGGCCAUUCACUGACUGGCUCCUUGAAUGCGCCUACGAGUUUUGAAGAACCAAAUAAUUGUAUAAAACAGACAAAAUAAAUAUAUCAGGGAGGAUGACAGGCGUAACAAAAUUAUCACAUAAUGUAAUAUCCAUAUAACGAAUUAUGCUGUUAGAAACAUUUAAAUAAAAGCUAAAGCUUUGAUCAUUUUAUACUAAUCGAAACUGAGUCAGUAGAUGAGCGACAUCCCAUAAAUAUGUGUUCAUCAAAUUCAAUCGAUGUCGGCUUCGAUUCUGAGACCUGUAUAUUUGACACGACAUUAAUGUUAUUUCAUACUGAAUGGUACCUAAACUUUACUUAACGGUUAUAUAAUAAGAAUUUUUUCCCAUAAAUAUUUACCAUCACAAAAAUUGGAUCCAUACCGUAGUCUCUGUAGUUCUUGACAAUUUAGAUUUUCUUUUUACUCUAUCAAAUUUAUCGACCCAACUUCGCAUCACUCUACUUCUCUUCUCACAGCCUCGUUUCUUAAUGCCUCUUGCGACUAUUGCCUCUCCCAUUUCAUUUACAAUUUCAAUUUUAUCUCGUUCCUCCACAUUCAGAUUUUUAUGAUUUUGUGAAGGUUGCUCUUCACUUUCUGAGAGGAGGAGCUCAACUCUCUUUGCCAAAUUGGAUAUGACGGUGAUUACUACUUUGCUGGUGUCCUCCGACAUUGCUGCUCGAGUUGCGACCUUAAUCAUGGUUGGAGCGAGUUCCCGAUAACGAGUUGAAAUGAUUACUUUUGGAUCAACCACAAUUUCCCGUCCUCGCCGAUCAAAACAGUCCCCAGCUCGAGGUCUUUUUGUCCAUCGCCUCUUAACGUAUUCCGGAGGAAUUGUCUUUAUGCCCACGGUAUCAAACACCUUCAACGCAUGCCCACAUAAAAUUUCUUCAUUCUCGUAUUUUUUGCAACUACUGCGUACACUUAGAUCAGUCCGAUUGAAUACCACUAUUCUUUCAGGUCCUCCAUCAUACCUCAUUACCGCAAACUCCACAAACAUCCUUGGAUCUUGUUGUCUCAAUAUAACCAUAGAUGUUGACUCACCAUAUUCAUUUUGGAAUGCAACAAAUACGGUUGGUGAAUACGUCUCUGCUGCAUGCACAAGCAUAAGUGUUUGCCUCAACCCUACCAUGGGAAGCUUUUGCCUCAUUUCAUAUUCUGCAAUGAGUUCAUUAUGUCUCUUAUCAUCAACCACCAGAUUGAAAUGUCUAAAGAACUGCACAAGGUCGUGAUCCAGUUUCAAAUAAUUUUUUAUUGCUGCAUUUAGACUUUCACUAAGUUGGGUGCUUCGCAUUCCCGCAGUCCAUCUUUCUUUCAUCAUGCACCUUGCCCAUUUAUCACGAAUUCGAUACAGCCCGGAAAGCCAUUCAUUAUUUUCAAGAUUGUGCUUCUUCACCAUCGCCUCCCACAACUUGUUGAAUUGUUUCACUUCUUCAAUGUCAUACAUGCAGGCACCAAACAUGUAUGGAAGGUCACUAUUUUCCUUGUAGUGAUUGUCAAGAUGUUUCAUAAAAUUACAUCUUAUGUGAAACGUACAUAGAUCGUGAAAUGUUUCAGGCAUGACAACUGAAAGAACGGCUGCCAUGGCGUGAUCUUGGUCGGUUAGUAUGGUACUUGGACGCUUUUCGUACAUUACUUCUAGAAAUGUACCAAACACCCAUUUGAAAGAAUCUAUAGUCUCAUCAUACAUAAGGGCAGCACCGAAUAUCACAAAUUGCCUAUGUUGGUUAAAACCCACAAACACUCCAAAAGGCCGGUAUUCUUUAUUUGUUUUGUAGGUUGUGUCGAAUGUGACUAUAUCUCCAAAAAAAGUUGUAGUCAAUUAAUAUUCCUGCAUCAGCCCAAAAAAUAUUCGUUAUCUGCUCUUCACAAUCCAGCUGUACGGCAUGAAAAAAAGAUGGAUUCUUGAGUGUUUGCUCUUGAAAAUAAUUCAGCAUGCUACCUGCUUCUCCGUAUUUCAAACUCCUUUCCCGUCGAGUACGAAGAUAUCGUUUUAGAUCUUCCCGAGUAUAUCCCACAUUUCCCAAGCCACCUGCCUCCUUUCCCAUAAGCUCAUGGCUCUGUUUCAAUGAAAGCCCAGCAUCCUCGCUUAUUUCAGCUUGGAAUCCUUAAGCCUCACUCACUUUUCUUUGUGAUGGUAUCAUGUGCGAACAUUGAGUAAUGUGCAACUCAUGGUUAUGUUCUAAAACAAGGUCAUGCACACGGUAUUUCAUUGUCCCUCUAAGUAACACGAUAAUCAUUUUAGCUCCACACCCCGUUUUCGUCGGUGAUCGUGUCCUCUUUGGCAUCACAUCACCUUCGUACUUGCGUUUUACACCUUCCUUGUAGCAACUAUAUCUCCUAAACAUGGUCACACCAUCUUUAUCUUUAUUUAGAUAGUACACUAAAUCCCAUUUUAAAGGCAUAUUUGUUGUAAAAUGUGUACGCAUCCUCUUCAUUGUUGAAUUCCAUUCCUAACUUAGGGGUCCGAUCUUCUGCCAAUUUACUGCAAUCCAUUACUUCUGCUCCUGCUAAUUAUGCAUCAAACACCCUAAUUUGCAACACUUCAUGAAUAGUAUGUACAUAAAUGGCAACAUAAAUGUAUAUUACCAUUCAUAAUGUGUUAUAAAUCACACAUUACUCGUAUACCAAAUUCUAUUAUUACGCUUAUCAAUAUGAUUAAUGAUUCACAUCACCUUACUUUUACUCUAAGACAACGGCAUUAUCUAUGUACAAAUACAACUCCAUGUACACCAAGUUAUACAGACUGUAAUGUAUUGGUCACAUGAUGUAAGUUUAUUUUAACUGAAUGUACAUCCACGCUGGUGAUUAUAUUUUAAUUCUAGGUUCUUUAGCACACUGGACCUUAUGUCAUUCAUUACUGUCAACCGCAUAAGCCAACUCCGCAUUUUCUAUUAUUUCUACAUUUUGAGAGCCAAACAAGCACUUUCUACUCAUUAUAAUAUAUUUCUUACAUCAUGUAAUUUACUUACAACACAAGGUUCACCCAUUUAUUAUUCAUAUAUAUGUCUUUUCCUCUACUUCACCUCAUUCAACUCUACGCCUCCAUUUUAUACACACUGCAUGGUCACGAGAGGGGCAAACUAAUAUUGCCCCAUGAUCAUGAACCAACUACUACAUGCACAAUGAUUCAUAUCAAUUGUAAUACGGUAGCUAUAACAUGUAACUAAUUUACAACAGGAUGUACAUUAAUUCACUUGUUAAAUGUGACUUUGUUUCUCUCAUCUUUCCCUAAUUCCGUUCGACAGUUUACUUGAAAGGUCUUCCAAUAACUACUAUCCCAAUAUAGUCCAUCACUGAAAAGUUGAAUGCUCACACACACACACAGAUACGAUACGAUACACACACACAAAUAUAGUACAAUUUCACUAUUUUUCUAUCAUCUUCAUAUUAUGUCUUCAAUGACUCUAAUUUCAUCAUUCAUUUAACAGAUGUGCAUUUGGGUGACAAAUUAUUGGCCACAGUUACUAGCAUGGUUCACUCACAUUACCUUGGUCUGCUAAUACGCUUUACGUUUCACCGAAGUCGGAGAGCGUAGCUGCUUCUGCUAUUAAGUUGAAGGACAAAAUCUGGCUUCAUGAAAUGCUCAAUUUUCUCUGUUUGCUUUUACCUUACCGCCUGCCUUGGUUGCAUUCAAAAUGGAUACAACACUCUCAUACCCAGUUGAAGACCAUAGCUACUUCUGCUAUUCAGUUUUACGAACAAACUCUGAUUUCGUCUCUGUUUUAUUCUCCCUUGCCGCCUGCCUCUCCACCCACUUUUCUGUCAAUUACUACUUUCAUCAGAGUAGACUUCACCCACUUCACCUAGAAACACCCAGUAGGUUGAAGCCCAGCCGAACUUCAGCUUUCUACCUUUAGUGAGCGGUCGGUCAGAGUAGAGUACCUUCACAAGCACGCCAAGACUCUCCGCUGAAGUUUUGUUUUCUGCGGCUAGUUCAAAAUUUCAACUUGAAUUUCAAAAUCACGAAUCUUCCGUUUGCUCCGUCUGCUCCCGUUUGGAAGUCAAUAUUUUUUUAUUUGAAACGGCGUCGUUCCUUGCCCUGCUGAAGACUUGCUGACUUGGCUCAUUUGUCUCCUCACAUUUUUGAUUGUGAGGAGACCGUUCAGGAGCGGUCGGCCUGACGACCGCUCCUGCCCCGUAUCCCAUGUACUGUGGCCUGAUAAAAGCUUUUCAAUUCAGUCUAUCGUCAGUAAUGCACGGCUCUGUCGGUCAUGUUCAACGAAGUGAUUAAUUGUGGCAUACCCAAUUGGGAUUAGAGAGUUAAUUACGGUGUUCUGUUCCGUUGUACUUUUUUUUUUUUUUUUGUCGACGGAGUGGGUGUCCGGAUCAAGUCCGUAAAGGCGGCCCGACUAAUCCCACUUCAACCCGGCCCAGCGCCCCAACCAGACCUAGCACGUUAGAUGCACGGAGAAGCCGAUGUUGCUGCGGAGGUUCGACCCCAGGACCUGACGGUCCCGAGGAAGAGGCGCCAACCACCAGCCCAUUCACGUGGGGGCCUGUUCCGUUGUACUUGUAUGGGCAGCUUUUCUUGCUGUUGGGGACCACUCCUUACUUACAUAUUGAAAAUUUUUUUAGACACAAUAAAAUCUAUUUUGGACGUACUCCUACUCUAUAUUAGGUUAGGACGAGAGCGGAGCUAAAGAGAUUUAAGGAAAACUCGAAAGGAACUAAAUUAUCACUAGCCCAAAUGAGUGCCUACGCACUUGCCAGUAAACUUUUCCAGGAAAGCCUGGAUUUUUUAUAAUGCGGGCCAAGAGAUUUGAAGCUAUAUCUUUGACCCACAUCCAAGUAGAGAUUCAAAACUUUUUUAGUAACAAACUUUUUCACGUUUUACCAUUUCUUGCUUAUACAUUGUUUAAAUUGGAAUUUUUUGCAGAAAAAUUUUAUGUUUUUAAUGAACAUAUUUUUCAGUCGCCUUUUUAUCACACAAAUAUUAUUGCUAUAGUAUUUUUUCUACAAAAAUUCCAAAAAAAAUAGCAAUCCAAACGAGAAAUUGGGAUUAGAGAGGAAAUAUGACUAAAUUAGAGAGUGACGAGUAUGAUCUUAAGUUUAGAAUAGUAAAUUAUCAAAAAUAACGAAUGGUUUAAAGCAAAAAAGGGUAAAUGGUGAAUGAAAAUUGAUAAGUAACUGUUAUUAGAAGGUUUUUCAGAGCAAUAUAACAAUCGACUUUUUUAUGAAAACCUGCAUGGAUUCCUCCAAAUUUUUAAACCAGUACUCCUAAUGUUAAACUAUUAGAAUUAAUAGUUUCAAAACUAAAGUGCAAAUCGAUAGUAGUUUGCAGUGCAUGUUGCAAUUAAUCCAAAACUUGAUCGCGCCGUGUGAUUUCUCUUUGUUAUACAUGUGAAUAUACAAAUACCUAAUUGUUUACGCAAUAAUUUAGAACAUCAACGUGUUUCACCUUCUUGGGUAAUUACUGUUGGAAAAAUGGCUAUAUCCAUUGUAGAGUGAAUGAGAAAAUUGUUCUCAUAAUGACACUCUUAAAAGAAUCCAAGGAUAAUUAUCUAUCAUUCAUGUACAUAAGAUUCAUGUAUAUUAAUUAUUGAUACAUGAUUUUGGAUAGGAUUCAUGUACUUAAUACAUGAUUUUGGAGUUAUCUUAUUGAGAUACAUGUAUGUACAUGAAUGUGGUACUUUGAUAAACGUGAAGAAGUUCGCUGUGGUGAAGAAAGUUUGGUACUGACAUAUUCACCUUUAAUCCGUUGUAUCCUGGGAGACAGACGCCUACUUAACCUCGAGCACUCUACCUGGAGGGGGCGAAUCUAUUUUAAGGAAAUUGUGCUCACAAGUCUCGGAUUGUUAUUAUUGUUAUUUUCGAUUAUUUCUUUCUUUCUAGGUUGUAUUUACUCUUCUCUAUAGUGUAUCAGCCUAUUUUUUAUUAUUUCACUAACAAUUACUAAUUAGUGUAACACUUUUCUUCCAAAGGAAAACGACAAUAGAUGCGACACAACAUCAAUGAAAUACUAAAAAAGAUAAGGAGAGGACCUGGCCAAGAAAGUCCUUUGCUGCGGGAGAUGUCAAUUUCUACCCGCAUUUUGCAUUCUAGCAUUUACAUUUGCUUUCCAAUUAAGGUAGUGUAAUUUAGGGGUGGCAAUUCGGGUCCAAAUCAGGUUGGCAGGUCGGAUUCGGGUCAACCCGCCAGAAAAUCUGUUGACCCGAACCCGACCCGCCAACCCGUGACGGGUCAGGUAUGCUGACCCGAACCCGAAAAUUUCAGGUUGACGGGUUGGCGGGUCGACCCGAAAUGACCCGAAACUUAAUUUUAAUUUAUUAAUUUAUCACUGUAAUUUCUAAUAAAAUCAAUUUCUCACAAAACUAAUUACAUAAUCAAGUAAUAAAAUUUUAAAUAAGUAAUUCCAAACCAAAUCUAAAAUAAAUUAAACACCGUAAAAGUGUUUUAUCCCAAACAAAAUAUAAAAUAAAUUAAAACAGUAUAAAAGUAAAAAAUAAUAUAAUAUAUUAUUUAUCCAAAUAUAAUAAUUUCAACUUCACACAAAUUAAAUAAAUUCAUUUAUGAUUAAGUAAUUAAUGCCUUUGAAAAAAAGAAUAACUUAGGUUAGUUAGAUAAAAUUAUUUUUAUAUUUAUUAAAUUAUUUUUAAUUCGUAAACGGGUCAUAUCGGGUCAUAUCAGGUCACCACGGGUUGACCCGAAAUCGACCUGUUUUCUUUUCGGGUGCAUCGGGUCCAACCCGAUUCUGACCCGAAUUCCCAAAACCUCAACCCAAACCCAUUAAUUUCGUGUUAGAUUCGUGUCGUGUUUUCAGGUCGUGUCGAAAAUUGCCACCCCUGGUGUAAUUAGGCCAAGAACAGUGAAUUAGUUCAGGAUUUUUCCGUUUAAAAACACCUUCUGAUUAGUCGGCCUGUCCUUCAUUUUAUAAGAGGUAUGAUGUAGGAGCUAACCUUCCAUAACAUUAAAGGUGUCAAAAUGGGUGGCUCAAAUGGGUUUGAACCGGUAAUAAUUUGGUAAUGAGUAUAAUUAGGUUAACCCAUUUGUAUUGAUUAAAUAAAUGAGUAUGGGUAUAUCCAACAACCUAUUUAUGAGUCAAUUAAAAUUUUAAUUUUUUUAUUUUUUGCAUAUUGCUUAAUAAGAAAUAACUAUAUUUUAUUAUUGUUAGAUUGAUAAAAAAAAAUUCAAAUUUAUUUGCUUAAUGCUCACUAAGAGUGCGGAUUUGGACAGGUUAUUAGUGCACAGAUUUGGACAAGGUCAACAUAAUUGGAUUGUAACUGAGCAUUGGUUUACAUGCCUAAAUUCCACUUAAUUUAUUAUGUAUAUACACAUAUUAAUAAUUAUUAUUCUCUCUUAUAUUUAUACACUUUCUAUAAUUGGUUUUAUCUUUCCCAAAAUCUAACAUUUGAUAUAUGUCUUAACAAGUCUCCAAUGACCACCCAUUAAACAGACCUUACUAUGUUAGUGUGCCUCUUGUCAUUGUGAAGCAAGUCAAGCAUGAUUAUUGAAAGUCCAUUUUCUUGUCACUUUCUUUUUUUCUCAUUCAUACACUCAAAUGUAUAAUUUUGAUUGACAACUGACAACUAAUUGAAAUAAUCUUUUUUAGUUUACACUAAUAAUAAACUGCCUCUUACACUUUUAACUUAUGUAGAUUUAUGCUUAAUUACAUUUCUUUUUUUUUUUUUUAUCUUUUUGCAUAUUUUGCAUAAUUACCUACCCAUAUCUUAUUUUUAUUCCAAUAUCUAAGUAAGCAGUACUCGAAAAUAUACAAAAAGAUAAAAAUAAAAAAUUUUGAUUAAAAUCAACGUAAGUCAAAAGUAUAAAAAAAAAGGUCUAUUAUUAGUCUGAAAUUAGCGUCUUCUUAAGAUGAUGUUUAAUUUUUGUCCAUCUUGUUUGUUUUAAGAGUUUGCAAAAGGAUUAAAAAAAAAAAAGAACAUAAGAAUUUGAAGAGAAGAAAAAAAGAGAAACAAGGAGCAACAUGUGGAAAAUGUUUUUUUGAAAAAAAGGAAGCUAUGGGAAAUAAUGGAAUGCUAGAGCGUGCGCUAGGAAGUGGAGUGAAGGAAUUAAUGUGAUAGCCAACAACUCCAACCCCCUUUCCAAGAAGUGUAUAUUAAAACUCCAAAUUUUGAAAUUGAUGUUCUACAUUAGUUUAGUUCUUAAAUUAUAAUCUUAUACCUCAAGGACUAUACAAAAAACCUAUCAAGAUAGAACCCACAAAGUUACUUUCUAGAAAAGUUUAGUCUAGUAUUAAUGUAUUAUUCACCAUAAAAAGGUUCACUAAUACUGUAGAAGAACAAACGCCAUCAAAAUUAUAUCAUCCAACACUAAAUCAAUUAAAAUCAAUAUUAAGUAGUUGAAAAGUACAGUAUAAAGUUGUGAGCUAAUAUGUUUAUCCUCUAAUGACACCAGCUGCAACCUCGUUCACAAAAGCCUUGACAUUAAGGCUGGAGGAUCCUCCAUCUUUGGCAGCUUCUACAGCCAACUCCCUCCAUUUUUUAGCAGUCUUUCUCAUCUCUUCACCUCUCACCCCACCAUCCAUAACAAUUUCUAAGCUUCUUCUGAUCUCAUCAGCCUCAACAGUUCCUUCUUCAUUGGCCGUAGGCCUUAUCCCAGUCUUCCAAACAUCUUGAAUAAAUUUUGCAUUGGUAGUUUGAUCUGUCCAGAGAGGUAUUGCCACAACUGGCACCCCAGAAGCUAAACUCUCUAGAGAAGAAUUCCAUCCACAAUGACUCACAAAGCAUCCCACAGAAGGGUGUGACAAAACCUCCACUUGUGAACACCAAGAAACUAUCAGUCCUUGCUUUUCCAAUUCAUCUUUACAGCUUAACUUUUCCUCCAGUUUCUCACCCUUGGGAGACUUCCUAAGCACCCACAAAAAUGGCUUCUUGCUUUGCAGCAACCCUUGAGCAAUUUCCUCUAGCUGUUUUAAUGGUACAUCUGCGAAACUCCCAAAUGCUACAUAAACAACAGAUGCAUCAUUCUUGGAAUUCAGCCACUCGACACAAUCUUUCGUUUCCUGAAGCAAGUCACCACCAAACGAAGAAUCCGAAGAAUCCCUUCCAUCUAAGAAAGCUGAAGGAAUCAAAGGUCCAACAGCUACCAGCUUCAACUUCACAGCAGCCUUGAGAGUCUCAGAUUCCAAAGCAUCAAAUGUAUUUACGAGAACUUUUGGCUUUUCUUCCUCUUGGAGUAGUUCAAAAUGUUUAUUGAUCGUGGGCAAAGCAAAACUGUAGACAUCAGGAUUUGAAGCCAGAAAAAAUGUGGGGAGAUCUCGGCUAGCUAGUGUUGGUAAUCCGGGUAAUUUAAUUGUUUUACUGCUAGAAAUAUCUCCAGUAACUUCCCCACAGCCAUUGAAGAAACAAUAGUAGAGUUGGAAAAGAGCUGCCGGCUGUAUCCAAAGAAGAGUUGAUGGAAUCUGAAGUUGACGAGCAACUUGACCAACCCAAGGCAUAAGUAUGGCGUAGACCACAUGAGUGAUUGGACGGCCCUCAUUGCUCUGAGCCAUGAUGAGCUCUUUCAGGGUUUGUGAGCCACGAGUAACCAGAGAAGUCAUAUAUUCUUGAACAUCAUCGUCAGUAGUCCAGCCUUGGUCAUAACCAUCAGAAAAAGCAACAAUGCUUAAUUUUUCUGGUAACGAAUCCGAGGCUCUGCUCAUGCGGUUGAUUGCACCAAGACUGGUUGAAAAUGUCGUUCUAACGCCUAGUUUUGCUAGGCGUUUCGCGAAUUGGAGGGUAGGGUUGAUAUGGCCUUGGCCUGGAAAUGUCACAACUAGAAAAUGGCAAUUCUCCAUUGGAGUGAGGAAGCUUGUAAGGUUUGUAUUGAAAGAGAAAGAUUGUUUGAAUGUUUAAUGUGGAUUAUUUGCCUAUAGACUACAGAGUUAUGAGCAUGUUUAUUUAUAUAGGGCCAAGGCAUUGAAAGGUGAUGUUUGUCAUGACGAAGGGUUGUCUUGCAUACUUCAGUACUUACUUCAGCACAAAUAUUGCUUUGACCAAGUUUCACAACUUCUUUACUUCUCCACCAACUUUUCAAUCUUGACAGCGGACACUAUAAACCUUUACGAUUUGAUUAUUAUCCGUUGCUAACAAGGGCUAAUCUAUAUAUCUAUAUAAUAAUAAAAUAUCAUAUAUUAUUAUUAUUAUUAUCUAUAAAAGUGCCUUGAAUAGUUUAUAGUUGGAUGUUCCUUACUUUUUUUAUUUGCCUGAUAUGCCCUUAAGAUAAUUUGUCAACAUAUAGGUGUUUACAAUUUGACUACAAUUUGAACUUUAUUCAAUGAUGUUCUAUUCAAAUACAAACACUAAUCAUGCAAAUUACAAAUCCUCGGGCUUCUUCCAAUUACUUGAAAAGGUGGAAAUAACCAACUGCAGAAAAAGCAUCUCUAGCUUGAAAAAAUGAUUAAUUUGACGGGUUGGAAAAGUCAUAUAUGGUUCUCUCAAGCAUUGACAGCUACUUUUGUUCGUGCCAGAAUAACGCACCUCAUUAGUUUGAUGUCUCAAGCAUUGACAGCUACUUUUGUGAACAGUGAGUGCAGGAAACCUUUAGAGUUGGAAUUGUAAAGACUCUUUUUUUUGGUUGGUUACAUAGUUACUAAUCUUGGUGUGGUAACACCCAUACAAUCAAGACCUUGAGAGAAUUCUCCCUUGUUUAACCUCUGAAUUUCUAGCAAUGUAAAUAUUAUGCGGGUAAAUGAAUUCUGUUCUUACCUAGUUUUAUUUAAUGAGUUUGUCAAUUCUUUCAUCGUUUACUUCGUUGAUUAAAAUUUAGCUAGCACCUUUGAAGCCCCAAAAAAAAAAAAAAAGACGGAGUUCUUCUAAGUAUGCAAACGUGAAUUAAUUUACUUUUUCAUACCAGUUAGCAAAUUCUAAUUACUCAUCUGUUGGUACAGUAUCUGAUAUGACUGGGUCAAUCUUCUCGUGGCAUAGAUUAAUUACACGCUUUUGCAAGUAGAAUCUUCAACCAAGAAAAUAUAAUUUGAGAAGAACAUGAAGCUUGUACGCAACUUAAGAGCUUAGGUCUGAGUGUCAACAUGCUAAAUUAAGUUCAACAUAGAGAUGGAUUAUCUCACUUUAUCUCUUGAAUAUUCCUUUAAUUUAAGGACUAAAGAGGAAACAUGAUUGGCAUUAGACACUGAUAAGUAUGAAAUUAUGCUUAGGACCAUAAGAUGUCAAAAAUAAAGAAUGGGGGAAACCAAGUAAAUGGUGUAUGAAAAUUGAAGAGUACUUCAACUUGUCACUAGAAGGCAUUUCAGAGCGGGUUUAUGGCAAGUACGGUUUAACUUCCGAAAUGAUUGGCAUUAUUAUUUUAUUUCUUUCAAAUAUUGAUAUAUAUAUAUAUAUAUAUAUACACACACACACACAUAUGUGGACAUGAUUCUAUUCGUAUAUGGAAUUGAUGUACGUGAAUUGUGCUGUUUUCUCUUAUUUUGUUUUUAGAUCUGAAUUUAUUAGCAGAUCUGGUGAAUACAACAUGCGCGGAAAGUAGCUACAACGAUUUAUUUUUUGGAAAAUAAUUUUGAAAUUUCUUACAUUUUUCAGAUCUGUUCAUAAUUUUUUAGAUUUAUUGAAUCUGUUAACUUACAUAUGUGUAAUUUCUAAUGCAUGUUUUGUAAUUCAAAUAAUACUGAACGAUUUUCAACAAUCCAUUAGUGAAAUUUACUUUUAAUCCAAAAAAUAAUAUAUAUUAAUAAAAGGGAUAAUUUCAUAAACCUCACGUCCCCUGAGGUUUCUGAUAGUCUCACUACGCUCUCUUAAGGUUUCUAAAAUAUUAGAUACCUCCCUUAAAACUAAGUAGGUGACAGUAAAAUCAGUCCAAUUCAAAAAUACAAAUGAUAUAAAAGUAAUUAGUAUCAGGGGAGAGAAUAUAAAAGGAUUUCACAGCUGCCCUCAAGUGUUGCAUUAGUGAGUUAAUUUGAUAUGAAUAGUACAUAGCUAUUUGAACAAGAAAUAAAGUUCAAGGGGUGUAACUUAUGGCAAAGGCAAGGUUUCAACUUAAGUUUGGAACUGGAAACUAACGGCUCUUUCUGCAACCAUUUCUAACUAAGGGUAGCAAUGGGGCGGGGGACCCCUCCCCCACGUCCCGCCCGUUGCCUAUUAAUUUCCCCCGCCCCCGCCUCGUCCCCCGCCCCCAACUUCCCUUGGGGGCACUCGUGGGGUUAAAAAAUUUUUUUUAUAUAAUUUUAUUAUAAUUAAAUUUUAGUAAAUAAUCAAGUACUAAAAUAUCAACAUAUUAUCAAAUUAUUAUUUAUUGUAACUUCACAAUUAAAACUCAUAAAAAUAAUUAAAUAAAAGUUAUUUGAAUAUAAUCUAAUAUGACAAAGCAAAUAUAACUAAAAUAAUCAAGUUUUCACUUUGAUACAAAUACAACACUAAAUUAUUAUUGUGUUUUUUUGAGAAAAAAAGUGUUAUUGUAUUAAGUGUAGUUAGGAAUUUAAUAUAAAUGUAUUAAUAAAUUUAGUAUAAAUAAUUAAUAAUUUUUAAGAGACAUGUAUAAUUAGUAGUAUAAUUGAUAUUAUCAAUUAUAUUACAUAUACUAAUAUACAUUAAAUGAUACAUAUAACUAAUAAUAUCAUUAUUAUAAAUUUAUAACUAAUUAAAUUAAAUAUUAUAUAUAAUUAUGUACAUAUAUAUAUCUUUAUUUUUUUAAACAGGUGGUGCAGUAUACCCCCGCCCCCGCCCCGUUUCUAAAUGGGGGAAAAAAAUUCCCGUCGCCCCUACCCCAAUAAUCCCCCGGGGGCGGGUACCCGCAGGCCCCGCCCCCAUUGCCAUCCUUAUUUCUAACAUCUAUUUGAGACAGCAAUUGCAUGAGACUCUGUAUAACAACAAAAUCAACCAGCAAGAGAGGACAAUUUAACGGUUUGGUGUUAGAUGAGCUAAAGCGACACAUUUCUAUGAAUGAAAUAAGCAGCAGCAACAGAUAGAAACACAUAGAGAUGGCUCGUUCAAGCAAUGGAGGAAAAAGUUGGAAUUCACCAACGUUAUUUGCAAUUAGAAACAGAUAUUGCAACUAUAAUCCCAAGGAGACAAUCAAAAUUUCUAAGAGUGAAAAGAAUCCACAUAAACUGUACUUUUGCUGUUCAAAUUGCAAAUACUUUCAAUGGUAUGAAUGUCUUACAGAUGAAGAGGUAAGCAGGCAAAGAGAAGAAAGGCAUUCAACAUUGCAAAGGAAAAUUAAUUAAACUAAGUCCAUUGGCACCCUUUCUAUGAUGGCAUAUUAGAAAUUAAUUUAAUGUCCAAAUGGUAGUUAACUUAGAUAAGCAUACUUAUUAAUGAUUUAAUUAAUUCUGUCAACAUAAUUAAGUCAUUUCUUUAUGUAAAGUGUAAGAAUUGGGCUCCAACAACCUGACAGAGGAAGUGUCUAAAUUUUGGAAACCUUAAUUAAGGGCAAUGAAAUUGUUAGAAACCUUAGGGAGGUUUCUGAAAUUAUCCAUAAAUAAAAUGGAUAAUAACAGCACAACCACACAGAAACCUCAACCGUUGCUAGCUAUCCCAAAUCCUUUCAAAGCAAUAUGACAUAUUAUGAACCUUUGGACUCCUCCAAUUCUAGAACGGGUCACUAAUAAAUCAGGUACUCCUAGUAUUCUAUAUUGGACCCGAAUUGCAGUCUAAGACGGAUAGGUCAAACAUUUGGACGUAGCCCAAUACAUAAAAUAAGCUUAAUUGAUCCGAAACUUAUUAGUUUCCAAGUUUGUUUCUAUAGUAUAAUAAGUUUCAAUUAUGUUUUAAUUCAAUAUAUUUAUUUUCAUUAUUAAACUGAUCUCUCAUGAAGUUCUAGUAGUUUGGAUUUUUACAUAAUAAAUUUUCAAAAAUUUAUGCUAACAGAACCAAAUUCGAGUUGACUUCGAAAAUUUAAUAAAUGAUAAAUGAUGUUCAUGUUUGGUUUAAUUAGACUGGUGAGUCAAAUUCAAAUGAGGUUUUACCUUUUCAAACUUGAUCUUGAGUAGUGAGUAAUAACUCAGUCCUUAAUUCAACUCUAGAUGGGGAAAUACAGGGAAAGGGACACAAUGCAUAGAGAGAAGUUGAGUCCUAACAAAUGCUAUAUGGUGAGACAAUUUUUUUUUUUUUUUUGCCUGAGCACCAAGGUUUUGACAUCUAGCUAUGAGGUGGAAAAAUUACCGAGUCAAGAGUCAGUGGUCAAGCCAUUGGACUAAUCGUUAUUGAGCCAUAAUUGAUUUGUAAUGUCAUAAAUAUAUAAAAAAUAAUUAAUAUAUAAUUACUAAUAAUCUAAUCUAAUAUUAUAUAAUGUACUAACCGGAAAUGUAACUCCAUUAAAAAAAGGGUUUAUCUCUAACUAACGGCACUCAUUGAGUACUCAUGAAGCAGAUAUAUUUCGGUGACAUAAUUUUAGAAAUGUAAAAUUAAUUAGAGAAAGUAAAUAAAUACAAGGAGGGUAGGAAACAUUUAAUAGAAAAAGUAUAUAAAUGCAAUGGAGAGUAAUAGUUAUUAGUAUGUGUGUGUAUAUAUAUAUAUAUAUAUAUAUAUAUAUAUAUAUAUAUAUAUAUAUAUAUAUAUAUACGGUAAGUUAGGUGAAUUUUAUGUGUAUUAACGAAUGACUAUCGAACACCCGUAAGGAAAACUCAAAAAAAAAUAGGGAAAUCACAAACAUAAAUUUAACAAAACCAUUGAUUCUAUCACAAGUAACAACAAAUCCAAAUAAUAAAGUUAAACCACUAACAUAAAUCAUAGGCAACCUAAUAGCAAUCUCAACUGGAUUAAUAAUUAAAAACAAACUUUCUAAUCCAACUCAUUACUGCCAAAGUCAAAACCACUCGUGCUACUAUUUCCAUCACCAUAAAAAGCGUUAGAAUCUCAAAAAAGGCCUAGCUCAUUUGUAGUAGUAAAAUUUUUUUUAAACAAAAUUUGUAAUAUAUGCUAUCUCUUGAAUUUUCCUUCAAAUUCCAAAAGGUCUAGAGAAUAACGACUAAAAAGCAACCACGUUUUAGCAUGAAAAUAAGGUUGAAAAAAAAAGAUAAAGAAAGAUGAAUACUCGCCUGUGAAAUGUAAGUUUUUUAGUUGCCAAAUUUCUCAAAGUAUAAUCACCGCAAAAAUUAAAGCAAAUAAAAAGUUACAUGAUAAAUUUUACUUGAAUAAUUUAGUAAGAUGCAAAGUGAAAAAAAAAAGGACAAAAAAAUUGAAGAGAUUUUUUGGUAAAGGGAAAAAUUAAACCUUCGGACAGAGUUUCAGGUAUGGGAUUAGAUUGAUGUUGGAGGAAAUUGUGAGAUGAUGAAAGGGGGAGAAUUGGUAUGAAGAAAUUAGGUUGGGAAUUGAACUUGAAAGAACAGAGAUAGCAGCAGCCGCAAGUGAGCCUUUGAAGAAUUAGGUCCCGAACUCACGGUUUCGUUCUUCAAUUAUUUUCAAUUUUGAGUUAAAAUCUAAAUUUUGAUGAAUGGCAAGAAUCGGAUCAGUUUAAUGAAAAUCGUUUUGGUUCAACAAUCCAAUGAUCAAAUCGACCAAGUUAGCUAGUUUUCACAAAAGAGGGCGAUUUUAGAUUUCUCUGAGUUAUGAGGAAUAAUUUGGCUCACCUAACAACUCGAUUGACGAUUCAACUAGUCUGAUCGGACGGUCCGGUCCACUCUGAGUUUCAAAACCUUGCUGAGUACUAUGCAAAUACGCAGGUCUAUUUUGUUGUAGACUACAACAUUGCGUUACUGAUGAGAUCAAUACUUCCUUGAAUACCGUAACUAUUUGUACAAUAACAUAAUAGCUACUUAUCAUCAUGGACCAUCAAUACUUAGAAUGCAUUGGGAUAUACUCUGUCACGCCUACUAUCCCACAUUAAACAGAAAAGAAUUUGUCUAACAGAUGUUUUAUGGGCACUCAUUAAUACGUCUAGAUUUCACGUAACUCAUUAUAUAUGUACAUAUAUUAAUAAUUAUUAUCUUUCUUUUUAUUUAUAUGUUUUCUCUAAUUAAUUUUAUAUUUUUAAUAAAUUAACGUCUGAAAUACAUCUUAAUGAGUGUGCAAUAAGUAUAUGUUAGAUAGAUCUAAAAAAUAUAGAAGUUUAUAUUGAUGAAUACUACGAAUAAGUUGACAGACUACCAAUAAGUUGAUUAAACAUUUUAAACCCGUUGUGCUAAGGACCCUCUCACAACUUUGCAGAUCAAUGAUCAAGUUGAGUCCUGCAAACGAUCUUCCCAUUUGAUUCUAGUCUUAGCAGAUUUUUCUCUAUUUUUUUUAUAUGUGUUAUUGCAGAUUUUUUUUUUUUUGAAGAAUUUUCUCCCUACUACAUAUAGAGUUCUCUCAAGCUAUAUCUGACGGAAAUGUUCGUCUUCCCCUCAGUUAAUUAUCUUGCCGGACUCAAGUAUGCUUCAAAGAUCCUUGAAGCAAUUUUCAAAUAGGGUGUAUGCUACACAAGUUUAGAUAAAUGUUCAUAUGAGAAGCAAGGGAAAACAAGGGAUCAUUAACAUGUUUUGCAAUCGCUUUUUUAUUUUCUCAACCAUUUUUUUAUCUCAAACACGUUAUAUUAUAUUACAAAAAUAUUGCAAUAUAUUUUCAAAAAAUUAUUUCAAAGAAUCCCCUGUUCAAAUUCUUUUUUCCUUUUCUGCGCAAACAUUUGCUUUUAUGGAUCAACAAAGAAAGCUCAUGCAAGGCUAUGAGACCGUGACAAAUGAAAAGCCAAAACCAUCAACUAAAAACAUUUGUGAGAUUGUUUCCGGAAACUUUUCGUUUAUUGGAUUGAAUUUCUUGGGUUGGAUAAUGAGUUUGGAUCAUGGGUUGCCUCAUUUGAUGUUUUUGCCCUUUUAAAAACUAUCACGUGGUGGCCCUGUUACAAUUUCAUGUGAAAAUUUGUUCAGAAUUGGAAUUUGGUCCAUAUGAAUACAUUUUAAUAUGUGACCAUAUUGUGAAUUAUUUUAAAUGUAAAGGUUGAAAAAAUCAACAAGCGAGAUGUGAGGGACGUUUGCCUUUUUUUUUUUUCCCUUCAAACAAAUUGUAAUGCAUUUUUCUAUUUCUUUUAUAUUUUAAUAGCCACUUGACUUACACAUGACUUAUUCUAUUAGCAAUUUACAGAAAUUUGUCAAUUAUCUACUUCUAUCAACUUUAGGAACUAUAAUUGUUUUGGUUGAAACUCUAAAUCCUUCCUAAAGACCGAAAUUGCAAAUUUUCAUUUAUUACAUUAUCAUCUCAUUUAUAGGUUAUUUCUUAAGCACUUAUUUAAUUUGCCACAUCCAUUUAUCACUUGAUGUCUUUAUUACUUUUAUUUUGUCUCCAACUCAAGCAUGUAUAUUUUGUUUAGCAUAUAUGAUCGACCUUCGUUUGUGCUAUCAAUUCAAGUGAAGCAUUAAGCAAUGUUUGAUUGCUUUGUAACGCAUUUCAUAGUCUAUAACCAAUAAUAUUAUUAAGCAUUUUGCACUAGACAAAAAUAAUUUGGUUCCAAUUUCACUUUCAUAACCAAGUAUAUGAAGCAAGUAAGCCUCUUAAGAUAUCUAAUUAGACUGUAGCUGAAUUUGUAAACAAUCCAACAGAAAAUAAGCUGCAUGCAUGUAUACUCUUUGGUUUUUUUUUUUAAUGUUUGAAUUCUUAUUCUUAUUAACAAAAUUCAAUAUGCUAUUUGACACUGUUCAGUUUGGUACUAUUUUGUCCCUAGUGCUCUCUAACUUGUAAUAUGUGCGUUGAAUAUAUAUACGAUGAUUCAAUUUGUUUUGAAGCUAAGCUUUACAAUACAUUUUAGGGAGAACUGCUGUUUUAAUCCCCAAUUUAUCACACAUGCACGAAACUAGCCCCCAAUCUAUUUCAAAAAGCAAAUGUAGUCUCCAAUCCAUCCAGUUUUGUGCAAAAGUGGGCACUUGACAGAUUUAGUUCAAUUUCCUAAUAGAAUUAUGACACAUGUAGUCAUGUGCUGGGACUUAAAAGCUUUUUUUUUUUUUUUUUGUAAUUAAAAUUCUCUUUAAAAACUUGACGAUUGUAUUCCCUUUUUGUCUUUUCUUAAUUAAUCAGGCUAAAAUAUACGAAUACCUAUUGAAAUAACAAAAGAAGAGGAGGAAAAACCAAGAUUAGUUGAUAAACCCAAUAAAAAGAGAAUAAAACCCCAUUGCAUCCAACUCUCCCUCAAUCUAGCUUCUCACCAUAUCUCAGGAAAAAAACCCAACGAUUGAUCUAGGGACAGAGAUACCCUAAAAUCAAGAAAGUCUUCAACAAAGAUUGGGUUCCUUGUUCAUGGUUUUGUUUUGUAGGAGAUUUUUCUAUUUCUUAAUUAGGGCAAAAACCUGUAUCCCUUGAAGCAAGAAUUAAACUCAUGGUGCCAGAAAAUUUUGCAAUUGUGAUCAACUUACAACAAUGAUUACCUUGUGGACGAGCUACAACCCUAGGAGAAGUUGCUUCUCUUGUGCCAUAAAGGUAUGGAUUUUUUUCUCUAUUAUUGUGGUUAUGAAAUAUAAUUUUGUAUUUAUUCUCCCUUCAAUUUUCUCUAUUUUGUUGAUUGAGAAGGACAACAGAGGUGGUAAAGGUUAUAAUUAUUUUGAGUGGCAUGAUCCAAUUAUGUGUAAAAAAUCUACUACAUUGCUAAGAAGCAUGAACAAUAAGGAUAUAACCUUUGAAAGGUUAAGGUCAAGGGAACAGAAAUCAACAAACGAGAUGUGAGGGAUAUUGCUAUUUUUUUCCCUCCCUCCAAACAUAUUGUAAUGUGCUUUUCUAUUUCUUUUAGGCACCGUUUGGAUUGAAGGACAGGAAGGAAAAGGAAAAGAAAGGACAGCGAUGGAAAAGAAAGGAAAAGAUAUUAGAGAAAAGUGGUUUCCAUCCAUUUUAUUUGGAUUAAGUACAAAAAAAAUACACUGAAUUUUUGUUUGGAUUAAAAAGGAAAAGACAAAAAAAAAAAGGAAAAGAUCAAGUGUUAAUAGCCACAUAACUUGCACGUGACUUAUGCUACUAGCAAUUUAUGAAAUUUGUCAAUUGUCUACUCCUAUCAAAAUUCAGAAUUUUAGGAACUAUAAUUGUUUUGGUUGAAACUCUAAAUCCUUCCUAAAGACCAAAUUUGUAAAUUUUCUUUUAUUACAUUACAUCUCAUUUAUAGGUUAUUUCUUAAGCACUUGUUUAAUUUUUCACAUCCAUUUAACACUUGAUGUCUUUAUUACCAUUAUUUUGUCCCCAACUCAAGCAUGUAUAUUUUGUUAUCAUAUAUGAUCGACCUUCGUUUAUGCUAUCAAUUCAAGUGAAGCAUAAGCAGCUUUUGAUUGCUUAGUAACACCUUACUUAGUCUAUAUCCAAUAAUAUAAUUAAGCAUUUUGGGCUAGACAAAAAUAAUUUGGUUCCAACACUACGUCGCUGAAAGUCUCAUGACUUUCGUAACCAAGUACAUGAAGCAAGCAAGCUCCUUAAGGUCUCUAAUAGCUGAAUUUCUGAACCAUCCAACAAAAAAUGAGCUGCCGACUUAGCAUGCAUGUAUAUUCUUUGUGUUUUUUUUCUUUUUUUUUUUUAUGUAUGAAUUCUUAUUCUUAUUAACAAAAUUCAAUAUGCUAUUUGACAUUGUUCAGUUUUUUGCUAUUUUGUCCCUAAUGCUCUCUAACUUGCAAUAUGCGUGUUGAAUAUACAAUGAUUCAAUUUGUUUUGCAGCUACGCCUUAGAAUACGAUUUAAUAUACUUGAAAGGCCAAAAGCAUGAAGGAAAUAAAUCUUUCCGUACUAUUUCAUGUGGCCCUGCGUCAAAACCUUUGCAAAGAGUUACUUAUUAAUAAUUAAGUACUUCAUAUGAGAAUAUUUUAACAAAAAGAUUUGGGAUAUGCAUAUUUAAAAUUUUCUUGUUAGUAGAUUUAAGAGAUGCAUGGAUAUACACUUAUACACAUGUCUGAUUAUCUUAAAAAUUUCCACUACGUAAGCAUUUGCUAUAAACUUAAUUUCCUCAUUCAUAAACCUUUUCUUUCUUCUUUCCAAGUAUCUACCUAUAUAGUGCAAUAUUUACGCAAGAUCUGUGUACUAUCUAAUAUUAACCUUUACUUAAGGAAAUGCACCUGUUUUAUCCCUUCAAAAAAAUUAAGUAAUUUUUCUAUUUUAGAAUAUCCGUGCAUAAUGAGAAAGUCUUUUACUACUACUUAAAACAUAUUGGAGCCUUUCUAAUGAAUCCCUCUCUCAAAUAAUACUAAGUUCUCAAUAAUGUCUAACAUUCUUAAUAAUUAGCAUCAUAAGACAAGACUGCCUAGAUUUAUUUGGCAAUACCUAAAACCCUACCAUUUCCCAAUUUCACCACCCAUCCUUCCUUGCAAACCUUCCAUUUUGUACACCAAGCAAAACUUCUAUAAUCCUUAGGGCACACUAGAGAAAAAACAUAUAUAUAUCAGGACUAUAAAUGUCUAUGUCCAAGUAUCAAAUAUCUAUUUCUCAUACACUCUAAGAAAUUGACUUCAAAGAGCUGAAAUCCGUGAAAACAGUAGGAUGGCAUCCUGUUUUGGCCUUUUUGGUCGAGGCCCUGAAAGAGCUCAAAGGCAGCCUAAUGAUCGCAACAUUCCUGCUUCUGGCCUUGUACCUCAACCAACUAUCAAGAGGCCUAGAACUGAAUUUUCAAGGAAACCCAAUAGAAAAUACGUUGCUUCAAGUUCGCAGGAUCAAUCUAGUCAUUCGGGAUCUUCUAAGGGGAAUGAAAUUGCUGAAGCCCCUUGUCUGUGCUCUCAACUGCUAUCAGAAUUUGAAGUUCCUGGGCCUAUCCCUGAUGUUGAUUAUACUCUAUGGGAUGUAAGUCCUGAAGAAAUUUUUUUCAAAGGUGGCCCCAGUAUUGAGGAGUGGUGUAGGUCAUGCAAGAAAAAAAAAAAAGAAGUACCAGUGCUAGAGGCACACUUAUUUGCGUGCAGUUUACAAAUAUAUUAAAUUUGAUAUGGAAAAUUUUCUUUAUUGAAUUCAUUGCUUUCUUCAUAGAUAUGUCUGGGAGCAACCAUGUUGGCAACAUGUUCUUAAGUAGUGAUGGUAAAAAUUAUGUUGGUUAUAUUGUGAAAACAAAAAUAAAAGUUUAUAAAGUUGCAAAAUAUGUUUAUAUGAUGCCCUUCCUCUCACUUUAUAUGUAGUAUAGAUACUUUUUUUAUUUCCUGAUUUGCUUUAGUUGCAAUACGAUUUUUUUUUUUUUGCAUCCAUUAAUGUUGUUAUCAAUUUAAUUUAUAACAGGUUAAUGAUAUUAUGAUUCUAUUCGAUUUGACUGUGAAUAAGGUAUGACCAUCCGUACUAAGUCUUGUACUAUACUAAACUUUAAUAGGGAUGAAGCCGAUCGUUAUUGGAUUAGUAUUUCUUUACUUUUGGGAGGAUAAAAACAAAUGUGGGUGGAUUAUCGAUGGGUAAUAUGUUAGGGUUUGAUAUUGAUGAGGAGUAAUUGACGAAUAAUUUGACAUAAUUUGAUAAGAAAACCCUAAAAAAUUGAAACCCAAAACUCCACACACACACAUAUAUGUAUAUGUAUGCAUAUGUAUGUGUGUGUAUAUAUAUAUGUAUGUAUGUGUGUGUAUAUGUAUAUUAUGGAAUCAUAUGUUAUGACUUAAUUUGAUCAUCCAAUAAUGGCAACACAAUCAUAUGAUUCUUUAAAACCAUAAAAUGUCUAACUUGGAGAAUAUCUUUUAUUUUUCUAAAGGAUAACUAAUGGGCACUCAUUAACAUAUAUAAAUCACAUUUAAAUCAUUAUCUAAAUAUACACUUACAUUUAUUAUACCCUCUUGAACUGUGACACUUUUCCGAAUUAACUACAUUUUUAAAAAAAUUAAUAUCUAAAUUCCAACUACUACAAAAGUGUCCUUUUAUGACAUUCAAAAGCGUCAUUAUAGAUCUAUGUCAUAACGUUUAGGCUAUUAUGAUGCUCUACUAAAAGCGUCAUCCAUUCUAGCAUCACGAUAGGUUUAUGGCAGUUUUAAGUGUCUCAAUUUAUCAUUAUUAUGACAUUAUUAAAUGUCAUUAUCUAUGUCUAUUAUGACACUUUCAAAUGACAAGAAAUGCUAGGGUACAGUAACAUAUCACGACGCUUUUUUAGUAUAAUUAGAUAGAAAUAUUAUGACACUUUUGAAGAGUAACUAGAUCAGACUUUUAUGACAUUUUCUACUUGUCAGUAUAACAUCCAAAUUAAAGUGUUCCAACUUCCUAUUGCAUAUCAUCUAACGUCAGAAACCACAUUUCAUCCUGCUGCACAAGCAUCUCAGAUCCUAAAUUUUGAAGGAUUGUAAUGUAGCUAGUACAAUAAUUUAAAAGAAGCAAUACAAUCAUCCAAACUUGAGCAAAAGUACAUCAUUCAAACACUCCACACCAAAAGUGUCUAUAAAUUACAUACUAAUUUAGAUGGUUUUAAAUCAGUUGUGUACAUAUAAAGGACGCACAGGACAACAACUCAACUACAAAGCAAGGAAGAUGCCUUCAAAAAACUGCCACUUGACCCAAUGUUGCUUUAGUUUUCUGCAAUACUCACCUACAAGUGUCAUAAAACAAACAAGACAAAUUACAAUUCACACAGGUCUUGUUUUACACUUUUAACAUUAGAAAACAAAUAAUAACUGACAGGUGUCGAGCCUGUACAAUAAUAAAUACUUACUCGAGAAAAAUGUAAAUUUUACAUAUAGCGGUGAGUAGGGUCGAAUCCACAGGGAUUGGCGAUAACUUAUUUCUUUUAGAGUUCGAAGUAUGGGGGGUUUUCAAUGGGAGGCAAAUAAAAAUGAAAUAAAACAAACAAAAUUCAAAACUAACUCACAAAACACAAUUUACUAAAAAUAGCAAUUAAUAAAAGUUCUACCCAAAGGAUCAACUGCUCAGGUAUGGUCCAAUUAAAUGCUCAUCGAUGCAAAGAUUUUUCAUCUAUUUAUCACUAAGUUGGUUAUAGUUAUCAACAAGUUCUGACAACCAAUUCUUCCUUACUUUUUCGACAGUCAAAGUACGACCAUUGACUGCUUCUCUAAUCAGAUAACAACUUUAGGUACGACCGUAGAAAUUUAAUUACCCAAUUGCAUUAAAACUAGAAGAACCCAACCCUAACUAAUAAACACACUAAGAGGGUUUAUUUAAGUUAGAUCUUACGUUUCCCCAACAUAAAGCCAAUUAUGGUGGUUGUCACUAGGUAUCAACUAAACGAACAAUUACGGAUUCAAUUUAGUUAUUGUGACAGUAGGCUAUUAAAUUAAAUCAAAUAUCCGGCCGUUGAUAUUCAAUUAAUAAAAUACCCAUGAACAAUUAAUUCAGGAAACGCACGAAUAGCAACAAAUUGAAAGAAAUAAUGAAGAUUCGAUUAGAUCUCACAGAUAUUAUGGACCGCGCCUUCGCGUCAACCUUUGGGUAGAGGAGAAAAUUAGCCGCUCCUCAUCAUGUCAAACUCGCGUGAUUUGAUUAAUAUCAUCCACACAAUUGUUCAGAAAUUAAUUGUCGAGAAAUUAGGGAAGGUGAAUUAAUCGAAAUAAUAAUAAAGAGAAACCUGAUUUCGUUUUCGUAUUGGAGCCGCAAUUACAAAGCAAAAGGCUAUUCUAAUUGCUGCCGAAGAGAAAAAGGGAAAAAGCGUCCGACGGUGAAAAGAAACAAAAGCUAGCCUAAUUGAUUGCUACCUAAAAGAGAAGCAAACGUCUGACAGAUCUGGGAAAAGAAAACUAAAGCUGAUGGCCCUAUUAGACGUGAAUCUGGCCUUUUUAUAUCUUCAGUAGCCGCCGCAGGAGAAGUCCACCCAAAAGUCCUCUUCAAAGCUUUUCUCUUUUGGGGUUUAAUCCUAUGUGUCUGGUCCACGUGGACCACUUUUGGUUUCCUGAUAUUUCACUUGUUUUGCCAAUCCCGCGGGUCCGGCUUUUAGGUGUAACUCUUCAGUUUCUGGCGUGGGCACGCCAUGAAAUAGAGAAUCUUCUGAAAAUUUGCCUCGUGAAAGAAUUUUUUACACCAAUCACCUACAAUUUAUACAAUUAUGAAAUAUGAACAACAUCUCAAUACUUAGCACGGUAGGUAGCCAAAAUUAGGACAAAAUAACAGUGUAAAAUGUGCCAAAUAAUUGCUCUAUCAAAUCCCCCCACACCUAGACAAUGCUUGUCCUCAAGCAUUUUGAAACUCAGAGAUACAACCAAGAAAGCAAAGGUUAUAUAGAAAUUUACACUAGCACCAGCAUUUCAGAUCCCUGACAAUGUUGCCAAAAUUGGAACACACCAGACGGGUGGUUAUCCAAAGAAUAUGAACAGUAAUACACGUCACCUUCAAGAAAAUGUAUAAACACAAGGAACGCUCAAAUCAACAUCACGGAAUGACAUUACCAUAGGCUUGCACAUUUAUCACAUCUCCACCACUCAAGAGUGAAUUAAAUACACAAAUUAAAGGGAUUUUAAUAGGUUGUAACGGGGCUUAGGUGAAAGGCGAGAUAAGAAUGUAAAAAUAGGGUGUAAUGUGUCAAGAGAAUAUCCAAUAUUCACUACAUAACCACAACGCUUUACCGGAAAAUUUCACAACAAAGCAUUUUUCAUUUGCUAUUUCUGCUGUACACGUGUCUAAACUUGUCCCCUUCUUCUUCUUUUCUCUUUUUGUCUUUUUUUCCUGAAAGGGGCGUCUUGCAAGGCGUGGGCACGCCCUGGAAGACAGAGUCUUCUGCUCACCAGCUUUUUUGCCGAUUUCUCCCCAUUUUUUUUCUUCUCUUUCUUUCUUUUUUUCUCUUUUCUUUUUUUUUCUUUUCUUUCGAUCUUAGAUGUACAUAAACAGCACCAUACAGCAUCUACUCUAACAACACUUGCAACUACAGAUUUAUUUGCCUUGCGUAAGUAAUGAAUUUUAGAUAUCUCUUAAUAACAUAAGAUUGAACAAGAAAGUCUAAAAAGGUCAUGGGUUAUCAAACACGGCUAACAAACAAAAGCGAAAGAUAAAAACUCAAAUUGGUUCACUAUUGGGAGACAAGAUGAAUGCAUGAUUUUUAGAAAGUGAAAGGAAGUUAAAUCCUAAAUGCCCUUAUCAUUUCAAAUACAUCCAAUUCAACAAAAUAUGGUCUCGACAUGUAUAAAAUAGCAAAUUCUAGAAUGGUAAUACCAUAUGUGAUACCCACUCAAUCAAACAAAAAUAGAGCAAACAAGAAUAAUGUGCUCAUGCAUGACUCAAAAACUCCCAAAAGUUACAAGAAUGGAUCAAGUCUAACAUGUUCAAUAUUCAACGACAUUGCCAAGGGAAGCAAAAUGCACAACUAGCAUAUAUGACCACAUACCUGUGCACCAUGAUUGUGCAAUCCAUCAUAGCAAUAUGCUCUAGCAACUAACAAACGUAGAAAUAAACAGAAAGUCGACUAACUACAUUUUUUUCAUUUUCCUCUUCUUUUUUUUAUUUUUUGUUUUGUUUUUUUUUUUAACAAAGCAAAAAGAAAUAAUGGAAGCCACAUCCCCCCCCCACACUUAAAACCUACAUUGUCCUCAAUGUAGUAAAGACAAAUAAAGCGUAAGGAUGAAAGGGGUGAAACUUUCCUGACUACCGAGAGGAUGUAGUGAGACACUAAAACGGAUGAGGGUGGAGUGGUUGAAAUCGAAUAUGAGCAAAGAAAACUGUCUGAUGAGAGAAAUAGCGACGGUGGAGCGGGCAUCGGCGUGCGAUGGGUGGCACGAGGAGGAGAGAGAGAGAAAGUUUCUAGUGACGGUGGACAAGAGGGAAACCUUGGGAAAUUCAGACAAAACAAAGGAAAUUGAAAAGUAGAAGCUGAGACAAUGGAAAUUGAUAAGACCAUACAAGAUAAGAAAAGAGAAAAGUAGAAAGUGGGAUUAGAGAGGGUUCUGGUCAAUCUUUGACUUUUGUUGGCACAAAGGCUGGAAGGCGUGGGUACGACUUGGAAGCUAUAGUCUUCUGACCGUCAAUUCCAAAUCUUUAUUCCUUAGGCGUGACCAACUAAAGUGGGCAUGUCUAACUGCUAGCUUCCUGCCACAAAAUAACAACUCACUAAAUGACACUAAUACUCAACAAAAAUUUCAAAAAUAUAAGAAAACUAAAACAAAAGAAACCUUGGGUUGCCUCCCAAGCAGCGCCUUUUUUUAAUGUCUUUGGCUAGACAUCGUCAUGUUUAUUCACAAAGGAUAAAAUCAUGUAAUUCGUUUCAAUGCUUCAUCUUCUAUGUAUCAUUGAUAUCCCUCGUAAAUAGAGUAAUCCUUGAGCACACGAGGUAUGGUCUUCCAUGGAUUAGAAGAUGCCCCUAAACAAGUCGAUAAGAAUCUUAAUUCUUCACUUACUCCUCCGUUACGAACACUUAAUGGUUCGAGAUAUUUUUCCAUUGCAACUCUUAACUUAUUCCUGUCAUGAAACUCAAAAUCGUCUGGCACAAUAAAAUCUAUUUCACUAACAGGAUUUAAAGAAUAAGAGUUAGGAAAAUAUUGACUAAGGAAUGGAGGAGAUAUCACCGCAUUUGGGGGUUGUUCACCGAAUUCAUUCACUUGAACAAUUUGAUAUUGAGAUCCUAUUUCUUCCACUUCAAUUCUCUUCUCAACUGCAUCUUUAGUUUCUUUUUCUUGAGACUCUUGCAGCUCCAUGUCAUUUGUCGGGAUAAUUACACUCUCAUCGUCAUCAUGAUUGAUAAUCGUUUGUGCGAGUAAUUCUUUACUCAUUCGAGAAGUCAAUUGCGUUAUUCUAAAUGUCAAUUGAUUCACUUGAUCUGCUAGGUUACGCAUGCUCGCUUGUGUCUCCUGAUAAAAAUCCAUUGUCUCCUGUUGAAGUUGACGUGUCUCCUGUUGAAUUUGAUAUGUGUUAGUAACUAUUAAUACAACUAUUUCUUUAAGAGACAUACCUGACAUGGAUGAUGGCUCUUGAGACUCUAGCUGUUGAAUAUCUAUUGGCCUUUGUUCAUAAUUAAAAUUGAAAUCAUCCCACCAUCCUUGGUCAUACCCAUUUGAAUAAGAGUCAUACCAUGUUGGAUAUUGAGAUGAAAAAUCUCCAAAAGUAUCGAUUGGAGCACAUAGGCUAUCUUGAAAUGCGGGACAUAUGUCAGUUGAAUGAUCUAAGGCAAAAUAAGUUUCACAAUUCGCAAUAGCCCAUUGGUCAUUAGCAAGAACAUGAGUCUCAUAACUCCUUCUGAAAAUAAAAUUCAAUUUAUCACCAAAAUACGGACUAUUAACAGCCAUAAACUAUAUAUAAAAAAAUAAGAGAAAAAAUUUUAAAAAGAAACCAAGAUGAAUUAAAAAAGAAACAAAUUAAUCAAGCACCAGUCCCCGGCAACGGCGCCAAAAAUUGACAGGUGUCGAGCCUGUACAAUAAUAAAUACCUACUCGAGAAAAAUGUAAAUUUUACAUAUAGCGGUGAGUAGGGUCGAAUCCAUAGGAAUUAGGGAUAACUUAUUUUUUUUAGAGUUCGAAAUAUGGGGGGUUUUCAAUGGGAGGCAAAUAAAAAUGAAAUAAAACAAACAAAAUUCAAAACUAACUCACAAAGCACAAUUUACUAAAAAUAGCAAUUAAUAAAAGUUCUACCCAAAGGAUCAACUGCUCAGGUACGGUCCAAUAAAAUGCUCAUCUAUGCAAAAAUAUUUCAUCCAUUUAUCACUAGAUUUGUUAUAGUUAUCAACAAACUCUGACAACCAGUUCUUCCUUACUUUUUCGACAGUCAAAGUACGACCAUUGACUGCUUCUCUAACCAGAUAACAACUCUAGGUACGACCGUAGGAAUUUAAUUAUCCAAUUGCAUUAAAACUAGAAGAAUCCAACCCUAACUAAUAAAUACGCUAAGAGGGUUUAUUUAAAUUAGAUCUUACGUUUUCCCAACAUAAAGUCAAUUAUGGUGGUUGUCAAUAGGUAUCAACUAAACGAACAAUUACGGAUUCAAUUUAGUUAAUGUGACAGUAGGCUAUUAAAUUAAAUCAAAUACCCGGCCGUUGAUAUUCAAUUAAUAAAAUACUCAUGCACAAUUAAUUCAGGAAACGCACAAAUAGCAACAAAUUGAAAGAAAUAAUGAAGAUUCGAUUAGAUCUCACAGAUAUUAUGGACCGCGCCUUCGCGUCAACCUUUGGGUAGAGGAGAAAAUUAGCCGCUCCUCAUCAUGUCAAACUCGCGUGAUUUGAUUAAUAUCAUCCACACAAUUGCCCAAAAAUUAAUUGUCGAGGAAUUGGGGAAGGUGAAUUAAUUGAAGUAACAAUAAAGAGAAACCUGAUUUCGUCUUCGUAUUGGAGCCGCAAUUACAAAGCAAAAGGCUAUUCUAAUUGCUGCCGAAGAGAAAAAGGGAAAAAGCGUCCGACGGAAAAGAAACAAAAGCUAGCCUAAUUGAUUGCUACCUAAAAGAGAAGCAAACGUCUGACAGAUUUGGGAAAAGAAAACUAAAGCUGAUGGCCCUAUUAGACGUGAAUCUGGCCUUUUUAUAUCUUCAGUAGCCGCCGCAGGAGAAGUCCACCCAAAAGUCCUCUUCAAAGCUUUUCUCUUUUGGGGUUUUAAUCCCAUGUGUCUGGUCCACGUGGACCACUUUUGGUUUCCUGAUAUUUCACUUGUUUUGCCAAUCCCGCGGGUCCGGCUCUUAGGUGUAACUCUUCAGUUUCUGGCGUGGGCACGCCAUGAAAUAGAGAGUCUUCUGAAAAUUUGCCUCGUGAAAGAACUUUUUACACCAAUCACCUACAAUUCAUACAAAUAUGAAACAUGAGCAACAUCUCAAUACUUAGCACGGUAAGUAGCCAAAAUUAGGAUAAAAUAACAGUGUAAAAUGUGCCAAAUAAUUACUCUAUCAAUAACUAUAUUAGACAAAUGGUAAAGGUAUAACAAAAAAAGUAUCAGAUUUAUUGGCCAAACAAUAGCCACUCCAAUUGCAUCUCUAAUUUUUCGAAAAUUAUGGUAUGGCCUCAUCAACUCCUCAUUACUCUCCACAGGCACAUUCACAUGAACUUCAUACCAACGUGACUCCAAAGGUGUGUCACCAACUUUAGCCGUAGGAUCCAAAUUUCUAACCUCUCCAACAGCCAAAAUUUUGUUUGGAUCAAUCAUGCUCCUUAUUGUAACUUCAUCCCCAACCUUGAAAAUAUCAAUUUUAUAAAGUUUGUGAAAAUCAUAUACAAGAGAGCAACUCCUAAACAGAAAUUCAUUACAUAAUACUACAAACCAACCCAAAUUUCAGUGGUUUACACUCAUCAAUUAGGUACUCUUUUGCAAUCGAACCAUCAGUCCAACUUCUAUUUUGAACAUAAUUCUUCAAGGUGCAUAAGUACCUGAGAUAAUUACAAAAUAAUAUGUUAUAAUAAGACUAAUCACAUUAAGAAAAAAAAGAUGAAAAUUUAAAUUUAUAAUAAUUACCUUUUAAUUGGAUACAUCCAACGAUAGUAUGCUGGACCAAUUAUCCUUGCCUCAGUUGCUAAAUGAAUGGUCAAACGAACCAUUACAACAAAUAAAGAUGGUAGAAACGCACGCUCCAACUGGCAUAGCACAAUAGUAAUUUUACUUUCCAUUUGAACAAGUUCCCUAGGACAAAAUGUUUUAGAACACAAAUCUCUAAAGUAGUUGGACAACUUUAUCAAGGGAGACCGCACCGAUUUUGGAAGAAGUUUUCUGUAGCAUUAUGGUAACAGUUGUUGCAUUAAAAUGUGAUUGUCAUGGCUCUUAAGGCUGGAUAGUUUAGGAGGUUUCAAGUGCACAGACUUUGAAAUUGUGGUUGAAUAACCAUUAGGAACUUUAACUUUUUUCAGAAUUUUGCAGAAUAAUUCUUUCUCUUUCUUAAGUAUGUUACUGCACUUUAUUAGUCUCUUGAUGACUCUCUACCUUCCUAACCAAACCCCAAAAUCCAAUUACAAGGAAGAACGAAUAAACUAAAUUUCAAGAGCCAUCAAAUGAAGAAUGAACAAAGUUGAAAAUAAGAUGUUUAAACUUGACUAAUAAAGUUUCUUAAACUCUAUUUGGUUUCUUAUUACAAUCCGAAUCCGAAUCCAAGAACUUGGUAAUUACCAACCACUCAAGUAUCGUCCAAUGCUGCCUUGUUUAGGAGCACAUAAUUUAAGCAUCUUCAAGUUCAACCAGCAACAUUAAAACUAGUUAAACAACUAUUCAAAUAGGGCAGCUAUAUUUUGAAAGUUUCUUUCUAGCAAAACAGCAAAUACAUAGCAAAUAUUAUUAGACUUCAUGUUUUUUGCUGAAAAAGUAUAACACUAAAUGCUUGAAAUCAGUCAAACUCAUGAAAAAUAGAAUAACCCACUUAAUAUCAGGGUAUUAGCCUUACAAACUUAAAUUUCUAACCUAAUUUUGAAAGGAAAACUCAACAGAAAAUUGAAUCAAGAAAUGGAAAAAUUAGGCACAAAAAGCAAAUAAGUUUCAAAAAACCAAAUGCAGACUAACCAUUUGUCUGCCACCACAAUCUUACCUUCCUCUACCUUCAAAUGUCUUAAUUAUCACUAGGUUCAAAUGCCCUAAUUCCUUUUCGCAAUCAAACCACGGAUCCAAGAGUUACUUAGAGAGAUGAAAAACGGUGCGAUAAGACAAGGUGCAAGAGCAUGAGAAUGGAUGUUAUGUAUGAUGAUGCAUGAUUGGUUCUCUGGCUCAAUUGGGAUGAUUGAUUCUUUCCGGAGAGGAAAAAUUGGGGGAGGAAAGAGUAGAGCUUGAGGUUGGGUAGGUUUUGGAGAGGGGCUUACAAAUUUUCCUGAAAAGAAAGGCACCUUAGUGGAGCGCCAUUUUGUUUCAGCAUUUUUUGUUUUUUUUUUUCAAUCUGUUUCUAAUAUUACAAUGUCGUUAUGGUGUCUUCUCUUCCUUUUUAAUGACCAUUCCUAUUGCAUGUCAUAUUAAGAUUGUAUUAUGACAUUUUGCUAAAAGUGUCAUAAUAGGUGUGUCACUAAAGACUAUUUUUGUAGUUGUGUCCCUCUUAUAGAGUGCCCAAUCGACACUCAUUAGCCAAACCAUUCUUAAAAUAACAAGAAUGUAAUUAGGCAUAAAUGUGCAAAAACAGCCACUUGUAAAUGAGAUAUUUAAGAGACUAAGGCCCCAUUUAGGGUUGUGGUACUUUUAGUAAAAAAAAACACUUUUAGGUGCUAAAAGUACUUUUAAGAUAUUUGGUGAACAUUAUCCCAUAAAAUUAAUAAUAGAGUUUUUGGUGUUAAAAGCACAUUUAGCAAAAACUCAAAAUUGGUACUUUUAGAGUAGCUUUUGUGAUUUAAAAAAUAAAAUAUUAUAUUUAAUCAUUUUAUGUUAUAUUUUGAACUAAAUAAAGAGAUAAAUAUAUUUAAAAUUUUCAAAUUUAUGCAUUAUCCAAUACAAUAAGUAUUUAUUAAACUAAUUUCUCCAAGCAACAUACUUAAAAGCACUUAAGCACCUAAUAAGUACUUUUAUUAUAACAUCUAUUGGAAAAGUACUUUUCAAUAAGUUACUGCAACCCUAAACGUGCCCUAAAUGUCCCAUAUACAAGUUCCAAGGAUUUUCAAUUAUAUUAAUAAGAUUUUGUGCUACUCCACUCACUCAAUUAAUUUGGAAAUGGAUGCCUAAAUUCUUUAUCAUGAUAUCAAGAGUUGGGUCUUGGAUUUUUUAGUUACCCAUUUGUAAGCCCAAUUUCUUUAUUAGUAAUUAACCUUUUUCCAAAAAAAAAAAAAGUACUAUAUUGAUUUUAUCUUAUAUAAAUAAAGGUACAAAAUGGACUUCAUCGGCACAAAGAUAAAAUAAGGAGAUGGAGAGCCUAUAGGUUGAAUAAAAGCAAAUUAUCCAAGUAACCACUAAACUUUUCGAAUAAUUAAGUUUUGGCCACUUAAUUAUUAAUGGUAUGUUUUUAUCUAUUGAACUAUCAAAAGUGUAAAUUUUGGUCCAUUUCAUCUGAUUUCACUGUUAACUUUAUCAAAUUUAACUAUUAAUAGUAUGUCGUGUGAAUCGUAUGGACCCUAAAUUUAGUAGAGUUAACAGUGGAAUUAGACUGGAUAAUCCAAAAUUUACACAUUUGAUAAUUCAGUGGAUAAAAACAUACUAUUAAUAAUUGAGUGGCCAAAUAUUGACUAUUAAAAAAAAUGCAAUGACUACCACGUAAUUUGCUCGUUGAACAAAUAACUUUAUCAUGCCAUGUUUAAUUAGUUCAAGAUCUCUUGAUAUUAUCACAAUUAGCUUUCAAAUGACUAUUAGACUUAGUUAUAGUUUCAUUUCAUAAUUUGAAAUAGGAAAUUAUUAGAAGUACAAUAAUGAAAUAUACACCAUCAAAAGCACAACCACCCACGUAAGAGUGGACAACUAUCUCACAAUUGGUAGUAACUAUAGUAAAACAUGGAGCACAAUGAACCUUUUUCAGGACACAUGAGGACAUCAACCUUGGACCCUUUAGUUUAUUACUAGAAGUACAGUAGUAUUAUAGCUUUUCUUGUUAAAAGAAAAUGUGAUAUUUAAAAAGCAUAUCGUCCCAAUUAGCCUUCAAUAUCACUUACUUGAAGUGAUUGACUUUCCAAGCGAAAUUUGUCCUAUUAACUUCUAUAUUGUGACAGAGAAAUAGAUCCUACAGUUAUUGUGUGUUUGUGUCCUUUUCUAUGGAUUCGCUUCUGUACAAAUACUCGUCUUCAAAUGCAUCCAAUCAAGUACGAUUCGCUACUUAUUGUACAUGGUGAUCAGUAAUUCCUCAAUAGUCAAUUUUUGUUGCUACAAACGGAAAACUAGGCUUCUUGAUCUUACGAAUGAAUCUUGGAUAACCAAAGUUUUCCUUUCUUUUUUAUUUUUAGGUUUGGAUAAUAGAAAGGAGAUGGUACCAACAAUUGAAAAAUCUUGAAAACAUGAAAUUAAUUGGAAAAGAAACAUUUGGAAAUAAAAUCCCUUGAGCAUAAAUCUAGAAACUGACACCAUAAGUCCUCAAUAACCAAUUUAAUUAUUAGGGAUAUUAGCCAGGUGGUAGGGAGCUCUAUGAUUCAAUUAUCAAACCUUACCCUUUCUCUGGUAAGAUUUAAAGGCUUCCAUUGAAUAAAAACAAAAUAAUAAUAAUAAUAAUAAUCAUAACAAUAAAAGAAAAUCUGGAGAACUUUUCUAUAAUUUGCAACUAGGCCCUUAACAUAUCCAACAACUGCAAUUUGACAUCCAUAAACUAUCCAUCAAAACCGAUAAAAAUGUAGAAAAUCUAUUGAAUCACCUUUCAGCUUCAUAGAAAUGACUGUAUCAUAGCUUGAAUAGAUUUAAGAGAUAUAUAUUUAUACCUCUAAGUUCAUAACGUUCAUAAUUCAACCCCCAAACUCUUGGAUAAAGUCAAGCAAGGGCCAUAAAAUCCAAAAAUCUACUGAAAAGACACCCACAAGAUUAUGCAUUUUUGAGCCUAUUACUUCUCAAAGUUUGUGAGUGUGAUUCCACACUAAAACUUGAAAAAUUGAUACAAAAGUGAGAUUGCAAAUUGUCUAUCUAGACAUGGACCAUGAUAGAAAAGUGUACAAUUUUUUUUGUUUUUUUACAUUAACAAGUGUGGAUCAUGCCACAUCACAUGAAUUCAAAUUUGAAAUUCAAAUAAUACGCAUGUGUCAUGCAUUCAAAGCUAUUAGUAUAAAAAAAAUUCACUGUACUGUCAGUACAUAAAAAAUUAAUCCCUUGUAAUAUACUUAGAUUUAUAAGAAAUGAAAGGAGCGAUUCCCAUUCAUCAAACAUAUAAUCCAUUAAAAAUAUCAAAAUCACAUGAAAUGGAAUACUAAAGAGGACAAACUCAUGAAAAUUCUUCAGAUAGUAGUUUUAGUAACACCAUCUCCAAGCUCAUUCACGAAUGUCCUAAGAUUCAUGUUAGAUGGCCCUCCAUCUUUGGCAGCUUCUCUAGCCAUGCCCUGCCAUUUUUUAGCAUUGAUUCUCAUUUCUUCACCUAUCUGUCCACCAUCCAUGACAAGCUCUAUGCAUCUCUUAAUUUCAUAAGCCUCAAAAACUCCUCCAUCAUUUGCGAUAGCUCUUACACCAAUCUUCCAAACAUCUUGAAUAAACUUUGCAUUUGUAGCUUGAUCAUUCCAAAGUGGAACUGCCACAACGGGUACCCCAACAACCAUACUCUCCAAAGAUGAAUUCCAUCCACAAUGAGUCACAAAACAUCCCACACAAGGGUGUGAUAGAACCCUCAUUUGUGAACACCAUGGAACUAUCAUUCCUUGCUUUUCCAAUUCAUCUUUACAACUUAACUUCUCCUCCAAUCUCUCACCACUAUAUGAUGUUCUAAUCACCCACAAAAAUGUCUUCUGGCUUUCCAACAAACCAUGUGCAAUCUCCUCCAUCUAUUUCAUAGACAAUUCUGAGUAGCUCCCAAAUGCUACAUAAACCAAAGAUCCUUCAUGCUUCGAAUUCAUCCACUUGACAUAAUCUUUCAAUUUAGGCAGCAUAUCGCCUCCAAAAGAAACACCCAAAGGAUAUUUACCAUCCAAAAAUUCUGAAGGGACUAAAGGCCCUAUAGCCAUCAUUUUAAACUUCUUCAUAGCCCUUAAAGCCUCGUACUCUAGACCAUCAAAACUGUUAACAAGAAUUGUAGCAUUUUCUUCCUUUUCAAGCAGCUCUAGAUGGCCCUUCAGCUCUCUUGCAACAAUCCUAUUUACUUCAAGGGAGGGAUCCAGCAAGAAGGAGGGUAAAUCACAAUCACUGAGCAAUGGCAGCCAUGUUAAUUCAAUGAUAUCGCCUCUCAUAAGGUUUUCAAUUUUCUCCCUGUAUCCAUUGAAAUAAUAGAAGUAUAUAUCCAAAAUAGCAACAGGUUGAAUCCAGAAAAAUGUGGCUGAAAUUCCAUAUUCAUAACAAAUUUUAAGUACCCAAGACAUGAAUGGAGUGUAGACCACAUGAGUGAUCGGAUGACACUCAUUGGCUUUGGCCAUGAUAAGUUCCUUAAUGGCAUGAGAACCAUUAGAAAUCAGAGAAGAGAUAAAAUCUCCAAUAUCAUCAUAACCCCAGGCAAAGCCACUGUCAUAGCCAUCAGAGAAAGGAACAAUGCUUAAAUCUUCUGGCAAUGAACCGGUUAGUUUGACCAUGCUUAGAGUUACUGAAAUACUAGUUGAAAGGGUGACUUUCUUGACUCCCAUUUGAGUAGGGAUUUGGCUAAUUGAAGGGCUAGAUUGAUUUGUCCUUGCCCUGCAAAGGUUACCAGGAGAGUAUGGCAAUAGGCCAUGUUUUUGUUGGCCAGCUACAAGUUAUUGUAAUUGAAAUUUUGGGGGAUUCUUGUGAAAGGUUGAUUGUUCUAGUAGUCAGCUAUAUAGAAGCUAGGAUUUGUCUAAACUCGUCUAACAACUGCGGGCCCAAUGGCGGAUGGCCACUUGUUAAAAGGACUCUAGUGGCUAUCCUUAGGUAAAAAAAAAAUGAAUUCAAAUCAGAACAAGUGCUUGAAAUGAGGUACAAAAUGUGAGUAUUUACAUUUGAAUGAAAAUUUGUGUGUAAGUUAUCUUUGACUACUAAUUAGUGCCUAGUUAAUAGUGGUUGGAUCAAGUGGUAAGAAAUUUGAUACCUUUUAAAUAAAGUAAAACUAUCCCCGAAAAAAAUCAAGUGGCAAGAAACUUGAUACCCUUUAAAUAAAAUUAUUCUGAAAAAAAAUUUGACGGUAUUCAACUCCAGAUAAUUAGAUCACAAAACUGGACGACAUAACUCAUUUAUGGUAGGGUAUGAUUAGUAUUAGACCACAAAUGGCAGUAUCAUGUAAAGCAUUUGACUAUUUAAGUUUGUGGUUGAAUUGAAUAGAUCACUCUUUCAUACAUUGAAUCCGAAUUUUUCCUGUGAAGACAACUAGCAACUGAGUGCAGAAAGAAAAGUGAAUCCGACGUAGGAAAUAUUACAGCCAAAUUUUUCCACCGAUGGGAGAAAUUGAUGGUUCGAUGAAUUGAUCUCAAUUUUAAUUGUGUUGAUAAUCUCUGCAUUUAUUAGAUGAAUGACCCUUAUUAUGUCAUGAUCACUACUAAACUUGACUAACACUCAGAAGUGUCUAAAUGAUGGUGCAUUAGUUAUAAAUGCAUGUAUUCAUAUAGUAAAUUUAGUGUAAUUUAGGUGCACUAACGAUUAGUAAGUGUUCUAAGAAAUCCUAAUUCCUUUUACCUAUACAUGAACCAUGAAAGUUAAUUAAUCACCUACGAAAUUUUUGUUAGAUUUUGAAAACUUAAUUUUGUGUGUUUUGAAUUAGUUAAACAAUAAGAAUGUUAGUAAUCUAACUUUAUUACAAAUCUUCAAAUGGAUAAUGAUCUUUUACAUUAAUAAGAUAGCCAAGGGAAAGGAAUCAAAACUAAGCAGUUUUUAGUAUUAAAAUUGUCUAAUAAUUUCAUGUUUAAUUAUGUCAGUAGAUGCAGAGUCAUCGACAUUAGCUGGCAUGCCAAGGAUCACCUAUAAAGUACGUAAAUAGCGAUGAUGCUUCUCCAGAAGUGAGUGCUAGAUCAUGGUUUUGGUACACGGAAGAGGAACUAUGCUAACGAAGUCACACAUGUAGUUCGUUUUUUAUGUUGCUUAGAAUAAACGACUUUCAACGUCCUUUAAGGCUUUAACUUUCACUCAAUAUUCUAUUCAGUCCCUUGAUUUCAAAAAGGGCUAAGUUACUAAUUAAACUUGGACACUUUUUUCUUUUUGGUUAGAUAGUGUGUAUAUUAAGUCGUAAUAGUAUAUGAUGGAGAGAAUAUAAAAACUUACUUUAUAAUCUACAUGAAACACAUCACAAUGAAAUGAAGAAAGCAAAUGCGUUGCAAAAUUUGACUUGAAAUUUUGUCAUGUUCGCAUCAUUUAUUAAUAUUUCAACAGCUCUUUUCUCCUUUCAAACCUUUUUUUUAAGUAGUCUUCAUCUUCAUUGCUUGGCGAGAGGAUUCGAGAUUGUCUUCUUUGCCUCAAACAUGGAUAUUUUGUUUUAAGUGGUCCUUCUCCAUAUUUCUAAUCAAAUUCCUAUAAAAAAAACUAUAAUAUUAUAGAUAAAUAUAGGAGAUAAAUAGACAUCUUCUGUCUUUAAGGCUGAAUCUUAUACAAGUCCUAAUGGAGGGGAAGCGAGGAGAAAUCAAUUAGCCAUAUGAGAGGUAUAUAACUAAAUAUAAAUUAAAGAUCUCGAACUCAAAAAUUCAAAAACUCUCGCUUACACUAAAAAAAAUAAAACAGAAAAAGUUCCAGUCCGCCAACACUAUUUAUAAUAGGCCAAUGGAAAAGCGUGGCUAGGAAAUGUUCUGUUGCUUUUGUGACUCCAUCCACUGUAAAUGUACUUAGGUGCAGAACAUGUUGGCUGCUAGGAAGCUAAAGACACAAAAGUACUUGUGAUGCAUUUUUUGACAAGUCAACUACAUAUGAUGCUGAUGAAACUACUAGUUUGACGGCUGUCGGGAACAAGAUCGAUUAUGGGGCAGUAUACGAAUACUUCCAAGCAGUGUAGACUGAGAAGGGUUUAGGGUAGUAUAUUGAUUCCUAUCAGGAGUCUUGCCUUAGCUACGAAUCUUUGGUCCAUUAUUGCCUACGUCUGCAAACAAAAAAGAUAUAGAUACACCAGUGGGGUAUUCUUAUAAUGCAUUCGUCUUAAUUCAGAUGAAACUUUGAGGAGCUUGAAUGGGCAUUUUUUUAUUUUUUAAGAGAAUUUUCAUAGUUGAGAUCUACAACUAUCCAUGACUGAUAGUAAAUUAUGCAUAUGUGCGAGCAAGAAAUUGAUAGAGCCGAGCUAUCUAAGCUGAAAUUCUUGCCUGCUGAACACAAUGAGAUAGAAAAUAUCCCUUGAAAUAAUUUUGAUGCCUAAGUUGGUGAUCAAAGUAAUAAUAGAGCUGGGGAGUUAUGGGAGUGAGAAGCAGUUAGUUAGUUACCUUCAAGUAUGACUGUAUGAGAACGGACUGGCAUUUAUAGUCCAAGGGAUUAGUUCGAAUUAUGGGAAAUCGAGGAGCAUUUAUUGUUAUAAGAGAAAUCUUAAAUCAGCCCCUAAGUAAGUCCCAUUUGAAUUGUUAUAUUUAGGAAAUUUUGUAAAAAUAUAUAUAUUAUAACAAUUUGAUAUAUAGGAAAUAAAAUAAUAUUUAAAAAAAAUUUUCUAAAAAAAUCAUAAUUCAAAAUCACUGUCACAUUAGGUAGCAGAGCAUUACAUAUUUACAUCAGCCAGCCAUAGUCUGACAAGAGACACAUCUCAGCUAUGCCAAGUUACCAUGGGCAUCAAUUUGUCACAAUUUGUGACGGUUUUCACUGACCAAUUUUGAUGGAGUUUCUACUCACAUCGAAUCCCCUCUCCCUAUCUCCAAGAAUAGACUAGCUUAGGUUAUAGGAAAUUCUAUCGUAUCGACAAAAAAAAAAUUACCAUGGGCAACAGAUGAUAGCCUCGGAAAGUAAUGGUAGGUGAGACUAUGGUUUGGAUCCUACAUUGCAUGUUUACGAAAGUCGUAGAAGAGACAUGCAAAACGUUCAUAGAUACUAUUCUAAUGGUCUUUUUUUCUCUUGCUCCAUAAACAAAGACAAAUAUGUUAAACAUGCUUUGGAGCAUGUUUGGACAUGACGGAGGAAAAUUAAAAUUAAGCAAAGCAACAUUAUUAUGCUCUUUGGAGCCACCUCUCAUCGUUUGAUGCACUUGUGAAAAGACGUAGUUAGACAACUAUCUACUUGAAAGAGAAAAUAGUGCAACGAAAAGCUAAAAACACAAAAAGAAAAUUAAAUGUAGAAGCAUUUCAAUUUGGAUAGCACUGUGCACAACUUGUUUUACAAGAUUCAUACCAAUCAUUUCGAGUCAAACGUACACCCAAAAGAGGGAUUGAAAAGCUUUGUAAUUUUGUUUUUACCACAAAGUAACUGAGAUUUCAUUAUAGCAAACUUAAGAAUCUUUAUACAGUAAUUUUUUUUUACGGCAACGAUAAUAUUUCUAUAAUCUAAUCUACUCCUGAUUUAGAGGGAGGGGAGUCUAAAGAGACUAUAUAUAAAUGACUAGUAUGUAGUAAUGCUUGUACAAAAUUUGGAAGCUCCAACUCCCACUCUAUACUAGGGGUGAGCAACUAUGGUAAUUACCGAAUUACCGACCGAAAUCGAUUUGAAUUUGGUAAUUUGCAGUCGGAAAUUUAGGAAUUUGAUCCGUAAAUCGAUUAUCCUGAAUUAGUAAGAAUCGAAUUUGGGUCGAAAAUGGUUGUGGGGUUUCUGAAUUCGGAUUUACCGAAUUUGAAUUUAUUUUAAUAAAACGGUAAAUUAUACCGUUUUCAAAUUCAAAAUUCUGAAUAAAGUUUAAUAUGAAAUAAAUAUGUUCCAUACCUUAAAUUGAAGCAUUCGUUCUAUUUCUGCUUUCUCGUUCCUUUGCACUGCCACUACUUAGUCUAAGCCUAAGCCUCCUCAACUGAAGACACUACUUUCUCAUUCUAUUUUUGCUUUUUGUUUCUGGUUCCUCAACUGAAGACAGAAACCCUAAACCUCCUCCAGCCGGCAGCCACCACUUAGUCCAACUUCCUCACAAGUCACACCUCACUUAGUCUGGCCUAUCUAUCUUUCUCUAUUUCUGGUUCUCUUCAUACUCACUAGCUCACUCACCACACCUGUCUCUCUCUACACCACUGAUUACCAUUGCUGACAGAGCCUCCACCAUUACCAGGACCACGAUUCACUAAUGCUGAAGGUAAGUUUAGUGCUUUACUUUGUAGAUUAAUAAGUUGCCCUAAUUUCGAAAUUUAAUCGAUUUGAAGCAUGUGUAAUUUUGGGUGUAACUGAAAGAAUUUUAUUGCCAUUGACUCACGUACAAACACAAAAUUUUGUUGUCAUUGAUCCUACAUUGCAUGUUUAUGAAAGUCGUGGAAGAGAUAUGAAAAACGUUCAAAGAUACCGUUCUAAUGGACUUUUUUUCUCUUGCUCCAUAAAGAAAGACAAAUAUGUUAAACAUGCUUUGGAGCAUGUUUGGACAUGACGGAGGAGAAUUAAAGUUAAGCAAAGCAACAUUAUUAUGCUCUUUGGAGCCACCUCUCAUCAUUUGAUGCACUUGUGAAAAGACAUAGUUAGACAACUACCUACUUGAAAGAGAAAAUAGUGCAACGAAAAGCUAAAAACACAAAAAGAAAAUUAAAUGUAGAGGCAUUUCAAUUUGGAUAGCACUGUGCACAACUUGUUUUAUAUGGUUCAUACCUAUCAUUUCCAGUCAAACGUACACCCAAAAGAGGGAUUGAAAAACUUUGUAAUUUUGUUUUUACCACAAAGUAACUGAGAUUUCAUUAUAGCAAAUUUAAGAAUCUUUACACAGUAAUUUUUUUUACGGUAACGAUAAUAUUUCUAUAAUCUAAUCUACUCCUAAUUUAGAGGGAGGGGAGUCUAAAGAGACUAUAUAUAAAGGACUCGUAUGUAGUAAUGCUUGUACAAAAUUUGGAAGCUCCAACUCCCACUCUAUACUAGGGGUGAGCAACUAUGGUAAUUACCGAAUUACCGACAGAAAUCGAUUUGAAUUUGGUAAUUUGUAGUCGGUAAUUCGGGAAUUCGAUCAGUAAAUCGGUAAUCCCGAAUUAGUUAGAAUCGAAUUUGGGUCGAAAAUGGUUGUGAGGUUUCUGAAUUCGGAUUUACUGAAUUCGAAUUUCUUUCGGUAAAAUGGUAAAAUUAUACCGUUUUCAAAUUCAAAAUUCUGAAUAAAGUUUAAUAUGAAAUAAAUAUUUUCCAUACCUUAAAUUGAAGCAUUCGUUCUAUUUCUGCUUUCUCGUUCCUUUGCACUGCCACUACUUAGUCUAAGCCUAAGCCUCCUCAACUGAAGACACUACUUUCUCAUUCUAUUUUGCUCUUUUGUUUCUGGUUUCUCAACUGAAGACAGAAACCCUAAGUCUCCUCCAGCCGGCAGCCACCACAUAGUCCAACUUCCUCACAAGUCACACCUCACUUAGUCUGGCCUCUCUAUCUUUCUCUAUCUCUGGUUCUCUUCAUACUCACUAGCUCACUCACCACGCCUGUCUCUCUCUGCACCAUUGAUUACCAUUGCUGACAGAGCCUCUACCAUCACCAGGACCACGGUUCACUAAUGUUGAAGGUAAGUUUAGUGCUUUACUUUGUAGAUUAAUAAGUUACCCUAAUUUCGAAAUUUAAUCGAUUUGAAGCAUGUGUAAUUUUGGGUGUAACUGAAAGAAUUUUAUUGCCAUUGACUCACGUACAAACACAAAAUUUUGUUGUCAUUGAUCCUACAUUGCAUGUUUAUGAAAGUCGUGGAAGAGAUAUGAAAAACGUUCAAAGAUACCGUUCUAAUGGACUUUUUUUCUCUUGCUCCAUAAAGAAAGACAAAUAUGUUAAACAUGCUUUGGAGCAUGUUUGGACAUGACGGAGGAGAAUUAAAGUUAAGCAAAGCAACAUUAUUAUGCUCUUUGGAGCCACCUCUCAUCAUUUGAUGCACUUGUGAAAAGACAUAGUUAGACAACUACCUACUUGAAAGAGAAAAUAGUGCAACGAAAAGCUAAAAACACAAAAAGAAAAUUAAAUGUAGAGGCAUUUCAAUUUGGAUAGCACUGUGCACAACUUGUUUUAUAUGGUUCAUACCUAUCAUUUCGAGUCAAACGUACACCCAAAAGAGGGAUUGAAAAGCUUUAUAAUUUUGUUUUUACCACAAAGUAACUGAGAUUUCAUUAUAGCAAACUUGAGAAUCUUUACACAGUAAUUUUUUUUUACAGCAACGAUAAUAUUUCUAUAAUCUAAUCUACUCCUAAUUUAGAGGGAGGGGAGUCUAAAGAGACUAUAUAUAAAGGACUCGUAUGUAGUAAUGCUUGUACAAAAUUUGGAAGCUCCAACUCCCACUCUAUACUAGGGGUGAGCAACUAUGGUAAUUACCGAAUUACCGACCGAAAUCGAUUUGAAUUUGGUAAUUUGCAGUCGGUAAUUCGAGAAUUCGACCGGUAAAUCGGUAAUCCCGAAUUUGUAAGAAUCGAAUUUGGGUCGAAAAUGGUUGUGGGGUUUCUGAAUUCGGAUUUACCGAAUUUGAAUUUAUUUCGGUAAAACGGUAAAAUUAUAACGUUUUCAAAUUCAAAAUUCUGAAUAAAGUUUAAUAUGAAAUAAAUAUGUUCCAUACAUUAAAUUGAAGCAUUCGUUCUAUUUCUGCUUUCUCGUUCAUUUGCACUGCCACUACUUAGUCUAAGCCUAAGCCUCCUCAACUGAAGACACUACUUUCUCAUUCUGUUUUUGCUUUUUGUUUCUGGUUUCUCAACUGAAGACAGAAACCCUAAGCCUCCUCCAGCCGGCAGCCACCACUUAGUCCAGCUUCCUCACAAGUCACACCUCACUUAGUCUGGCCUCUCUAUCUUUUUCUAUCUCUAGUUCUCUUCAUACUCACUAACUCACUCACCACACCUGUCUCUCUCUACACCACUGAUUACCAUUGCUGACAGAGCCUCCACCAUCACCAGGACCACGGUUCACUAAUGCUGAAGGUAAGUUUAGUGCUUUACUUUAUAGAUUAAUCAGUUGCCCUAAUUUCGAAAUUUAAUUGAUUUGAAGCAUGUGUAAUUUUGGGUGAAACUGAAAGAAUUUUGAUGCUAUUGACUUACGCACAAACACAAAAUUUUGUUGCCAUUGAUCCUACAUUGCAUGUUUAUGAAAGUCGUGGAAGAGACAUGAAAAACGUUCAUAGAUACCGUUCUAAUGGUUCUUUUUCUCUUGCUCCAUGAAGAAAGACAAAUAUGUUAAACAUGCUUUGAAGCAUGUGUAAUUUUGGGUGAAACUGAAAGAAUUUUGUUGCCAUUGACUCACGCACAAACACAAAAAGUGUUUUUUUUUCUACUGCCGAUUGUCUGUCAGCAUAGUAAUUAGCAUUUCUACUGUCCAGUGAUGACAAUUCUAUAUUGCUUUAGUAUUGCUUUAGAAUGAAAGGAAAUGAUUCUUAAUAUAUUGACACACUGGAUUUUCUAGCGUGUGCAUAUGGACUUAAAUUGAUGGACUUAGUGAAUAUAAGUAGAAAAUAAGGUAAUGAUGGAUCUAGCGUCUUAUUGGCAAGAUGAUAAUUGACACUAAUCAGAUGCCACAUUAUUGUUCUCCAGCGUCAUUAGUACUAAAGAAGUGAUUUUUACUUCUGUGCAAACAAGCAAAAUGAUUUCCAAGUGCCAGGGGAUGAUUGCUGUCAUUAUUGUGUUGUCAAGUUUUUUUUUUCUAUUGUUGGUUGUCUAUCAGCAUAGUAAUUAGUAUUUCUACUGUCCAGUGAUGACAAAUCUAUAUUGAUUUAGUAUUGGUUUAGCAUAGUAUUGCUUUACUUGUUCCAUCCUGAGAUUAAAAGCACAAUUCUAUAUUUUCAUGAGAGCUAACAGAUUCUGCUCUUGACUAAGUUGAUUAGUUCUAUGCUCUUAUUUCAUUGUCUAAUUGAAUUUAUAUUUAUUGAUAAUUGAUUGUUGCACUAAAUUGUAUAAUUUUCUUGCUCAGAUUUACAAAAAAAAAAAACUGAAACUAUGUCUACCGAUGGUGAGAGUAAUCCAAGUCACGAGAAGCUGGAACAAGAAGGAUCAUCUGGAACUCUUCCUCCUAGUCCUACUACACGAAGCUGUGAAGAAUUUGGUUUUGUCAAUAAAAGAGGAGAGUACAAUAAGAGCUUCAAAACUUGGGAUCAUUUUCAUGUAAAGCAUGUGAAUAGAGUUCAUCAUGCAAUCUGCAAGUACUGUAAGAAGGACAUAGUUGCGGAUCCCAAAAGUAAUGGUACGACUCCCCUUAAUACUCAUGUAGCUAAAUGUCCUCUAAAUCCUAAAAAUAAGCAAACUGGUCAAGCUACAUUGUGUUUGGGUGAAACUAAAACCUUAGAGGGAGGGGUUAAAGGGGCACUUAUAAGUUGAAAAUUUGAUGCGGAAGUCAUUAGAAAAAGCAUAGCUUAUAUGGUAAUUGUUGAUGAGUUGCCAUUUAAACAUGUAAAGGGAAGAGGUUUUCAAUAUAUGAUGCAGACUGCCUGUCCAUCAUUUAGAAUUCCUUCGAGAUGGACUAUUUCUAGAGAUUGUUAUUAGCUGUAUUUAGAUGAAAAAUUUAAGUUGAAACAUCUCUUGAAGAAUAACAGUAGCAGAAUUUGUCUAACCACAGAUUCCUGGACAUCCAUUCAAAGGAUAAAUUAUAUGUGUCUCACUGCCCAUUUCAUAGAUAAUGAUUGGAAACUGAAAAAAAAAUCCUAAAUUUCUGUCCUAUUGCUAGUCACAAGGGAAAUGAAAUUGGUAAGGCCAUAGAAAAAUGUAUAUUAGAAUGGGGAGUUGAUGAUAUCCUAAUUGUUACAGUUGACAAUGCAAGUUACAAUGAUUUAGCUAUCCAGUAUUUACGAGGAAAACUUCAAAAUUGGGGAAAAGCUGUGUUAGGGGGGAAAUGGACUCAUGUGCAAUGUGUAACUCAUAUGGUGAAUCUAAUUGUUAAUGAUGGCAUCAAAAAACUUGGGAAUUCAGUUGAUUGUAUCAGGGCAGCAGUUAGAUAUGUUAGACAAUCACCUUCUAUAUUGAGAAAAAUUCAAGGAGUGUGUUGAAAUUGAAAAAAUUGAAUGCAAAAGAUUGCCCAUUUUAGAUGUCUCUACUAGGUGGAAUUCUACAUAUCUAAUGCUAGACACAGCUCAAAGGUUUGAGCAAGCUUUUGGGGGGUUUGAGGAGCAGGAUCCUUAUAUGCUUCAAGAGUUAGAAAAUCUACCAACAAAAUCUGAUUGGACAAAUGUUAGAUUCUUGGUAAUUUUUUUGAAAAACUUUUAUCAGCUAACUGUAAAGGUUUCCGGUUCCAAAUAUUUGAUUUCAAAUAAUUUUUUUCACUGAUAUUAGUCACAUUCAUGGCACUUUAAUUGAAAUGACAGCAAGUGAUAAUGAUGAGUUCAAAGGCAAUAUCAAUGAAGGAGAAAUAUGAUAAGUAUUGGGGAAGGAUCGAAAAGAUGAAUAUGCUGAUUUUUAUUCCUCCAUUCUUGAUCCUCGAACUAAACUUGAAUACCUUAAAUUUGUGGUUUGCCAAAUUUAUAGUGACUCCAAUGGUACAACACUAGCUGACCUUGCAAAAGAUGCAAUGUUUGAGUUGUUUAAUGAAUACAAGAUGCUCAACACACCUGUCUCACAUUCUGCCUCUCAUGCUUCUUCACUUUCAAGCGAUUCUCAAAGGAUGUAAUACUAUAUUUCAUGGAUAUGCCUUUAAAACAAUCACUAAUAGGUACAAGUUGGAGUUUAAGAAGAGAAAAGCGGAACUUGGAAGUAGGGAUGCAAAAUCUGAAUUAAAGAAAUAUUUGAAUGAGGAGUGUGACGAAGAUGAUGAGAGAUUUGAUAUCUUGUUAUGGUGGAUGGCCAAUAGCCUUAGAUUCCCAAUUCUCUCCAAAGUUGCUCGUGAUGUGUUGGCAGUCCCAAUUUCUACCGUGGCCUCUGAAUUUGUUUUUAGUACUGAAGGUCAUGUUCUUGAUACAUUUAGGAGUUCUUUGACUCCUAGAAUUGUACAAGGAUUAACAUGUGCUCAAGAUUGGUUUUGGUCCUCCAAGAUAGAAUUAAACAUAGAAAAAAAUCUGGAAGAGCUUAAAGCCUUCGAAUCUGGUAAGCUAUCAAAAUUUUUAUUGCAGAAUUUAAAGUAUUUCUUUAUUUCUAAUAAUUGCCUUUAUGAUACUUCAUGAAUUUUGUUUGUUCUUGCAAAGUUGCUGAAGUUUGCGUUUUGAGAGUUGAACCAACUCUUCUGGCAAGUUGCAGUUUCUAGACAAUUGGGUUUUAAUUCUGGAGUGUGGAUUGUAGUUUAUGAUUUCUAGACAAGUUAAUUUCGACUUUUAUUUCUAUUGAGUUAUGAUUUCUGGAUUGAUUUAUGAUUGUGGAUUGUUGUUUCAUGAAUUUUAUUUCUAGACAAGUUAAUUUCGACAAAUUUAUACUUUUAUGGAUUGUGGAGUGUGAAUUUUAGUUUCAUUAGUUUGUAGUUUGUAGAUCAGUGAUCCAACUAUUAUGUGUGUUAUAGAUUGCAGAAUAUCAGUACUCAUUACAAGUUCAUGUUUGUUUCAUUGUUUAUGGCUCAGUUAGUGUAAUAGUAUUGCUAUUUGCUGAUAAAAAAUGUUCCAAAGAAUUUCUUUUCUGAAAUUCGGUUAAAUCGAAAAAUGUCCGUUUUUUGAAUUGAAAUCAGAUUGGAUUUGAAUUCGAUAAUUCCUAUUUCGAAUGCGAAUUAGGUCAAAUUUUCCCAGAACCAUUUAUCAAAAAUUACCGAUUUCAAGCUACUGAAUUAUCGACUUCGAAUUCGAUGCUCACCUCUACUCUAUACAAUAAGAUACUAAUUGCACAUUACACCCCUAGCAAAGGACUAUUUGGUAGCUUCCCUAAUAGUCCAGUAAAUUUUCUUAAUUUGGACUUGUUGGAGGAACAAUUUGGCAUCAAAUUUCCUGAGUCAGAACCUCUCCCCAAUACUUUUUCCCCAAAUUUAAGAUUUUAAUAUUUAUCUAUCCAAUUUUUAGGUGGUAUUACAUCACAGUCCACCGUAAAUUUAUUCAGAAAAUUAUGUUGAGUCUCUUGUUGAUUUGCACUAGUAUCUGGCUAACAUCUUAUAUCUACAAUGACAACUCAACAUAAUAUAGAAAUCCUGAGUUAUAAUACAUGCAAGUUUUCCAAAAUCUUUUUCUUUUCUUGCUAUGCUUUUACUUGAAAGACAAACAAAAGAGGAAGAGAGGUAGAUGACGAAAGUAAAAAUCUGAAGUGUACGUUUGCGAGACGUAACGAGUGUAUUAUACUAGGACCUUCAUGCAGAGUCUGUGCUAGUUUGAUUAUUUCAAACCUAAUUUUUCUCUAUAAUUAGUUUGUGCAAACUUGGAACAAACUAGAACAAAUUCGUAGUACCCUAGUUCGAAGGAGUUAGGAUCUAGGCAACUUGAAAUCCUAAACUAGUUCGACUACAUUUUUGCAAGCAUCAUGAAUGUGUUUAAAACUAACCUUGUAAGACAUAUUAUGUAUAGUUUUACAAGCAUAUUUGCAACAAAAAGGUAAUUUUAUAGGAGUAAAUCUUAUAUAUAUAUAUAUAUAUUGACAGUUUAUAUACUAUCAACGUUGGAUUCAUGACAUAUGUGCAAAGGUUGAAUUUCAAAUUCAAACGUUACAUACUUGUUAUUCAUCUAAUACUGACAGUGUAUAGGAAAGAUUAAUCCAUUUUAUACAUAUAGAAAUUUAUUCACAACAAAAGUAUUGAAACUAAAUUAACAAAGAAUAGUUGAGAUCUAACUUGUUUUUGAAUAAUCGAUGCAUAUGUUUUUCAAAAAAAUAAAAAAGAAUAACCGAUGCAUGUAUAUAAAGCCAAUUAAGUACUUGCGAGUCGCUUUUUAUAAGCAAGAUGCUAGUGAAUAGGUUACCCACUAAAAACUAUCUUAUCAAACUACUAAAAUACAACUAAGUAGGGUUGUAAACUAAUAAAAUCCUUAAUGAAUAGUUUGAACUCGAUUUAUUAAAGGUUUGUUUGACUUCAAUUUUUAAUGAACUCGAGUUCGACUUCAAACCGAUAUUUUGAAAAUCUAGCCCGGAUCGCUCAAUCAAACCGUCGACCGGAUAGUUUUUUGGGCUAAGUUUAGGCUGAAACCAAUUAGUCAAAAAACUACUUUAUUUUGAAAGAACUAGCUGCACCGUCCAGUUGAAUCAGUGAACCAACAAAUCGGGACAAUUUUCACUAAAUCGUUUGGAUCUUGAUUUCAAUUAAAGAAGCAAGGCCCACUCUUGAUACACGUUGUGCAGCUCCUAGCUACUUUUCUUAUAUUUUUCAUCUAAUCCUUUUGUUUUGUUUAGAUUACAAAGCCACCCUAAAUUUUGGCAAUAUAUAUUAUUGUGGUAUUUCACCUUCUAAAAAUUAUAGUUUAGUUCUAAAUUAUUUAAAACUUCAAAAUUUUUUCCUAAAUUUUAUAUUUCUAUCUAAAAAAACAUUAUUGCAAUUCUACUAUAUAUAUUGUAGCUUAAUUUUUGUAUAAACUUUUCAAUUUUUAUUCAUAAAUUUGUAAGCUUUUUUAUUUUUAAUAUUAUAAAAUAUCAUGUUUUAUGAGAGUUAGUCCUUUUUUCGUUUGUAAUGAUCUAUAUAAUAAUAAAAAUAACAUAUUAAUCAUUUAUGACAUAUUUAUAACAUCAUGGGUCAAUAACGGGUCGAUUACAGUUGGCCUAACAGUUGAACCAAUAACCCUUGAUCCAAUAAGAUUUUUGGUUCACUAAACAGUCUAGGUUUCAAAACCUUGCUUCAAACAAGAGUUGAUAUUUGAUUAAAAUAUCAAUCAAAUAUGAAUUUGUAUAUAUUUAGUUUGUUAAGGCUGACAAGGUUUGACUAUAUUUUUAUAUUUUUGCUUAAUAUUUUUCAAUAAUUUAUACAUUUAUUAUUUUAUAGUGUAGAUAUUAUAUGUGCAUUAUUGAUAAAAUUAUACUAAAAAUUUGUAAAAUUAAAUAAAUUUUUGAGCUCUCGAAUCAGACUUGAGCCAUUCAAAUGUUAAAUCGAGGCAAACACCUAAGUUCAAAAAGUUAAUCAUUUUAAUUCAAUUCAUUUACAACAACCUACAACCAGUGUUUUUAGAAUCGAAUCAAACCAUCGAUUCAAUCAAUUGGACUGGCCGUGGUACCGGUCCGGUUCUAAGAGAAACCUAGAAAGUUAAAAAAACCAAUUAGAGACGGUCAAAACCGCUAAACCGAAAUGAAUCAGUUAAAAUUGGUCAAGUCUCGUUUUUGAAUUUUGACUUGGACUUUUUUGUGGGUUGCUCAAUUUUUGUAAGCUUUUGGGCUUUGUCAAAGCCAAACAACUAUAGCUAAUAGUCAUCUAGUACAACUAAGUUGAUUAGUUAACUUGAUGGGCCAAUAUUUCUCUCAAUAAAAAAAAAAAAAAAUCUUAGUUACCCAAUUUAAAAACAAAAUGACUAAUCCAACUAAAGUUGUAAACAAAUCGAAUUGAGUCAAAUUUUGAACUUAUAGAGUCUAAAUCAACUUGUUUAUGUGUGGGCUCAAGUUCGAACCUGAGUUCGACAAGUCAAGAAAUUGGAGUUCAAUCUGAACUCGACUAAGGAAAAGGCAGGUUCAAACUCGAGUCAACAAGACUUGCGAGUUGAAGCUCAAUUCGUGAGCAAUUCGAAUUGUCAACUCGUGUUGUGUUCGAUUUUCUAGAUCACAAGCAGGUCAAAGUCAACUCGAAAUUGUAUUUAGGAAAUCGGAAUUAUUGUAAAUUGUAAUUGAUAGAGAGGCAAUUAUGUAAUUUCAUAUGCACUCGAGCUAAUCAAACGGCUCGUCAAGCUAUCGAGCUUGCGAAAAUAUCAAUUUCGAACUUGACUCGCUUAUGAUAACGAUCCACUGAUGUUCGACUGGAGCUCGGUCUAGUUGUAUGCAGCCUUAAAUCCAACUAAAAACUUAAAAAACCUUAAUUCUUCCUCUUCCAAGAAUCUCAUCUCUGAGAGCCAUACUCCAAUCUCACUCAUCUCCCUUUUUUUUUUGGCCCCCUUCUAUUUUUUUCAUUUCUUUUACAUUAUUGGUGGUGAAGAUAAUGAUGAAGUUGAGUUCAAUAGAUAACUAGACACACUUGUUUUCCUUUUCCUCAUCCAUCAUUUCUUUUCAUAUUCAUGAUUUUUUCCAUUAAUUUUACAAAUCUAAUAUACAAAUAUGAUAUUACAAAUCCUAUUAGAUUUGUUAUUGAGUUAAGAAAAUUAAACUCUUCCUUGUUUAAUUUAAGAUAUUGGACAAAUUUGUUCAUAAUUUUGUUGAUUCCUUAAUUUUUUUAUGAAAUACUUUUUCUUUUAUUUGGUGGAUGAAUUAGAAGGUACUAGAUUAGUAAAUCUUCUCUAGAAGAUAUUACAAAAUUUAUGGUUUUUGUGUUGAUUCUACAUAUUUUCUACUUAUUUGUUAUUUCUUAUUUUUUAAAAUUAAAAAAAAUCAAUGAACUAGGAUUAAACCAGUUGAAUCUUGACCUGGACACUUUACCAAUUCACCCACCGGUCCAAGUUUCAAAACAUUGCCUAUUACUCCUACUAGUUGAAAUUGCAUCUCACUCACCAUGUAUUAAAACAAGAAAAAUAAUUAUAAUAGCCCGCCUUUUUUUUUUAAAUUUCUGCAUUACAUCUAAUAAAUCAUAUGCAUCUAUAUAUCAAAAAAAAAUCUUGCAAUCUUCACUUGCAUUUAUUUAAUAACAAAUCAUCAUACCAAUAAGCAUUUUAUUAUCAUUAUAUAUAUAUAUUUAACGGCCACCAAGAAAAUCUCCCGCCAAUAGCUUCAUCCACUACUAAACUUCCCGCCAAAUCCCAUCCCCAUCCCUGGCAUCUUCCCGCCAAACAAAAACCACUAUUCUUUCAGCCCUCUCCUCCCUCAGCUUCGAUCAAUCGUUCUUUCAGCAGCCAUGGAGAAAUCAUUGCAGAUUCGUCCCCGAAAACGGAAGCAAUACUACUCAUUGAAAACGUCUUCAAACCCCUUCAUGGGCAGAUUCACUCGCAGCAAAUCUCAAGUUCAUUUCCACCAAAACCGCUCCGGCCGGACCUGGACCGAUACUACCUCUGAUAAGUCAAUUUAUCACCAGAAAUUGCUGCAAAUUUCUCCUCUCAAGAAACCCAAAAGGGUCCACUACGAGAUAGUAGAAAAUGAAGCUGCAUUGGACUUGUCCAUUAAGGAUCUUCGGGCCCGGGCCCGAAGAGUGUUCUCACCCACUACUGCAGUUGUUGAAGGGGAGAACGGUACUUGUCGGGUGGGAUUUGAUUUUGGGGAAGAGAAUUGUAAUGGGUCCUCUAAAGUGUUGAAGAAUUUUGGAGAUCUUGAGUUGGGGGUAAAGGGUUUGGAUCCAGAUUUGGGCUCCUGGGCAGGCUUUGGUGUGGCUAACCAAAAGGAAGGGAGGAAUGAGAAUAAAGAAAGUGUUAAUCCGGGUUCAAGGGAUCCUGAACCGGGAACGGAAAGUCAUGGGCCUGACAGUAAGGAGGAUGAGGUGGAUUUGAGCAAGAUAACCUCACCUGUCAAGGAGAAAAAUGGGUUCAACAAAGUUUCUAACUCUGGAAUGGUAAUAAAUUUGUUUAGUUUUUCUAUAUUCUGUUUUUGUAUAAUUGUUUUAAUUGAUCUUUGUAAGGAAAAUGGUUUAUAUGAACACUCAAUGGGAGCUUAAAUUUUGCAAUUUUUGUGCCUUGGAAUUAGAUGGACUAAAUGGAAGAGAGAAUGAGAUUAUUUGUUAAUUUUUUACUGCAAUUCUAUUGCUUGGUUACUUAUCUCCAAUAGCCAUAGAUCCUUUAGUAGAUGAUGCCCAAUUACUAUUAGUCUUAAUUUUGGUAUUAUUUUGCUUUCUUUUUGUUGUCCUUUUUUGUGUUUUCUGGGCUAAUGGUAGAAUUUGAUGUGGAAUUUCUUGUAUAGAUACUCAAUUCCUUGUCUCGAAGGAAGGUUUUCAAGUCUCCAAGCUCUUUCAGCUAUAGAAGAUUGCUACCAUUUCUAAUGGACAUGGCGAAGGAUGAUUCUGGUUAAGUUCUUCCCCCUUUGAGCAGUCCUUACUUUUUUCUUUUAUGGACAAGUAGUUGCAAAUGUAUCAGAAGAGAGGUUUCUUUUUCUUGGUCAUGUAGUAGAUGAUAUGGAUCAAAAGUAGAAUUAGUGGAAAAAAAAAAGAAUUGAUAGACAUCAUUGUUAACAUUCUCUGUAUUUUGUUUAUAGGUACUUCAAGAAUUGAAAUUGUUGACAAAGAUUUUUCUUGCCAAGUUCAAAACCUGAGUAAUGUAGAUUAUACUGUGUCAUCAGCUCUGAUGGAUACUGAGAAUGCUAAAACCAAGGAUGUUGGUCAACAUAUUGAUGAUAAUAAAUUGUUGGAGAAAAGAGAUAUUGAGAAUGUCAAAAACAACCUUCAUGUAAGGGAGCAGGAUCCGAAUGAUCCCAACAAGAAGUUGCUUCAAACUGAAGAAAAUGUCAGCUCAUUUGUAGAGGGGAUUGCUAAUGAAAAUGGUUUAGCUAGAGGUGAUAAAUCGAUCGAAGAUUGUGUACAGACAACACCGCCUGAUGCCACCAUUUUGAGCGAGAUUCAUGAUCAUGAUGAUAGGGCAAAUGGAGAAAUUAACAAUUUGAAGACUGGGAAUCACAUCCUUGGGCAUCCAGCAAAUGGAAGUAUGUACAGCAAUCAAACAUUCUUGCAUGAGAAUUUGCAUAGGAGUCCUAGAAGAAAUAACACCAUGUCAAUGACUAAAAUGGUAAGCAGUUUCUCCAUUCUUGGUUCAUAUGCUUAAUGUAAUUGAAAGUCGAAGAUCAAUAUUUUAGCACCUUGCAAUGUUCCAGAAAUAUGAUCUGAGAUUCUCGAAGUGGUUGAAUUUGCUAAUUAAGAUGUCUUGACACUGCACAGAUUCUUAAUCCAUGUUCUCGGUCGAAAAUAUUCAAAACUUCAAGCUCCUUCAGCUACAGAAGAUUAUUGCCCUUUCUGAUGGAUGUUGCCAACAGUAAAUCAAUGAUAUCUCUUAUCUUUUCUCUUUUUCGGAGCAACUAAAUCUCAAAUCAGCAUGCAGAGGCUUUCACAAACUAAUCUUUAUUAUACCAAUUUCUUCUUGUAGGUUCUACCAACAUUGAUCAAUCUCCUAAUAUACGGAAGAUGGAGAAUGAUCAGCAUUCACCACUAUUGGCUUCUUCAAAUAAGGAUGCCUUCUUGAAUAAGAAUGAAGUUGACAUAUUCCAGGAGAAAGAAGCUAAAAAUGAUGAACCAUGUUGUCCAAUUGCUGUCAAGGUCCAUUCCAUUGAUGGUUCAUCUGAUGACGUCUGCCCAGAUUUGUCAACUCCCUUCUCCUGUUCCUGCAGUUCUAAUGGGAAGUCUAACCCUGCAUCUUCUGAGAAUAUCUCUCAAUGUGAUAUGCUGAAUUGUUUGCAGGUGGAAAGUUCUUCAACUUGUACACAUGGUCAAUUGAAUAAUCCCAGAGAUUUGGAAGUAGUACUCCCUACAGCUGAUUUCAGAGUUUGUGAUGGUGAAACUAACUGUUUAACAGAGACAUCAUGCUCCGCCAUUAAGGAUGACUCUUUGCCUAAAGGAUCCCUACUGGAGUUCUCGCAGCAUGAACAAGUUGAUAUUGGAAAAAACAGCCUGGUUAAGGGCCUGGAUAAUAACAACAGUAAAGGUGCCAAUAUCAGAUCUCUCUCUUUGGACCAAUACUCAUCAGGAGUUGGAGUUUUUUCCUUUCAAGGAACUGAUAGUUCUAUAAAAGGAAUAUUAAAGAGAAAUCCAAGAGGAUGCAGAGGGCUGUGCAAUUGUCUGAACUGUGCUGCCUUUCGCCUGCAUGCCAAAAGAGCUUUUGAAUUCUCAAGAAAUCAAAUGCUUGAUGCUGAAGAAGUAGCUCUGGGUUUGAUUGACGAAUUAGCUGAGCUUCGAAAUUUGUUGGAAACAUCUGCAGUUGAUGGCAGCAAACUUGGUGCCUUCCCCUUCAAUAAGGUAUAACCGCACAUAUUAAUAAUAUACCUCUCAUGCAAGUUUUGCCCUUCUUGUUUAGUCUUUGUGCUAGUCAGAGUCGAUCUCCUAACUGUUUGCAUCAUCUUUGGUGCAUUCUUUUGGAUCUCUGGCUUUCUGUACUGAAAGAGUUGCCCGACUCAAUCUUGUUCUCUUUCGCAUUCUCAUUCGAGUGAAAUGCAUAACACUGUGUCCAGCUGAAAUCCAAUGCUCUUUCAUUUCAAAGUCCUUUGUCUUAUCUUUCAUGACGGGUGAGGAACAUGCAGAUUGCUCAGAACCUUGUCUAUAUGCUGUCUUGGUGUUUAGAUUGAAAGCAAUUCUGUACUCAUAGCUUUAACUUAAUCUGAGAAAAUUUGGGGCUGAAGUGUAGUGAUUCUUUUCAUAAUUUCUCAACACACUAGUUUUUAAAUAAUCUGCAAGUCUGCAGCUAGAUUUCUCACUAGAUUAUUUUAACUUUUUAUCUUUGCCAGUUUGAUGCCCUACUAGUUGAAUUUGCCCAAGGAACUCACUUUGAAUUACUGAUACACAAACCUAGUAGACCUGACAAGGUUGUCAUCAGGACCAUUUUGCAUAAAGGAGCAUAUUGAUGCAUCUUCUACUGCAUCGUCCUGCUUUUUUAGUUAUUAGGGUGCAUGGUUGCUGAACUCUAUCCAACAAGGGCAUCUUUUCCCAUCUUCUAAAAUUAAACCUAGUUCUAUGCUCAGAUGCUUGUCUUUUGCUCGUAACUCUUUUUCAUCUUCAUGUAAAAUUCAGUGAUUGUCCCAUGCAGUAAGCACCCUUAGAAGACAAUGUUUGCUCAGGUGGAUCCGUGAAUAUUUAUUUCAGAUGCUCCUCAAUCUAACAGUGGGGAGUCCUGUGUUAAAAUAUGCUCUAAAAAAUAUGUCCUGAUCAUACUUAAUCAUAUGAGAUCCAUAAAGAAAGUUGAGACUUCAUGCUAUACGGAUCAUGUAAACUUACCUGGUAUUCACUGUUGGAACAUACAUCUAAUAUUUCCUGACAUAGGGUUUAUAUAGCUAAAAACAUGAAUUCUUGUACUUCUCAAGUUACAAUCUGGUGGAUUUACUUGACUUCCAGUGAAGAUGUUUAACACUGGAUCUGUACUUUAAACAUGCAUUCAGUAUGAUCUUCUCUUUGUUGGGUUCACCACCAGUGUGACUACUUACCAGCCAUCUGACACUAAAUCUGAAACAUAAAUCAUGCAUGUUGCUUUUAUGCUUUAAAUUAGUAUCAAUACUUGAGCUACUUUGACUUUUCAAGAAAAUCGGGAAAAGAGUUUCAAUCAGUAUCAGUCUAUGUUUUAUGCAUUGAUGAGCUCCAAUGCUGAUAUGGUUGUGUAAGCCUAACUAUUAUGUUAUGCACUGUCUUGACUCUUUUCUCUCUAAUAUGACAAAAUGAACUUGUCCCCAUUUUAUAUUGGGAAAAGCUGUAGAUGUCCAAGCAUCUGAUCGUUUUUAUAAUUCAUGGUUUCAGCUUCUGGUGAGAGAAGCGUGUCAAAAAGCAUUGAAAACAGAGCAACAGGCCAAACAACGCCUUGGCCAAAUGAUUGAUGAUCUGAAUGUGCAUUGCAGAAUCACAGUAAGUGGCAAUUACUGUUUGCUAAUGCUUCUUUAUUUACUCAACUUGUAUAAUCAUUUAUUACUGAAUACUUUCUUACGUGCUGUGAUGUCCCAGCCCCUGCAGCCCCCGGGGGUGACAUUUUCCAGAUGUAUUGAAGAAAAGUCUAUUCCAAGCAGGGACCUUUCAGCAAGACCCUAAUCACCCAAAUGGAGAGCAAAAAGAGAGUGAUUUUAGAAGCUCAAAAGUUCAUAUACAUGCUAGCUGCCUGCAGAAUGCUGAAGCAAGAUAGAGUGGUGCAUCUUCUGGCAGACUGUUAGUAUCUUAGCACUCAGUGGCAGCUUUGGCUGCAGAGACAGGUCUUAUUGUAGUUACACACCUUAACUUGUUUCAGUAAUUAUGCGUUGGACACAGGAUUUUUAGUGUUAAAUGAUGGUAAGGCGAAGUGCAGCAUACUUUUUAUACAUUUGUAUGUACAGGGUAAAUUUUUUUUUUUUUUUUGCCUAUCUAUUUAGGAAAGAUUACACCUGGCUUUCAUUUAAGAAUUUUGACAUUCUUAAGGACAAAAAACUUCAUAAACAUGUCAAGAUUUCUUUCGGCUUCUUUCUGUUAAUUAACAUCUAUGCUUCAGUUCGUGUAAACAUGCAAUUUCUACGGAGAUGCGUUGUAGAUUUGUCUUCUAGUUUCAUUUCUGUGAUUAACAAAUCGCACUUGCCCUGCCUGGCUAACUCUCCCCUGCUUCCUUCCUCAUUUUACUGAUCAGUUAAAUUGAUCAAACAAGCAAAGAAUUGGUCUUUUAGUAAAAUUUGUCAUCAAUGAUUGAACUAAAACCAACCUAACCUGUCCCACUUUUAGUUGCAAAUUAAAUUUAUGCAACUGUUCAUGCAUAGUUCAAUUAAACGAUAUUAAGAAGUUUAAGAGAAAGUGAAUCACAAAGGCCAAAACACAUGGAAGAAAGUUGUCACUUGUUAAAGGAAAUGAAGAGAGAACUCACGAGGGGGUUAGUAGAGAAAUUUCGAAUUUUGUAGAAAAUGAAUAAUCUUUGAAAGGGCAAACACUCAAAAGCUUUUGUUGGAAACAAGAACCAUAUGUGAGACUCAAUAUAAGCGAACUGCGAAAUAAUUAUUUAGUGGAAUACAUAGUUCAUACUGAGGGAGCGAGGCUUCUUUGGCUUUUCGCUACUUGAACAAAAGCGAAAAGAAAAAGCUUCUUUCACUUUUUCCUUCUUGAACCCUUUCCGUUGACUUAGAAUUUCAGAGGAAAACAGUGUGUGAAAGCUAAAGGUUCAUAGUUUAAGCUGUGAAGCAAAGCAUUUUAGGCUGUUUUCCUACUCAAAAGAGGGAUAGAAACUUAUGGAGAUUGCUAUAGAUCCUUGUAGCUUUGACAACACCUUAAGGUUUCUGGAGUCCGUUGAGAUUAACUGGGAUUUGGAAGCUCCAGUCAAGGUUCAAGUCCAUACCCUCAAAUUGAAAGCAAGAUUUCUCAAAGCUUUUUUCACCUGCACAGGAAAGUGGUACAUCAACAACAAUGGCUUGAAAGCCAUCCUAAGGCAAGUUGAAGAUGUGGUCCUCAGUGCAGAUCAAGAACUUCAACCUCUCUCGUUGAAUUUGAUACCAGAUAACUUGGUUUGUUCAAUCUCAAGUGCACUAGAAAAGCUUGAUCCAAUAAAGCCACUCAUUCAAGAAGUUUAUGCUUUGGUUGCGCAGUCAACAAGAUCCAUUAGCUCAACAACUGAUGCUGUUGUGGGACUUAUUGACACUACUUUAGGCUAUCUGAAGGAUCUGCUGAAAUAUAAAGCUCAAUCAAUUGCCAAUCUGAAGAAGGAAACUGAAGCCCUUGAAGAGAAUCUGAGGUAUCUGGGAUAUUUACUAAGAGUAACUAAAAAAUACUUGCCAAGGGAGCAUGAUGACAGGUUAAGGGAUGUUCUGAUUCAUUCUGAAGCUGCAGCUGAUAGCACGGCAUGUCUUAUGUACCUGUGCUUGGACAACAAUAAGAUGGAUGAACGCAUGCUGAAUGAGGUGAAGCUUCAACUUUCUUAUCUACAGCAUAGGAUUGAAGUUAUUCUGCCAGAUGUUAGAAAGGUGUAUCUCAGAGCCUGGAAAGCUUCGAGUUCUCUACAAAAGAGUGAUUUUUCAUUGAAUGAAAUUCUUUAUCUUGAAUCUCUAGGCAAAAUUAAGGAGAUAUUGCAGGUUAGUGUCAGUGUAGAAACUUGUGUGAUGCAGCGGAUCAAUGCUCUCGAGGAUGAGUUUAAAAUUCUAAGGGAUUAUCUUAUGGAUACUUCAGCUCAAGAGUACACUGAUACUCAUCCAAAAUUGAAGCAUCUAUUUCUGCAAAUCAAACAUGUUAUGGGCAGGGCAGCAUGUGUUAUUCCCUCGUUCAUUGACAAUGAUGUUACUGAGGACACUGUUAGACAACUGGACCUUGAUGCUCGUGUUUUGCUUGAAGAGUUCAAGGUUAUCAAGCAAGAAGCUAGAGAUAUCUAUGACAGCAUAUUGCCAAAAUCCCAGAGGACCAAGUUCCCCACAACAAACGAAUUAGGCUUUGUGGAUUUUGUGAUUCAGAAUGCGAAGCAGCUGCUACACUCUAAAGAUGACUUCAUUGCUCUAUUGUGGCAUCAAAUUGAGAUGGUUCAUGAUCACAUAUUGUCUAUGAGGGGAGAUUUUAUUGAAAUUGCUAAGCAUCCAAGAGAACAUCAAGAUCUGAAAGAUCCCUGGACACGUUUCAAAGAUGUUGUGUACCAUAUAGAUUAUGUUGUCGAUUCGUUCCUCAUCAAAGAUCAACCUCUUUGGUAUCAUAAGUUGGGGCUAUUUUAUGCCAUUGAAGAUAUUAAGAUUAUAAGCAGAGAGGUCAGUGAUAUCAAAGACAGAACAAUGAAUCACGUUGCAGCCCUGAAAUUUUCCUCCAAUGUUGCCGGUAUUUCUUCACAAGCUAAUUCAGGAGAGUUUCAAGUAUUGUCACGUUCCAUUUAUGGGGCCGGAAAUGAAGCAAACAAGCCUGGUGAUUUCGUGGAACUUUUUGAGGAUGAAGCAAAAAAGAUAAUGGAGCAACUCACCAAUGGUAUAAUGCCAUUGCAGAUUCUCUCAGUUAUGGGGAUGCCUGGAAUAGGUAAGACAACACUAGUUCAUUCAAUAUUUGAAAAUCCUUCCGUUCUUCUGCACUUUCAUGUCCGUGCAAGGUGUUGUGUAACUCAGGUCUAUCAGAAGAGAAGAUUGUUGCUUGAAGUUCUGCAGCAAGUUAGUAAAGUAAGUUACAAGGUACUUGGAAUGACUGACGACAGGCUGGCUCUGAAAUUAUAUCAAAGUCUAAAAGGCAAACGUUAUCUUAUAUUUGUUGAUGAUUUGUGGGAUAUUUGGCCGUGGAAUGAUAUGAAGGCUUCUUUCCCAGAUGAUAACAAUGGGAGUAGAAUUGUAUUCACAAGUCGAUUUCAUAACAUUACUUCACAAAUCACAACCAAUAGUAUCACCAUUUUUCUGAAUCCAAUAUCAGAUCUUAGUAGUUGGGAGCUCUUGCAAGUCAAGCUAUUUAAACAAGAAAGUUGCCCCCAAGAACUUUUUGGAAUUGGACAGCAAAUUGCAGCAAAUUGCAAAGGCCUACCAAUUGCUGUGGAUUUGAUAGCUGGACUACUUGGGACAAAGGACAGAAAGAAGGAAUCCUGGAAACAAAUUGCAAAUGGUUUGAAUGCUCACCUUCUAGAAGACCAAAAUGGUCAGUGCAUGGGCAUGCUAGAACUCAGUUAUGACAACUUACCAAAUCAUUUGAAGCCAUGCUUUCUUUAUUUUGGAACAUUUUGUGAGGAUAUAGAAGUCCCGACAAGUAAGUUGAUACGGUUAUGGAUUGCAGAAGGAUUUGUUGAACUGCAAAAGGAUGAUAAAGGAAGCUUAGAGGGUGCAGCUCAGAAGUAUUUGAAUGAUCUAAUUGCUAGGAGCUUAGUAAUAAUCUCCAAAAAAGGAUCUCGAGGUGGAGUUAAAGCAAGCCGUGUUCAUGAUCUCUUGCGUGAUUUUGCCUUGGCAAAAGCUAAAGAAGAGUCCUUUUUGCUAACAACCAACGGAUUUGAACAAUUAUCUUCGGUUGGUGAUUCAUUUUAUGAGCCAUAUCGUCUGUCCAUCAAUUCUGGAUCGGACUAUUUUCCCAGAAGUUCUUUGAAUCCAGCACAUUUGGCAGGAAUAACUCAAAUCCAGUUAUAUUUUGGACUCCCUCUCCCUGCCUGUCAUGUGUACCAAAAGCAUGUGGCCAUGGGAGUAAAUCCUUGUCCACGUACCCGCUCUAUGGUAUAUCGUGGGAGUAUAUUACGCAAGGUUUCAUUCAGCUUUGACAAUUUCAAGCUCCUUAGAGUGUUAGAUAUUUGGGCCAUCGAUAUCGACUAUUGUCCUAACAUAUUUGAGUUGGUUAAUCUAAGGUUCUUGUCACUCAACCACUACAGAAGAAAGAGCAUCCCACCAGAAAUUGGCAACCUCCGGAACCUGGAAACUCUUAUGUUGGGGAAAAAUCACAAUAUCGAUGUACCAACGACUGUUUGGAACCUGGUGAAACUGAAGCAUUUGCUGAUAAGGGGCUCUUAUACCUUGCCUCCUUGCAGUCAAGAAUUUCUGGAGAAGCCCUUCAAGUUGCAUAGCUUACAAAGCCUUUCCACGCCGGAUUUAGCAUUUGGAGAAGAUACUGAACAGAUCCUGAGAGGCCUGUGCAAUCUUCGAAAGCUAAGUUGCAGGUUUUUGUAUUCUUGGGAUUACACUUCCAACUGCAUCCAGUUCCCAAAUUUGGACUUCCUCACCCAACUUGAAUCAUUGAAGGUGGCCUACAGGGGAAAGGCACUUCAUAAGGUUCAAUCUUGUAAGUUCAGCUUUCCUGCGAAUGUUAAAAAAUUGACAUUGUCAGGUUUUUGCUUGCCCUGGACUGAAAUUUCAAGCAUUGGGAACCUACCCAAUCUUCAAGUACUCAAAUUGUUGGAUGAUGCAUUCGAGGGGACAACAUGGGACAUGAAUGAAGGAGAAUUUCGUAAUCUCAGUUUCUUGAAAUUAGAGCGGUUGCAAUUAUUACAUUGGAAUGCUUUUGAAGAUCAUCUUCCCAGCCUCAAGACAGUAGUGCUGGUAAAUUGCAAAAAACUUGUGGAGAUUCCCCCUUGUUUAGGAGAUAUACCAACAUUGCAGAGCGUUGAAUUGCGAGGUUGCAGUCACUCUUGUAGGUGCUCACUAGGAGUAAUUAAGGAAAGGCAGAUAGAAAUGGGAAACGAGGAGCUAGCUGUCACCCUUGGGUAGCCAUCAGAAGAUUUUUUUACUAGCUAGAAGUGGUUAAAAAGUUGUAUGUUUUCCUAGUUCCUUGUGUAUUUAUUUCAGCAAAUUUAUUGCUUUUCCAUUAGGAGAAUGUACAUGUUGAUUAGAAAAAAGCUCUGAAAAACAGAACAACAGGAGAAAUAUAAAUGUUUCAAAAUGCUUCUCUAAUCUUUUUUUUUUUUUGGUUAUAUAUCUUGUUUGCAACUGACUUAUUUACAUGUUACAAUCUACCAGCAUUUGCGUGCAGCCAGCCAAGAGCAUUGACCUUCUUCACAGAAAAUGGAAGAAAAAUCUGUUGCUCCAUGCUAGGAGCUUCCAAUAAUACCCUAAGCACUAGAGGGAGAACAAAGUACAAAGUGCUUCCAAAAGCUUAGUUCUGUAAACUUGUAUCUUGUAAGCUGCCUUGUGGUUGCAAAAGCAUCAUAGUUUGAUGCAUCUUGUGGCAAUAUAUGACUUUUAGUCGCAACUUUGGUUUCAGGCAGAGCACCUGUGACCUGUUGAGAAAUGUUGCUGGAAAUUUGACAAAACUCUCAUUUGUGACUAUAAUGGUCAGAUUCUAUUUAUGCCUGCCUGUCUUAAUAAACUAUGCCACUUAUGUCUUGGAGACUAUGAUAGUUGAAAUACAAAACUUUUCUGAGAUUGAAUUCAGUUCUAAUUUUCCAGCUGAUUAACAUUCUGCUUCAGUCAGUAUAAACAUGCAUUUAAUUCAGGAUAGUGGCUGUGAUGCCCCUGUAGUAUUUUGCUUUUCUUUCUAGUUUCAUGUUUCUUUUAUGAACAAGUUUGAGUUGCUAGCAUUUGUGAACACUUCCUUUGAUUCCUUCCUUGAUGAAUGGUGAAAAAAAAAAUUUCACAGUAGGAUUUACACACACACACACACAUAAGCCUAUAAAUUCUCAAUCCUAACAUACCUUAUAAACACUGAUUACUUGUCACUAGAGCUACUCUUUCCUUUUACAGGUUUUUACUGAAUGACUGCGUACAAGAAAGUCAAUAUGAAUUAGCUGUUCAGGAUUAGAAGUUAGGCAAGUAAGGAAACAGAACUAGGAUGGUUGCAAGUGAGAAUUUUCUCUUCUGCUUCAGAAAUAAAAUGGGAUAAUUGCAGAAACCUCUCCUGAGGUUUCUAAUAAUUUCACUUGGCUCCCCUAAGGUUUUAAAAAUUACACCUACCUCCCUCGCCCAUUUAAAAUGACAAUACUAACCUUAGCAUUUUUAAUAAAACUCUCUUGUUACUAUGUCUAUGCAAAGGAUGGAUUUUAUAAUUUUUUUACAUUUUUCAUUCUUAUUCAUUUCUCUUAUAUUUCAUUAGAAGUAUAGAAGAGCUAUCAAUGCUGCUCCGAAUAUCUAUCCAAAUUAAAAAUUAAACUAGUAAUAUAUUUUGAUAACUUUUAAUAUCAUCCAAUUUUUUUGUAACUCUUUUUUUUGGUAUCAAAAUCAAGGAUAAGUCAACAAUGAUUAAAAACAAAUAGCCCAAAAUCACUAUUAAAUUAUGAUAGUUCCAUCAACAAGCUAGUCCAUAAACUUUUAUUAAAAAGAAGUCCAUAAACUUUAAAAGAAACAAAUUAGCACUUUUUUCUCUAUUUUAAAAUAAAUUUAUAUUUCCAAUAAAGCACUAUGAAAAAUACCCUAUUAUAUAAAAAGAUUUAUUGUUAUAAUUGAUUAUCAAAUAACAAAUAUUGGCAUGAAAAAAUUGACACUCUUCUUGUUUAGAAGAACAAAUUGAACUUUGUAAGAUAAGAGCAUUUUAGAGUAUUCAUUAAAUUUUUUACUCUAUUUUAAAGUUUGGUUACCAAAGUAUCAAAUCAAGGGAGGUAAAUGUAAUUUUUAAAACGUUAGUAAGAAACCUCAAGGGAGGUUUCUGAAAUUGUCCCAAAUAAAAUUAGCAGAAGUCCCUUAAUAUAGUGUAUUUGUUUUACACACAUGCCCUGUAUCUGUUAUUGAUCAUAUUUAUUCUUCAGAAGACACCAAUAAAUUGUACUUUUGGAUGGCAUGUUAUUGAGAUUCAGUCAGGAUCACUGAGGGGUUCAAGUCACUGUCAGAUGAUCUAGGAUACAGCAGGCAAUGCAUGUAACUGAAAUUGACCACAAUGAAGCAUAAUUGAAGACGCAUCACUGUUGCCAAAUGGACAAACUACUACUACUAAGACAGAUCCUCCUCUACAAAUGCACACGCCCAAGUGUGUGUGAGCGUCUAUAUAUAUAUAUAUAUAUAUAUAUUUUGGGUGUAAGGCGGCAUGAAUUGAUUGGGUACUAUAUAUCCAGGAGCACAACACCCUGCAAACCAGUGCUGCUGGCUAAUCCAGCUCACAAUAUUCAGUGGGGACUGGACGAUUUGAAUUGCUAGAGCAAUUGCACCAUACAAUUAGUGAUCCAGAUGGGGUUGAUUUGGAAAUUAAUGGAUGAGGUUCACUGUAAUGCACGAGUUUCAGUGAAUGGAAAAAGUUGCUUUUUGUACAUUUUGUUACUUUAGUGUCUAUAUUUGUUGUCUUCGUGUGUACAUCUUUUGUUUUCAUGCAUACAUCUCAAUUGAGACAGACAAUUGUACAGACCACAAACAUUUCUGUAUAAACGAGGUAAAGGACAAGGUUUUCUAGCGAUGGUACUUUCUAUCCAUCAAAAUGGUCCAAGCAUGCAAGAAAUUGUCUAUGGGCUGUCGGUGCAAGGAAAAAUCUCGGAUAUCAAACGUCAUGAGAUUGUGUUUGGAUCUACAGCAAAACUCGAAUUCGAAUUUUAUCCUAUUCAAAUUAACUCAGAAUUCCAAUUCCACCCCAAUUCAAGUCCGAUAGAUAGUUGAGCACGGUCUGGAAUUUUCUCAAUGCAGUGCUGAGUCAUGCAUGGCCCAGUUCUGCAGAACUGAUACAUGUCAUGUUCUGGAUUGUAGUGAUUUGGAGUUCAAAGUAUGAAUGACUAGUUGGAUAAACAAUACCAACAAAGUGGGCUUCAAAUUUCAUUGUAUUUGUAUGGUGAAAGAAGCUAUAAAUUUUCAAAGAAGCAUAGAAAAUUUUAUUUAUUCAACAUGGUACAGCAAAAUGAAGGAAAACAGGAAUAAACAAAUGAAAUUCAUAUCAGGAACAAUUGUUCAAAACCAUCUCCAAAGUUUCUGUUUCAAGACAUGAUCAACUAGUGAAAUCUUCAUAGUCUGCAUUCAGGAGGAAAUCCUUGAGGGAACCGCUUAUAAUCAGUGCAAUAAUUGUAUAUCAUAAAAUUCUUCUGAACCCAUCUCAAUCUUCUUCUGCUAUUGGCAUCAAGUUCCUGGUUCUGCCAUGCCCCAUUGGAGAGCUUACCAACAGUAGCGGUCUGAGCAUUGAAAUUCCUGUAGUACGCAGUAAAGGGUGCCUGUGUCCAGUCAGUUUUCACUAGUCCACCUCUUGUAGCCCAAUCAUCAGCAUUCCAGAGGCUAGAGUAAAUCCUCAUCGGUUGGUUUUUUGGGUAUGGAACGCCAAGAGACUCAGCAUUCUUGAACUGUCUGAUAGGAGUGUUAUCUACCAAGAAUCUGCAGGAGAAAGUUUAGAAUAUUAUUAACUAAAAUUUUGCUUAUCGAAUCAUGGGUUGGGAAACAUAAAUUGAGCCUUUUGCUUACAUAAUGUGGUCACGAGUCCAGGCCAUUGAGUAAGUGUGGAAGUUCUUUGUCGGAUCAAACCAGAGAUAAAAUUGUUGUUCCCUGCCUCCCUUUCCUUGAGCGUAGACGUUAGUAUGGAGGAUGUAAGGCUGACCAGUGACAUUCCCCAGGAAUUCAAAGUCAAUUUCGUCAUGUGUUGGUCCUUGAGAAGAUAACUGCACAAGAACCAAAUGAUUGUUGUGCAUAAGUGGAAAAGAAACAAGGAUUAAUCGCAUAUUAUUGCAUAAUGAACUUCAUGGAUAACUCUGAAGAAAUAUGAGCGUGGCUUCAGAGGCAACUUAAUGCCAAUUUGUUACUGACUUACUGAGAAAACAUGAUUUAUAGCAGAGUACUGUAUACUCUGUGUAACUAUCUAAUGGAACUAUGAUUAAAGAAAGAUGUUAGUUGAAAAUCCCAGUCUUUAAAUCUGUUACAUCAGUGAUGAAAUAAUAGCAAAGAACUGGAGAAGGAUUCAAAUUUUAACUAUCUUGGCCAUUCUGCUGAGGGACUGGCCUAGCAACCCUUAUUGGAGAAUGGAGAAUGAAAAAAGGGUGAUAGAAAAGGCUUUUUAGUAAUAUGUGGUAGCAUUUUUUUUUCCUUUUUUUUGAGUAAAAUUAGAAUAUCAUUUCAAGAAAAACACUGUUUAGCAGAGUGGUUGAAGAAAAUGAUGCAGUACUAACUUAAUAACAGUUAAGUUAAUACGUACGUAGUAUGCAGUAACAGUGCCAGCAGAGUUGCCAGCAACAAGUUUAAGCUGCAUAUCAAUUCUUCCAAACAGAUACUCUCUCUUGGAUCGGAAACCAGAGCCAGAUUCCCUGUCCAAAGACAAGGAAAGCAGCUGCCCUCUAUUGAAAAUCUUUGCUUUAUUACCACCCCAUGUAAGAUCAAAAUCUUGGUAGAAAUUGCCACCAUAUGCAACCAUACAUGAGCUUAACAACACUAGGACUCCAAUAUGUGAAAAAGCCAUUUUGCUAAUGGGAUUUUGUCACAAAUAUGACACUACUACUUUUUGUGACUAAAACCUUUGAACUUGGGAUGUAUAUAUAGGGGUUUAGGAGGGUUCUAUAUAGCUAUUAUUAAAUGGGGUAGCAAAAUGCUUGUGAUCAAUGAGGGAGCUAGAGUUGGGGGCCCUGAAGGAGGGGUGGCCUAGCUAAAGGCUGGUGCCAGCUGAGCAGCAUGAAAGCUGGAAGGUUUUGUUUUGUUUGGGGGAUUGGUGGUGGGUUUAGGAGUUUUGGUGUUUAGUUAAGAAGGCUUGAGAUGGAGCUUCCAAGAAUGAUUCUGUCCUAUGAGAGCUGCAUUGCAUGGGUAUGGCCCUCCUUUAGGUAUUGAUUAUUGGACCAUUCAGUGGAUGCCAACCAGAUUGUGUACUUGCUGACAAGUAUAAUGAGCCAAAAGAGAUUGGUGCAAUGAACAAAAUGUGUUCUUUAUCCACUUCAAUUUUUUCUUUUUUUCUAUUUGCCAAGAUUGAACCAUUUUCAACUGAGAAAUUUUGAAUAAAUGGAACGCUGGAGAUGUUUCACAGUAACUGUAAAUACCAUCAAGAAAAGUUUGGCGAAAAGUUGAAUUCAAUAGUACCAUCAAGAAAUGAAAGUGCUCAAAAUAGGAUGAAAUUGGUAUCCUCCACCAGUAAAUUACUUGCACGCUGAAAGUGGAUUAACACUUAGAUAAUGCCUAACUUGCAACUAUAGUAGGUUCAAUGUCAAUGAAAUCUGUCAAAAAGGACUAUUUGUGAACUGUGCAUGUCCAUGAAUGAAGUACCAAUCCCUCUCAAGUCUCAAACUUAUCCUUAGGAUGUGUUACAUUAUUGGUCUUCUGUCAUUGUUUAGUUCAAAAUUUUUACGUGAUGUACAAGCUUUUAUGGCCAAGGUCACUUCAACAAGGCCAGCCAGCUAAGAGCUAACACUCAAUUUGACUGUUUUCAAUAAAGUUCGCUUUCCCGAAAAGGAGGGUUGGGUAUGAGGCCAUGAUCCAUUCAAAUCUCAAAACCCUAAAACUAUGGGAUGGGAAGUCUUGUUGUUUUGUUUGUAACAGUUUGUACUAUUUCUAGCAAUUUCAUGCUUGCAAAAUUUGUUGCUCGACGAACAAUUAUAGAACGCAUCAUGCAAAAUAGGGAAAUGAAGCGUCCUUUUUUUUAUUGACAAGGGAACUGUAAUUAUUAUUCGAGAGCGUGCACGGGAUAAAUCACGUUCCAUAUAAUAAUCCACCGAUUACACGAAAGGGUAAGGCAUAUUAGGCAAGUCUUGUGCGACAAGCAGAAGAAAAAUAAGGCAUCCUUACCUAAACAGUUAAAUAUUCUAUCUAUCUAAUAGUAUUGUGUUUCUUCCUCCUUUUAGCUUGAUGGUCUUUCUACCUAAAACAGAGACGCUCUCACAAUGAAAUGAUUUUGCUCAUGGGGAUAUUUGAAUUAAGUACUAUAAAAGAUGCUUUCUUAGCGGUGCUAGAAUUUCAUGGUUCAAAAGUGGUAAAGCUGGGAAACCCAGGGCAUUUCCUCCCAAAGAAAGUGAAUAUCCAGCUGGUGAUAAGCCGCGGAACCACAUAAAUAAUUUCACAAGUUGAAUCUACAGGAAUAAAAUGCUCAAGAAAAGGAUGUUGUUUUGAAAUUUACAGCUGCCCGGCCGGUCAUCAUCACGGGUCACUCUCCAGUCAUGAGAAUUCUUGCAUCUUGAGCUCAUGGAUCCUGAUAUUCCCCACUUUGUAAUUUAUUCUCCCUGUGAUUGCAUUGGUUGCGUAGAGAUUACAUUUUUAAUCAAGUUGGCAAGUGGUUUAGAACAUUAGAUGUUUCAAAAGCAAAAUUGUGUGAAUUUUCAAUAGUUUUUAACGGAAUGAUGUUGAGUUCUUGGUGUACUUUUUAAAGCCUAUGAGUAUCACAUACGAUAAGGUCGUGUUUGAUAACGUAAUUCAACAUUUAAUGAAUUCAGAUUUUAAUAUUUUUAAACGCAUUUGAUAAUAAAAAUUUAAACAUAUCUAAAUUAAUUAUAUGACACUGAAUUUUUUGAAUAAAACUUGCUCCCAAAAAUAAGUGGUGGACUAUUCACUUGUCCCUUAAUUUGAUGUGCACUCAAAUAUAUCUGACUUAGUAAUUAACAAUUUAAUAAUUCAAUCGAUUUAGAUUUCAUAUUUCAAUUUUUUAAUUUCAGUUUUAUCAAAUGUUCAACUUAAAAGUGUGUAUCAUCAUCUAAACCUACUAGUAUACCCGAAAAAAAUCUUAUAAAGGAUUCAAUUAUGAUUUCCUUAAUUUCUUUUUGUAGAACACAUUAUAAUUUCAUUAAUGAAAUCUUCACUGAUGGCCAGAAUACCCCAGGCAUAUACAGGUUUUACAUAUUUGAAAAAAUAAUAAAAAUUUUCUUAGUUAGUAUACAAUCACGAUUCCUUAAUUAGUUAGUAAUCAAUUGUCGGUGAUAUCAUUAUUUUAGAAGAAGAAGAGUGAUCUAACUAACAAUUAGAGUGAAAGCAUAAUUUGCUAAUGGAUCUAUUGAAAGAAGACACUUUCACAAAAGUUUCAAUCAAGUUUAACUAAUUUUCACCCUCAAAGAAAAAAAAACGUAAUAAAUUCUGCAGAUUCUGCCUGUCAUUCAAUAUAGCAUACUUUACAGGCUGACAACUUUCAUGACAUUUUUGUUUUACAAACGAAAGUGUUCCAUCCACUAACACACACAAAAAAAAUGUGUAGUUAAAUGAUCCCAUAGUUGGAUACAGUAUCUAACUGAUAAUAAACUAUAGCUUAAUCAAGUACUUUUACUUUUCCAGACAUCAAAAAGCUUAUUAGUACAUUCACUUAUCAUCCACAAACAAUUAAAUGGAGUUUUCCAAAUAAAAAAGAUGUCAAAUUUGAUUAUAUGCAGAGGGAUUUGUGAUAAAAAUAUGGUGAAAGAAGCAUAUAACCAACUCAAGGCUUAUCUUAUGUGUAAAUGGUUCAUCUCAUGAUAUACUAGUUUGUAGGUUUAAUUUUUUUUAGUAGUUUUUUUUUUUUUUUUUGCAUGAAAUUAAAUAUGUUGAGAACAAAUUUUACCAUGUUCGAUAAUCUUUUCUCGAGUUCUUUUCCUUCUUCUUUUGAAACACCUUGUCCCAAGAAUAUAUACUUUUCAUUUGUACACCUCGUGACAAGAAGUUAUCCAAAUUAACAUAUGUACGCAAAUAAGCUAUACCAAGGCUAUUGUUUAGAAUCAUCUAACUCAAAAUUCAUGUGUAUUCAACUUCUUAUAGCUUUUGGAGCAUCACGUUAUUCACUUAUCACGAAAAAAAGAAAUACAGAAUUGUAGUUUAAUUUGACUAUAUAUAUACAAAAGCAAAUCAAAUAUGAGGUUAAUAUGUGAGUGUUAUGCUUUUGAGUUCUCAAUUUUUCAUUUUCUUUCUUUUGUACAAGAAGGGGAAUGUUUAAUCAUUUAUGUCAUCAUUUAUCAACUUAACCAACCAAUAUCUUUGUCGAUUAGUGGUUACAAAAGCUAAUCCCUCCAAUAAUUCAUCUCAUCUGCAUAGGUUUCUAGCUAUAUGGCUUCCUUUGUUUUCUUUCUUUAGUACAAGAAGGAGAAUGUUUUAUCAACUUUGGUAUCAAUUAUCAUCUUGACCAACCAAUUAUAUCUUUGUAUAUUAGUUGUUGCAAAAGCUAACCCCUCCAAUAAUUCAUCUCAUCUGCAUAGGUUUCUAGCUAUAUACGUUAGAAGUAAAAUCCAACAAACAAUUCAUUGACUUAAGGGCUCCCCAAUUGAAAUAAUUAAAAAUAUUUCAAUUUUCAAUUCGAGGCUAGGGGCAUCUGAAAUGAACCUAGAAACCACCCCCCCCCCCCCCCCCCCCAACAACCCAAAAAAAAAAAAAUAGACCAAUAGUAGGAAAGUGGACCAAGAUAGUAGAGUAUGUUCAUCACCGAAGACCUAACUAGUGUGAGGCUCAAAACCCACCGCCGUCAGGGUGAAAGGGUCCACUUUGAUUCAUUUGUUUGAAUUAUGAUCAUCUACAUAGUUAAUGCAUGAACAACCCGUGAUAGAAAUGAUAAAGAAGUGAGAGUUCUUGAAUUCUAACCUUACAAAUUUGAAUCUAUUUUAAUUUUAUGUUGAUAUUUAUUUAUCAUUUCUUGGUUGAUUGUAAUUAUGCCGAGUUGUAGUAUAUUGAUUGUUGAUUUUGAUGCACCAUCAAACGUAACUUGUUCUCUGAUUUUAAAUACAAAAAGAAAGAAUUACACGAUUGAUUGUAAUCUUGUUGAGCUAUAGUACACUGAUAUUGAUCCCACCAUUACAUGUUACUUGUUAUCUGAUCUUAACAACGGAAAAGAAAAAUAAGGGAGGAGGCGGGGGAGGGCAGGAGGUAUUCGCUAACUAUAAGAUGAGCAGAAAUAAUGAACUUUAAUUUUCAAGUUCUUUAUUUUCUUUUUGUGAACCUUCAAUUUUUGAAUUAUUUAUAACCUAUUCAGGGGGUCUACAUUCAAUCAUGAGAAUAGACCUACAAACUAACAAAGUUGAAGGUAGAUAUAAGACAUAAGUAGUAGUACUGCAUUAUUAGGGGCCUGUUUGGAACCUGAGUUUUUUGGGAGUUUGUCUAAAACUUUACUGUAGUGCACUGUAGAAGUUUUUGAAAAAAUUUUGUAGAAGUUUUUGUUAGGUGAAAAAUAUUGUAAAAGUUUUUGUAAGGUGAAAAACUUUUUUUUUCUUUUUUCUUUCUUUCCCUUUCUUUUUCUUUUUCUUUUUCUUUUUCUUUCUUUCCUUUUUCUUUUCUUUCCUCUCUUUUUCUUCUUCCUCUUCUUCUUCCCCGUUACCUCCAGCACCCCCAGCUGCAACUCUACCUCCCGCCGUCCCCCUCUGCCCCUUCCUUCCCCUCUCUCUCCCCCCCGCCCCUCCCCGCAGCCCCCCUCCCUCUCUCCCCGCCUUCUCUCCCCGCUCUCUCUCCCCUCCCCCCCCUCUGCCCCUUCCCUCCCCCCCCCCUCCCCUCUGCCCCUCCGCCCUUCCCCUCCCCUCUGCCUUGGCCGCGCCCUCUCUGUGCCACCCCCUCUACGCCAGACGUAAGAGAGAAAAAAAAAAAAGACAAGGGAGGAUGAUGGCAGGGGAGGAAGAGGGGGAGAGGGAAAAAAAUAGGGAAAAAAAAAAGACCGGCACCGGCAUCGGAAAUUGGUGACGGAUCCGGCAAUGGAGGUGGUAGUGAGGGAGGAAGAAGAAGAAAAGGGGAAGGGAAUUUUUUUUUUUGUUGUGUUUUGGAUAUUUUAAGUGUGUAGGUUAAAAACUUUGAUAAGUUUUUUGGGGUUCCUGUAGCAAAAGUUGUUAAAAAACUAGUUUUAUACAAACUUGGUAAAAAACCAAGCUUCCAAACAGGCCCUAGAUGUUGACCAGAAAAUUUCAGAGCAACUUAUCCGGAUGGUCACUGAACUUUUGACAUAGUCGAGUUUUGACUACUAAACUAUUAAAAGUUUGGUUUUGUCCACUGAACUAACUAAAGUUUAAAUUCUGGGCCAUUUCCUCAGAUUUAAUCGUUAAUUAUACUCAUUUUUCUUGUCUCGUGAAUGGUGCAAACAUUUAAAUCUAUCAUAUUUAACGAUUAAAUCUAACAGAAUGACCCAAAAUCUAAAUUUUAGAUAAUUCAGUAACCAAAACCAGACUUUUAAUAAUGUGAUGAUCAAAAUUCAAUGAUUCCAAAAGUUUGGUGGCCAUCCAAAUAAUUUGCUCAAAAUUUUAUUGUGAAACAAUUUGGUGCACAUCACAGGUAGAUAUACUUUGUGCAAGAAAUGGACACCGGACUUUUGUGCACUUUAGAACUUUUUUUUUUUCCGACAAUAAUAAUAUUUGUAUAAUCUAAUCUAUCUUAGGGGAAUCUAAAGAGUCUGUGAAAGAGGUUAGCAAAUAUAUAGAUCUGACUAGAUCAAAAGGGUGCUCCGACAUCUCUUUUGAAUUUUUUUUCAUUGUAGGUGAGAUUUGAACGGCGGAUCUAUAACUCAAAGAGAGACUUAAUCCCUUUUUGGAAUGCUGAUAUACAUCAAAAUUAGUUUCCUAACUUGGGAAGCGACAAGUCAUCUGGUCAUCAAUCCUACAAACAAGUAAUGAGGUAGGGCUAUUGUACAUAGGCUCCAACUAUCUGUUUUGCUUCUGAUGUUUGCAAGUAAUUGAGAACUUCAUUACAUAGACUACAUAGAAUGGAUAAACAUGUCGAAAAACAAGAUGGUAAUAAAACUAAAAAUUCAUUCAAAAUUAAAACUUAGUAAAUUGUUUCCUCUAGGAAAGAAAGACAAUGCCUGGAUGCCAUUUAUGUUCCAAGAAAUGCUAGACAAUUGUUAGACCCUUUGCCUAAUAUGAUUUCAUGGUUAUGGUUGAGAGUUCAGAAUUUAGAAGUUUUGGAUUUAAAUUCCUCUUAUCUUAUCUCCUCUGUACUUAUUAAAUUUCACCAUUUUUCUGCUAAAAAUAAAACAAGAAAUGAAAAAGACGGACAAAGUAUUCCAAGUUCAUCAUUACUACAUAUAUAAGAUAAUUCAUUAAUAUAGUGCAUGCAUUAUUACCUAAAAAGAUAAUGGUUGUAUGAGCAGAGCUGUGUGCCUAUGGCUAAAGAGAAUCUGUGUAGUACAUCAGCAUGGUCACAGCAGCAUUAAUUUACAUCUAAUUAGUAUGGCCAGAGUUUGGUGAAAAGAAUUUUUCCUCACGAGAGAUUAAUCAAAGUUGAUAGCAACGUUAGCUUGAAAAUUUUUAGAGGGUCUCAAUCAUAUUGAUGAGAGAAUGAAUAUCUUCAAGGAAAUAUUUGAUUCGACCUUAGACUAUAUUUUUGCCAAAACGGGCAAUUUACAACAGAAAAGACUAUAAAAAUGAAAAUGAUUUCAGUUGGCAAAAGUGCUCUUCACUUGAAUCCAAAAAUUCGUUGACAUCUGCAAUUUUCAAUAACUUAUUUUUGAAAGAUUUUACAACCGUAUUUACUAACAAUCUUUUAUCUCACAUUUAUGAUAUCUACUUUAAAAAGUGCUACAGAAAUAUCUUCUUAAAAUUUCUCCACGUUGAAAAUGAAAUUGAAACAAAUUUUGGGUCCUAAAUUAUUUUUAACCUGUCGAACUUGAGAUAAAAUAAUAGCCUUGGGAAUCAAAGGUCUUGGACGUCUUCCUCCCUGCUUCUUAAAUCACAUCCAUUCCCUACUAUGAAAAAAUUGAAAGAAGAAGAUAAAAUAAUACCUAUUUUCUUCAAAAUUUGUCACUGCACAAGAAAAGAAUAACUUUUGGGUUCUAUUUCCAUCUGAUUCGAGUUCUAAAUUAUGAGCCCUUUUGGUAGAUGAGUUUUUUUAAGUGAUUUUCUUAGCUAAAUAAUUUGGUGAUUAUAUAUGUUCACAAUCAUUGCUUAUUCCUAGAAUCUCAUAAUUGUAAAAUAUACUAACUAGAAUAAAAUUAGUGAAUCUCAAAACCAUACAAUUAGGUGUAGGUUACUGACAAACCGGCCUUCUCCCAAUGAGAAAAGCUUCAACCCAUUUUCUAGUAAAUAAAUUUUCUUGUGGGUACCUAAGGGAGCAAAUGAAAAUUGAAAAAAAAAAAAAAAAAAAAGGAUGUGGGUAGUUCUUCUUUUAGAAAGUUGAGUCAGGUUCAGUGUUUUUUUUUAACAAGAAUCUAGGAAAAAGUCAAAUCUUAAAACAUGUAAUAAGAAUAUUCCUGAAGAAUUUUAACAAAAGAACUUCGAAUCAUUUGUACUCACAUGUAUACUGACUAUUUUCUUUUUCUUUUUUUUUUUUGUGGGAGGGAGAAUAAAAAGCAAGAAGGCAAAAGAAUAAGGAUAUUUUUCUAGUCUUCAUUUUGUCGAUUUUCAUCUCUAAACGGGCGUGUUCUUGCUUGCUUUGAGGUUUAUAAAAUUUGACGAGAAAUUUUUUUUUUUUUUUUGUUUUCUUUAAGGGAUAAUUUCAGAAAUCUCUCUGAACGUUUUUCAUAAUAUCGCUUAGUACCUCUUAGGUUUCAUUGGUACUUUAUCUUUGUUGAUUGAGGGUUCGAUGACUUAGUAAACUUGCAAUCUUUGACCCUAUGAAGCACAAUUUAAUUGUCCCUCCUGAGAGUGAGAGGUUCCAAAUACAAGUUCUUUUGUCCAUUCUAAGUGUUCCAUAUACUGCCCAUGAUGUUAUGAAUUCUUCCAUUUCAUUUUCCAAAGAAAAAAUCUAUUGAGAUUCUGAUUGCUAUGUGUUUUAGUUUUAGUUUGUUUCACUCUGAUUUUGAUUCCUAAUGCUUUGAUUUUCUUGUAACUAAGGCUGCAAACGAAUCGAAUUCGAUUCGAACUCAGUCAACAUCGAAUUCGAAUCGAGCUCGAACUGAUCAAGUCGAACUCGAGUUCAAAAAUACUAAGUUCGUUAGCUCGCGAGUCAACUCGAACUCAAUUAUAUAUUUUUAUUUUUUAUUUUAAUAAUAAAAUUACAUAUAUAUAUAUAUAUAUCUCAAAUAUUUUAUUAUUUGUUAAAAAUUAUUAUUUUAUUCAUUUUUUAAAAUAAAAUAUUUAUUUUUUUAAUUUUUUAAGUUCGAGCUUGAGCUUGACAUUUUGAACUCGUUAAACUCGAACUCGAGUUCGAAUUUCGUAAAAUUAUGUUAAGACUCGGCUUAAUUAGGUCGAAUCUCGACUCGAUUCAACUCGUUUGCACCCCUACUUGUAACAAAAAAAAACGAGUUCGAGUUUCGUAAAAUUAUGUUAAGACUCGGCUUAAUUAGGUCGAAUCUCGACUCGAUUCAACUCGUUUGCAUCCCUACUUGUAACCAAAAAAAAAAACUGAGAACAAGGUAUCACCAUCAUCACAAGACACAACGGCCAUGCAUGUAGUUCAACUUUCCAAUUGGUCCUUUCGAUUAGGGUAUCUGUUAAGUGAUCCCUCUGGCCAUUAGUACAUUUUUCUUCUGCCCCUUCAUAUGUCACAGUGUUUUUUCUAUUGCAGUCUCACCUCCCAACCCUCUAAGAGGAAGCAAAUUUAUGUAUACCUCCAUGAGUUCAAAAUUAGUAACCAGGAAAGGGAAAAUCACUAUUAUUCCAUUAAACUUCAUAUGUGAUAUUAUACCAUGAGCUAAUUUACAUCUACCCACGUUGAACUGUUAACAGUGUCAAAUUACAACAUCAUCUUCUCUUCUGACAAUCACAUCUCUAAGAAUCAAAUUACCACCCAA